rnacentral:lncRNA from 1 species
UUUUUUUUUUUUUUUUUUGGUUCCAAUUUUGUUGAUUUUCGGAGAACGAAACUACGAAAGAAAGUGUAGCUGUGAGAAGGAAGAAAACGUACCGGGAGGCAAGAACGCUGAGGCGGCAGCCCAAGGCGAUCGCCAUGGCUUCUCGAGAUGUGUUGUGGUUUCUCUCGCACUCUUUAGAAACUCUGGUGCAGUCGGCUUUUCUUUCUUUCCCCGCAAGUAUAUGGCCCACUCUUUUAUGGUAUUCCUCAGGGUCUUUGUUGUAAUUACCAAAACUUCAGGGGUCUAUGCAUACGUUUCCAUUUUUAGUGGUGUAUUGGUUAUUUUGAGGGAAAAAUUAUUUUGUAGUACGUUUUUACGGUGGUUGUAGUUCAAGUGGUUAAAAUAUUCAUCAUACGCAAAUGGUCAUUUACCACAGUGAUGGAAAAAUGUUGAGUCAUUGCAUGAUAUCGUGCGUUCAAAUCUCAUCGAUGACUAAUCUAACAUUUAAUCUAACAAAAUCGUUUAAAAAUAAAAUAAAAUAUAUACAUUCAUCAUACACUCGAAAUCUGUUGUUCAAUAUUUGGUUCUUCCCUUGAGUAUCCAUAAUUGUUUCCUGCCAAAAAAGGAAAAAAAGUGCAUGAUGAUGUUACAAAGUGCUAAUAAUAAAUUCAUUUUUUUUAAUCAUACUCUUUCUUUUAAGGAUUUUUUUAAAGAAAAAUUAAUAAAAAGAGUUUGAAAACUUUGAGUUUUAACGAUAAUGACAGAAUAAAGAGUAAAGUGAAUGAUACUAUGAUUGACUUUUGAGUGUAAAUAUGUGAUUUUUCGUUACAGUAAACAGUACCGUGAGUUUUUCGUUAAAAUUCUUUUUUUUUUUAAUCAUACUUUUUCUUUUAAGGAUAUAGGGGUGAAUUUGAAGAUUUAGUUGUUUUGAGAAAGAAAUGUGGGAUUGGUCUAAAUUUCGUAAACUAAUAAUUUCUUUUUGUUUUGAUUUUUUUUUAAUUUUUUCUAACAAUAUACUCUAAACUAUUUUAAUUUAUUAAUAAUGUCGGCAACCUCAGGUGCAAAACAAAUUACAUUAAGUUAUUUGUUCGAUUCUCCUUCUCCUCAAUGUCACAUGUCACUUAUGUUGAAAAAAGAGAGGUGAUAUUUGUCUUCUCGCCUUAUUUAGUUGAAAGGGUAGGUGAAAAAACAUUUACUUUGUUAAAAGUAAAAGGGUAAGUGCGGGAAUCAGCAAGAAAGUCUCAUCUCAUUUGUAAAUAUGGAAAAUAUUGGGCAACUUGAGAAAUUAGAAUUUCAAGUCAAUAUAACAUUUGAGCCUGUGACAUCUAGAUCGAACCAACUUCUUAGAUUAUGUUUGUAAAUUAUGUAAUAUGUCACAUAUAGGAAAUAAUCACGUUAAUCAUCAUUUAAGUUGUAAUUUAAUCGUCAACAAACAUGUCAUAUGGUUUACAAAAUAUGCUAGAGAUACCAUUUAUUUAAACCAUAUUUUGUGAGUCAUAUGACAUUGUUGUUGAUGAUAAGAUAUUUAAGUGUUGAUUAAGUGCCUAUUUCUUAUUGAUAACUCAUCACAUGAUAUACAAACGUAGUCUAAAAAUUUAAUCUCCUUAGCAUUAGUCUUUAAUAACAUACAAUGUAAUGUUAAGGAGAUUUUUUUAAAAGUGUAGCUCUUUAUGGACUCUCUGUCACCUUACAAUUUAACAUUAUCGUACCAAUAUCAUAAAACAUUGUGCAAAAAACAUGAUGCGACAGAGAACAACAUGGGGCAUCUUUUCCAAGUCCCUCCCCUAAAUCAGGGAACAAAGAUGUAACUAAACUUGCUUGUUCAAUGCUAAAUACUUGAUUGAUCCCCAAAGCACAGAACAACAUGGGGUCCUACAACCAAUCAAACUUCCAACGGUUGCUUUCUUUCACCAAGCUCUUGACCUCCCAUGUCAGCCAAGGUCGUCAUGACGAAGCCCUUUCCAUCUUCCACCACAUGCAGACCUCACUGGCUCUAUCUCUCGACCCCCAUGUCUUCUCUCUUGUUCUCAAGUCCUGCUCCGCCGUCCACCGCCCGCAACUCGGCGUCUCCGUCCAUGCCCACGUCGCCAAAUCUUCCAUCCUAUCAAACCCAUUUGUGGCUUCCGCUCUUGUCGACAUGUAUGGCAAGUGCGUGUCAUUGUCGACCGCACGCAACCUGUUUGAUGAAAUUGCUCACAGGAACGUUGUUGUGUGGAAUGCUAUGAUAUCGCUUUAUACGCGUAACGGUAAUGUGUUUGAUGCUUUGGGAUUGUUUGAGGCAAUGGAUGUUGAACCCGAUGUGUCAACUUUUAAUACCAUUAUAUCUGGUAUGUCAGGAUUGGAUGAUGGGUCGUUUAAGGCUGUCGAGUUCUAUAGGAAAAUGAGAGCGUGCGGAAGGGAACCGGAUUUAAUAACGCUGCUUGCUCUGUUACGUGCUUUUGUUGAUAUAGCGGCUUUAAGGUUUAUUAAGGAAAUUCAUGGUUAUGAUGUGAGAAAUGAGAUUGACUCGCAUUCCCAAUUGAGUAGUGGCCUAGUAGAGGCCUACGGGCGCUGUGGUUGUCUUGCAAAUGCGCGUAAUCUGUUCCGCUAUAUGAAGAAAAAGGAUGUGGUUGCAUGGAGUAGUCUGAUAUCUGCAUAUGCACUUCAUGGGGAGGCAAGAGCUGCAUUGGAAAUUUUCAGAGAGAUGGAAUUGGGGAAAGUAGAGCCUGAUGAGAUUACUUUUCUUGCGGUACUGAAGGCAUGCAGCCAUGCUGAAGGAUUAGCAGAUGAAGCACUGCAUUAUUUUGGUCGGAUGCGUGAGGUUUAUGGUGUGCAAGCAAAUAGUGAUCACUAUUCUUGUUUAGUAGAUGUUCUGAGCAGAGCAGGGAGGUUGCAUGAGGCAUAUGAGAUCAUAAGGAAAAUGCCGGUGAAGGUGACUGCUAAAGCUUGGGGUGCUCUUCUUUCAGCAUGUAGAACUUACGGAGACUUGGACCUUGCUGAGAUUGCAGGGAAAGCUCUGUCCGAAAUUGAACCUGAUAAUCCUGCCAAUUAUUUACUAUUGGCAAGAAUGUAUUCUGGCUUAGGCAGGCAUGAGGAAGCGCAACGAAUGAGAAGGAAAAUGAAGGAGAAGGGAGUGAAAGCAUCAUCUGGCACUAGUUGGGUGGUUUAUCAAGACUAAUAUCAGGUGUUGGAAUGUUAUCAGGCUUCGCCUUACUGCGAACAGCUUUCUCCUGUCAAAUAUCAGGCCAAAAAACUUAAUUAAACCUAAACGGGGUUCAGUAUAAUGCCGUGCUUUUCGAACCAGUGGCAAGCUUCAAGAUGUCUUCAUUUUUUCAACACGAUUUUUCUGGUUUUUUACUGAAUUUUGAAGACGGUGAAGGGUGAAGAUACAUUGAGUUGCUUUAGGUCCCCGGAUGUAUAUGUAAAAAUAUAUUCUUGAGUUAUUUUGCGCUGCGUGGAUGAAGAACGCACGCAGUUACAACGAUCCAACAGAAGUGUCUCUGUCUAGAAUUGUUCUUCACUUUUUCAAUACUGCAUUUCUGAACGACUCAACUCAACAUUGUAUGUGAGCUGCCUUGUUGAAUCAAGGGAUUUCAUUCGUCUUAGAAUUGUUAUCACCAAUGCAUUCGUACAUGUCAUGUAUCAUCCCUAACAAAAUUAAAGCCCUUUAUUCAAUGUAUUUGGGAUUUAAAACAACCGCAUUGCAAGAGAACAAAAAUGUGCAAAUAGUGAAUGUUCAGCGUCACAUAGUCAAUCAUGUGUGAUCACCCAAUAAGAAGUUGUCAUGGUGUUGACCUUAAAAACUACUAAGCCUACAUGACACGUAGGCCGAGUAACUAAUAAGCUAACUACGUCAUUCGGUUGUGUGCAGGGCCUACCAACUAGUCGGUCGGGGAGUAAAAUAUGUUGAUGUGGCGUUGGGCGCGCUGCUAACUUCUUGAUCUCGCGACUGCGGCCGAGGAAGGAACAUGUCUCGGCUUUUGGGGUCUAGAGCCUAAAGACAAGGCUGCUAGUUUCUUCGAAGUUCACAAAUCGUCGACGCCAGAUUUGGUCUGGGUAAUUAUAUUCGUGAGAGUAUACGUACGCUGAACUGGUACCAGAUUGUACAGACACAAAUACUCAAAAGUGAUAAAUGUCUUGAUUGUAAAUGUGGUUCGGCCGUCGGAAUGCCGAACUCGAAAAUGUACUUAUGAAUAUCCAAUCAUAAAAUAAAACUUGGCUUUCAAUGUGACGAGCCUAGUAACCUGGUAACACCUCACUUCGCCGAGAAAGCUGAUGAUAUGACCUCUACCAACAAAGACUCUGAAAUCCUUGUUAACCGAGACUUGGAUAAAUAGCCAGUCAGUCUCGAAGCAGUGCUGUCUAUCCAAACUGAAGGUGCUCCUUAGUUGGCUGAUUCUACGACUACAGUGAUGUCUAUCCAAACUGAAGAUGUCGUCGGUUGCCUUCAUAGUGCUGUCUAUCCAAAUUGAAGAUGUGUUGGCGAAAAGAAAAGGGGAGAGGAAAAAAUCUCAGAGUUGUUGAGAAGCUUUGUACAUGGCAAUUUGUGUGUUGAUUUGAAGAGAGUUUUCGUCAUUGCAGAUUGUCUGUAUUUAUAAGGGUGAACUUUCACGAUGACUAGGUAACCAAGUUGCAGAGUCCUCCGUGAACCAUACCUUGUGAAAUAAUAAUCAUGAACUACCAUACAUUCUCCUCUGACUUUUGGUGAUAUCGUAAUGUUAAUCACUGCGAUGCAUUGGACCUUUUAAUCUUCAUGGUACAUCACCAUCUUAAUGUUUCAAACAGGUGAAAUGGCAUUUCCAUAUGCUAAUCAUCCAAAGUUGCAUCCUUGUACCAUUGUUCCACAUGGUUCUGCAUGCAAACCCAUUCAAAUAUGGAAUCCAUGCAACUGACUAGAUACCAUUUUGAUUAGGAUAGAAUCCUAAAGCUGCACGGAAAGUCCUCACAUAACUCUCCUUACUGCCGUAUUAAUUGUAAAGGGUUGGCAAGCAUCCAACUGUGCGAUCUCCUUUAAUUUCUCCACAAUCCGAUAAAACCCUUGAUUAUGCAAAAGAAUCCCAAGCAUAACUUUGUAAGCUUUAAGGCUAUUUUCAAGAUAAUUACUAGGGUAAAUUACAUUUUCAUACCUCAGGUUUGGAGUCUAUUUCAACUUCAUACAAUAUCUUCAAAACAUUUCACUUUCAUACCUUAAGUACUAUUUUAUUUCAAAAUAAUACAUCCGUUACAUUUUCCAUCCAUUGAUCUGUUAAAUGCUGACGUGGCUGCCACAUAUAUGCCACGUGGCUGCCAAAUGUCUGCCACGUGGCAAAAAAAAAUUAAUUUUUAAAACCUAAAUCUUCUAAAUAUAAAUAAUAAUUAAAAAAAAGUUGAAAUAAACCACCCCGUCAACCCCCCACCCCAAACCAAAACCCAGAAACCCACAACCCCCAAAAAUCAGAAACCCAGAAAGAACCCCCACCUGCCUGCGAGCCUCCUUGUGCACCCCCCAACCCGUGGCCCUCCCUCCCUCUGCACCCACCUUCGCACCCACCCUCUUCCCUUCUCUACACACUCCACACUCCUUAAAUCCGGCGAUGGCGAUACGGGAUCUGGAGGGUUAUUUUUUUUUUUCCUGGUUUGCAGGGAAGAAGAAGAAUAAGAUGGGGGAGAUGGGUUUGGGGGGUUGCGGGGAGAAGAGAGGAGGAUGAGGGGGAUAAGAUUUUGGGGGGGGGGGGGAAGGAGGGUGAGGUCGCGCGGGGGGGGGGGGGAGCGAGGUGAUGUCGCGCCGCGGGGGGGGGGGGGGGAAGGAACUGGACUUUUUUUUUCCCUUCUUCCUCCCUCAUCUUCUUCUUGCUGCUGCUGCAAGUUUUUGGAUUCUGGGUUAGGGAUAGGGAUUUGGGUCGCUGGGGGGGGGGGAAACUGGGUUUUGGGAAUUUUUUUUUUUCCUUCUUCCUCCCUCUUCUUCUUCUUCUUGCUGCUGUAGUAGGUUUUUGGAUUCUGGGUUAGGAGGGAUUUGGGUCGCUGGGGGGUGGGGGUAGGGAUAGUGGGUUUAAUUUUAAUUUUUUUUUUAAAAGAAAAUUCAGGCUUUAAAUUUUUUUUAUUUGCCACGUGGCAGACAUUUGGCAGCCACGUGGCAUACAUGUGAUAGCCACGUCAGCAUUUAACGGAUCAAUGGAUGAAAAAUGUAACGGAUGUAUUAUUUUGAAAUAAAAUAGUACUUAAGGUAUGAAAGUGAAAUGUUUUGAAGAUGUUGUAUGUGGUUGUAAUAGACCUCAAAAUCUGAGGGGCUACUGUGUAAUUUACCCUAAUUACUAUGAUUAAAAUCAAUAGUAAUGCCAAGAAAAAUCUCUUAAUUUUCAUAAUCAUCCGACCGCUUUAAUUGGUUGGGUCGAAAAAUGUAAAAUUGAGUCCAAACACAUGGUCUGGGUGAACCAAAACAAGGAGACAAUAUUAUGUUCAUCAGAUACACCACAUGACAAUGCCACCUAGUACAUCCAGCCUAUGGUUUAACAUGUGUAAUCCAAUGGGGUUUGUCCUACUGAAUUUUUUCUCUUAAAACAUAAUUUUUGCACACCUUUUUUCCUUUAUGUAUACAGUAUACCUUGUUUAUGUUCUCUUGUUUGAUUUUAUUCAAUCUAAAGGCUUUAAAUUUACAGAAAAAAAAAUAAAAAAUGAGAGUGCGAAAAUCACUUUCCAUUUUCAUUCCGUGUCUAAGCGGACCGGACCUAAUAGUGUGACAUGGGUCAAUUGUGAAGUGCUUUCGGGCCAUAAUACAAAAAGUCUGAACCUUCAAAACCCCAAAACACCAAAUUCUGCAGCUCCAUCGCUGCUACCGAUAAUGGCAGCAAAACCUCUCUAAUCCCAAGCCAUGGCGACUUCCAUUCCCACAUUCUCCGCUCCAACCCCCUCCAUUCUCAGACUCAAAAUCACUUCUUUUUCUCCCCCCAGAAUCCAACCUCAUAUCCAAACAAUCCCUUUUCGCAAUUCACCCAAAUUCCAAUGUUUGAACCGAAUCCAAGCUCAGAAUUUUCCUGGGGUAUCCUGGAAAACAAAUGGGUUUUGGUUUGAGAGAAAGUUGAGGGUUCGUGCGAGUGUGAAAAAUGAGGGUGUUGAUGCAGCUGAGGAGGAGAGCAGAGGGGAGAGUACUAUGCCUGAGCGGUUCAGGUACUUGACCAAGGAAGCUCCUGACCCUCCUGUCAGGUGGCCUUGGCUUGUAGGUAAACUCUUCUGCUCUCUUUCUUCUUCUUUUUACUAUCUGUUUGGCUGCUGAGAAAAUGUUGGUUAAUGAAAGAGAGAAAACAGAGAAAGUUUGAGUAUUUGGGAUUGUUGUCGAAUACCCCAAGAUAUUUUGAGAGCAGAAGGGACUUGCUUCCAUGUAUAAAUACAGCUUGUUUGGUUAAUUUCUUGUUAGAAAGUAUAUUGACAUUUUUCACCAAGACUUUCCUCGAAUUUAGAAAUGUUUGAAGCGUAUGUGAAGAAAAGUAUAUGAAUUUGUCACCAGCAUCUGAAAAAUGAGCUAGAAGGUUGUAAUAUGUGUAGGCAUUACAAUGUGUUUGAAACUUCAACUAAUUGUGUUUUCUCAUAGUUUUACAUUCGGUCUGAUCGGGGAUAUUUCAUGACUUAAUCUUCACACGAUGUAACACAAUUAAGUUUAUUGGUUUAUAUUGAAGACUGUCGUUUCUAAUGGGUUUGUAAGAGAUGAUUUAGACUAGUGCUCUGAUUAAUGUGUCUUACUUCUUCAUGCUUGACAGCAUUCUCUCCCACAAAUGCUUUUUCAUUGCGAUUGUAUGAGUAUAGAACGAAUUGGUGAAUCGGGAUGCUUAUGAAGUUUAGAAACUACUUAAGAGAGGGAAGAAAGCACUCGUUUGUAGAGUAAAACAGAUCUGAGCACUGACUUUAUUGAUGUGAUAUUGUACUUAACCUGAUGAGAUGAAACUUUAAUGUAUUGGUUUAGACUAUUUAAUUCCUGAUACGUGCACACAUCAGUGGUGUUAUGAGAUGUUUUCUAGUUAUAACUUUUUGAAGCCUCAAUCGAAGCUGAAAUAAAUCGUUUCGUUAUUUAGUUUCCGGUUGAGGCUUUCACGUAUUAGUUUUUACAACCAAUGCAACUUGAUUUUCUUAACUCUCUCAAAAUACUUUACUAUGAAUACAAAUUGCACUAUAAUAGUUUAUGGAGCUGACUAAAUACUGUUUGUCAUUGAUCGUGCAGCGUUGGUCUUCCUUAUCUAUGCAUGGAGAGCCGUCUUGCUGGAAUUAGCUAACUGGAGAAAGGCUGCUGUGGGCGUUGUCCGUUUUGUUGGAUACCCCUUGAAACUUAUCCUGGCCCUAAUCUUCCAUUUCAUUGGUGAUCCCAUUACUUCCGUGAUCAGAUUCAUAGAAACAACAUUGUAUGCCAUACGCUCUUUCUACUCUGGCAUAGUGGCAUACGCUCCAAUUCCAGAGUUGACGACAGUGAUCAUACUUGCAUCAACUGUUCUUGCUAUCGCAGAAGCUGUUGUUCCAAAUGCUGUAAACCUUUUCUUCUCACAGCAUCUGGUGUAGUAGGCUACGCAGCAGUGGCAGGUUACAUCUCAGAGCCUUUCUUCUGGACGAUUCUAGUAGGGUUCUACGGUUACUCACGAUUAGUUAAAAAGAGGGAUGAUGUUACAUCCGCAUUGCCUGCGGCAGCUGUGAUGUCUGCCAUAGGAGAACCAUGGGUUAGAGUUUUGGUGAUCGCAUCGUAUCUGGCCUUGGCCAUUUUUCAUCACUCAAAGAAGGUAUCAGAUACGGAGGAGGAAAUUGUAGUGGCUAACAGGAAGCUUCGAAUGCCCUUGCUUGGUGCAGGUUUAGCCAUCGGAAUUCGUCUUGCUGCUAAGUGGGCUGGCUACCGGCAUUUGACAUGGAUGAUAGUAUGAGUGUAAGAAUACCAUUAUCUGAGAUUGUAGGCCAUGUAGUUUAAGCGAAGUUCCGCUUUGGUCCUGCAGUUUCAGUUGUCUCGAGUUAACCCUUGGUAGAUUGUAGACUUUGUAGUGUGCUAAUUUAUGCAAUUCAAGGACAAUAUUACUUACAUGGUUAAAUUUGUCGAUCUUUGCAUCGUAAGUAGCUCGUGAGUGACACUGAGGGAAAUCGGACUUGUCUGAGGUAAAAACACCACACAUACCUCUUGCGUAAUGAUCGUGUUGAAAAAAUUGCAGAAUUGCGGGGUUGAAUUGCAAAUUUGCAACAAUAUGAGUUCAAAACGCAACAACUGAAAUUAAAAGGACCGAAGUGGAACAAAGACCGUAGAGGGGGUAGAUUCGUAAGAAGAUGACUAUUAGACCAUGAAUGCUAAAACGAUGCCGUUUGCGCCGUAACAAUCGCGCAGAACAAGCCCUAGGGUUUCCGUAGGGCUUUGGAUGCCUAUAUAAACAACACUAACCCCCGCUCCUUGUUCAAACUCUCCAGUCUCCAUCGAAGCCUCCUCUGCCCUCUCGUCCAGAAUUCCCCCAAUUCCCCUUCAUACAAUCAAAACCCUAAUCUUUAAUUUCUGCAAUUUAUAGUUUGCAAUCAUGCACGAUGCACCCCGGGCUUCUCUGAGAGUAUAUUUCACUGAAGAAGAAAGCCCCAAUGCUCGUGCUAGAACGUCGCCGUCAAGUGUUGCAGUUUAGCCUCGCUCUUCCCUACGGCUUUUCUGUGUCAAAUCGACGGCUACAUCUCCCCUAAAACCCUAAAUAAUUUUAUCAAUUUUCAGUUUCAUACGGUCCGAUCCGAUGCGCCUCGACACACCUUAAGCCUGUUUUUGAAAAAUCUCCGAAAACUGAGCUAGUCAUGGAGGCGCAAAUCCAAUGGCGGAGUCACACGUGGGGGUUUUUCUCUUCUCAUAGUAUUUCCUCUAAAAACGUCCGCUAAAUUUUCUAUUUUUUUGUGGAUUUUGAUAUCUUUUGUUGAAUUUUUGGCUUUGAUUACAAAUUAUCCGCGCUUCUGAGAGCAAUCGAUGAAGUAGAAUGUGAUAAUAAAUGGUUGAAUUUCUUGAUAUGAGCCAAUUUGUUUUGUGAUUUGUUGGUCUCUGUGUUUGAAAGGUUGAAUUUUUCGGUUAAUUGUGGCGCUGAUGACUGAAAUAUACAGCUUUAUGCCAGUUCUGCUUCAGAAAAUUCGUGAUCGAGAGAGCUGUUUCAUACUCUGAGCCCUUUGUGUGUAAAUUUAUUUGAUUUUGUUUUUUGAUGAUUUGUAUUUUAUGUUGGGAUUUUGAUGAUUGUGUUGCCGAUGAUGAUUGAAUCCGCUUGUUCGAGGUACAGUGGAACUGAGACCCUGUUUACAGGGAGAACCCCUCGGCGAAGCUGUAUUUCAUAUGAAUUUUAUGGAUUUAACUGAGGUUUUAAUUUUUUUAAUAAUUACUGCGAAUGUUUUUGUGUUAAUUGUUUUGUUUUUCUCCUAUAAGAUUUGAUUACUUGUUUGUUUUGUUGUUAAUUGCUUCUGUUGAUUGUUAAGUGUAUUUUUGCUCACUACCAUUUUGUAUGGAGUAUUCUUACCAUUCUAUUUAUCAUAGGUAGAUAAGUUUGAAUUUUGAAAUUUGUGCUUAUUCACCAUACGAAUCUUAAAAUUCAAACCCAUUAGUAUCUAAUGGUAACUCAUAGUAUGAUAAGCAUAUACCAUAUUAAAUGGUAAUGAGCAAAAAUGCUCCCUUAUUCUUACCAACCGUCCCAAAUUUUUUUCUAAUUCGUCAUCAAUUUACAAUUGCAAUUGAUGCCCCUACAAAUCAUGUGUUUGCGGUACGUUGUUAGGAACGGUGGCGCAAUAGGAAGAACGAGUUUUGGGUUUCAAAACGGCCCUCUCGCAGGUUGUUUGUAUCGGUUUUGCAGUUUUGGAGCGGAUGGACCGCUCGAACCGGGUCGUUGCUGCUGCUAAUCUUUUUGUGACUCGGGUUGAUGCUGCUAAUCUUGUUGUGACUCGGGUAGAUGCAGCUAAUCUUGUAUUGUUGACAGAAUUAGAUUUUUGUAGUGAUUGAGUAGUUUGCAGGAGAAUCAAGCUUUUGCAAAUAUAUAACGUAUUUCUAACAUGCAAUUUGUUCGUGAUAUUCAGACCAAAUGCGAACAUGCAAGACUCAUUGAGUUUUAAGAAAACUUUAAAAAAAAUCAUAUAACUCUUAAGGCAUGUUGUAAUAAUCACAAGAAACCUUAGUCAAUUCCAAGGACAACCCUCCUUCAAAAUUGCAUCUCCAAAUGUCCUAAGGCUCGUGGUCUCAUCCUAGCCAACGGAAUUUAGUUACUAACUUUUAUAAAACAAAAUAUUAUUAAGAUCAUAGAUGGAAAACACCUGGAAAAUAAACUUGAAUUGUUGAAUUCUUGAAAGUAGUGCCUUUUCUAAAAUAAUGUGUUCAUCUCUCUAAUGGCCAAAUAAAGUUAUUUAUGCUACUACAAAAUAAAAUCCUAUUUAGAAAAGGUCUUCUAAAAUAAUGCGUUCUCUAAUGGUCAAAUAAAAUAAGAUAAUUAGGAAAUAAAAUGUUUCAUAUUUAAACUUAAAUUCGGACUGCAGAGAAAAUCCAUCUUUUGACCAACCAAAUCAACUCUGAUUUGGUCCUAAAAGGUUUCUUUUUAAAGCUUGAGACGUCUCUAACAAAUCAUCAGAAGGAAUCUUCCUUAAAAUAUGCCAUCUUGAACUUCAAAUUAGGGGUGGGUUCAAAAAACCGAAAACCGAAAAAAACCGAAAACCAAACCGAACCGAAACCGAAAAAACCGAACCGAACGAAAAAACCGAACCGAAUUGAAAAAACCGAACCGAACCGAAUUCUUUUGGUUCGGUUUGGUUUUAGUGAUCUAGAAACCGAACUAAACCGAAUCGAAUUAAUUAAAUUAAUUUUUUUAUUUAAUUAUUUGUUUUGGGUAUUAUUUUCUAAACCCAAUUUGUAAGUUAAAAUGUGCUAAACCCAAUGUGUUGCCAAACUUUAAGCUCAAAAUAUUUAAAAAAGGCCUAUAAAAACUCUAAACCCUAACCUAUUAUUUAUCCCCCAUAUAAGGUUACGGAACCAAACCUCCUCCAGAAGUACCUACAUCCAUCUCCAUAGCACUGCCUACUUCUGCCCUAGCUUUCUUUUCCAAAUCUACUCUCAUAUAACAUGUAACAGAAUCCAUAAACAUUUAUUUCGGGUAGAUUACUUGGGUAAUUUGUGAUGGAAAAGAAUCUAACACACACUAAAUAAAUCCACCCACGCAUUAUUUUUACUAAUCAAGUUGUCAAAAUAUGCUAUCUUGAACUUCAAAUACUCAAAGUGUCUAGAAAUGUCAAUUCGGGAAAGUUGUGCGCUAGGUCUUUUUUUUUUUUUUUCCGUCAUAGUCAAACGGCUUGGUAGAAAAAUCUGGAAUUUUGAUACAAUCAUCUUGAAAUACUCAUGAACAUCUUCCAAUUGAAAUCACUCCAAAAUUCAUCCGUUUGACCACUUCCUGCAUUAAAAAUAUAAUUCAAAGUAUCAAAAUUCUUUCAAAAUAAUAACAAAAAUAAACUAAGAUUAAGGUAAUAUAUAAUAUAAUAUUGACUCAUCACUCAUCUCAACCAUUCAAACACUACCCUACGAGACAAUGCCACUUGCUCACAUUUGAGCCUAAGAUCUCUAACAAACUUAAUCACAACCCUUCAGCAGUGACACUAAUUUACACACACUACUACAAAAGGGCCUUAUUGUGUCGGUGGUUGGUGUGUGUUUAUAUAAUAUAGUGACGGAUAAGACAUUUCUGACACCUACUUAACAUGUCGGAAUUACUAUCGGUUAUAAGCGAUAUAAAUUGUAUAUGUCGCUUAUAACCGACAUAAACUGUUAAUGUCACUUAUAACCGACAUAGAUUUUAAUAUUUUUUUAAAUAGUGGUGUUGCAUAAAGAAAAGCGUGUCGCUUGUAACUGACAUAAAGUUAGCGUCGGUUAAAAGAAGACUGGUGUCACUUCUACCCGACACUAAUGAAAGUUUUUAAAUAUUUUCAAAGCAUGUGUCGGUUGUAGUAGGCAUGGAUUUUAAUUUUUUUUUAAAUAGUUUGAAACACAAUGUUGGUUGUAGGCGACAUAUUGGUAGCCUUUGUAUACCCUCCCCAUGUUUUCUUCUUCCUCUCGCAUCUUUCUUAUUUCUUCUUCCAAUUUAUAAACUAUCCCCCGUGUUUUGUUCUUUCUCUCUUGCAUCUUUCUUAUUUGUUCUUCCAACUUCAUUAAUUCCUUAUUCUUCAUAGUAAGUUUUUCUUGCUUCUACUAUUUUUACUAUUUUCUCUUAUGUUUAUUUUUAUUUACAAUUUAAUUUUGUAGGGAUUUUAUUUGAGCUGGUUGAAUACAUAAAGAAUUAAUCAACAACGGAUAAUUUGAAAUAUUUAGGCGGGAAUUUUCUCGCUUGUUUUGCAUGAGGAAUUGGAUUGAGAAGAGUUUGUAGUUAGUGUCAGACUUAGUGUCGGUUUUAACCGACGCCAAGUACAUUUAAUUCGACGCAAGUUUCAUUAUCCGUAAAGUGUGUCAGAAGAUGGUGUCGGUUAGAACCGACACCAAAUUUCAUCUAAACUAACGCCACAUGAAUUUCAAUAAAGUGUGUCCGGAAGUGGCUUCAUUUUAUUCGAAGUGCAUAUCAGUAAAGUGUGUUAGAAGUUGGUGUCGGUUUUAACCGACACCAAGCUUCAUUUAAUUCAACACCAGUGGCUUUUAAUUUGACGUCAGUGCAAUCAAUGUCGGUUUUAACCGACGCCAACUCAGUAUCUAUAUUUAAAUCCCUUUCUUCCCCAUUUCAUCUGUGCUUUCAUUUCUUCCACAAUUUCAGUCUUUCUCCUUCUCCUUUCUUCCCCCGUUUCAAUUUUUCUAUUUCUCCUUCUAGUAACUUUUGCUAUGGAUCAACAUUUUGCAAAUCAACUUUAUGAGGAACUCCAUUUCGAAGAUGAAGAGUUCGAAGGUGGUUCAUUUUUAAAUUAUUAUGAUUAUUAAUUUCAGUUUAUGUUUUGUAUUCUAACUAGUAUUAUGCUUAAAUUGAAAAUUGAUUUUUGUUUCUUGGUUUUUAAUUGUUUUUUCUAUAUUUAUAAGUAUGAACUCAACGGAGAUGCGGAUCCUCAAUUCCUAAUUGGAAAGAACAGCCUUGUUCAUUUGAUUCGUCUGGAAAAUGUAUUAGUGAUAAUUCUAGUGCUUUUUCAAAACAUGUAGCAGUAGAGAUUAGAGAUCACAUAAAUCAUCCGUUUAUGAUUUAUUUUAUUAUACCUUGAAAUUUGUCUAAUAAAUUCUCUUAUUUUUUCAGGAGAUAGCUAUAAAGAAAUAAGCAUAAUCGUCAGUUGAAAACAAUGAACCACACAACCAGUUCAAGAUCUUUUGCAAGAGUUCGGGAAGAAUAUAUGUAUAGGUUGUACAUUUUUAAGAAUUGUAGUUAAUUGUAGUUAUGGUGGAUAAUUGUUAGUGUUUGGUACUAUUGUUAUUGUUAAUAGUUUUAUUAAUGUUUGCUUUGGCCUAUAUAUGAAAUAUGGUGGGAAUGAUUUUUAUAUAAUUUUUUUUUAACAUUAAUAACUAAAAACUGAAGCCAAUUUGUUUUUUAUUAUUAAUAUAUUUGGUGUCGCUUAUGGGCAACAACAUAAUAAUUAUUUUAUUUAUCGAGAUGUUAGGUAAUGUCGGUUAGGAUUGACAAUAGUUUGAUAUUUUAAUGUUGCUUCUAAGCGACGUAAAGUACGAUGUCACUUUUAACCGACAUUGUUGUUCUUUUUUAUUUUAUCUUACUUUGCUUCUUGAUGGCGGAUUAAGGGGGCUAACCGACGUCAAUACCUUUUUCGUGACGCUAGCAAUGGUGUCGGUUCCCCUAUCCGACAUUGCAUGAUUUGAUGUCGGAUUUAUUCCAAAAAUUCGACAAUAAUUGGGGUUUCUUGUCGGUUUUUACACCGCCAGUGAUAGUCUUUUUUGUAGUAGUGACAUCAGCAUGAAUAAUUUAACUCUAAUAAAUCAGUUUAGAGAGCCUUAAUUCCCAACAUCAUGAUCGUAUGUAGUCCCGUUGAAUAUACGUGCACCAUAAUUCAUAGCAAGCAUAAGUGCUUAGUAUGGUACAUUAACUUGCAGUCGAAGCAAUCUAACUCGAACACGUCCUAAUCCUAACUCAAACCUCUAUCUCUUCUCGGGUUUUGGUUAGGUGCUGCCUCAAGGGUUUCACAUGGUUGAGCAUUGAUGAGUUUGAACAGAAGCUUUGACACGGGAAGAACAAUGUUCAAGCCUUUUCCAUACAUUGCUUUUUCUACAUAGGCUUGGUCCAAUAUGGCAGCUGCGUGCUGAACAUGCGACUUCUGGGGUUGCAAUGGUGAAUCUGGGCUCAUAUGUAGUUGCUUCAUGGGUUGCAAUGAUAAAUCAGGGCUCACAAGUCGCAUGCACUUCACAUACGCAAGUGCAGUCAAGCAACGUGAGCAUAAAAACAAGAUUUUUUUUGCGAAGGUUGAAUGGUAUAACUACAUAGUUGACUUGAAAUGAUCACCACGAAAAGGGCAUAUAGGUUAAGUUCUAGUACCAUGCAUAUGGUUAUAUCUUUUGCCUGUCUGCCGAUUUUUUUUGGUGCAGCCAUGGAUACCAAACCAAACUCAAAAGUUUGUCUUGUCCGUGAUUUUAUUAUGUGCAUUUCUCGAGUCCCAUGUUUCCCUAGCACUAUCAGCGAAAACCAAUCUCUCUCCGGCGAUCAAACCAUUUUUUCCGCAGGUGGGAUUUCGAGCUAGGCUUCUUCAAACCAGGUCAGCUUCCAAACUACUAUAUAGGCAUAUGGUACUCAAAGCAAGUCAUGAGAGGACUGUUGUUUGGGAAGCAAAUAGGGAAAUACCAGUCUCCGAAAGAUUUUCGGCGUUGAGGAUCGUAGAUGGUAAUCUAGUUGUCUUUAACGAGUCCAAAACCCCAGUUUGGUCAACAAAUUUAAACUCCACCACCAAUUCUGGUUCUGUCCAAGCGGUUCUUUUGGAUAGUGGAAACCUUGUCUUGAGAGCGGGGUCUAGUAAUAAUACUUCAGAGCCUUUAUGGCAAAGCUUUGAUCAUCCCACUCACACAUGGUUACCCGGAGGUAAACUUGGAUUCAACAACAUUACCAAACAAACCCAAUUUCUCACUUCAUGGAAGAAUUCGGAGGAUCCUUCAUCGGGACUUUUCUCUGUUGGGAUAAACCAAGAUGGAAGCAAUUCGUAUAGCAUAUGGUGGAAUAGGACUAUACAGUAUUGGACCAGCGGAUCAUGGGAUGCAAGUUCGCGUACUUUCAGGUUGGAUCCUGAGCUGAGGCUUAAUUCCAUCUAUAAUUUCAGAUAUGUAACAAAUGAAAACAUAAGUUACUUCACCUAUUCUCCUUAUGAUCCUAAGCUAGUAUAUCGAUGCUUGAUGUCUGUCACGGGGCAGGUUCAGCUACUGUCAUGGAUGGAGAAUACCAGGCAAUGGAAUUUGUUUUGGUCUCAACCAAGAAGACAAUGUGAAGUUCAUGCAACUUGUGGGCAUUCGGGAGUUGCAAUGAUGCAUCAGGGCCCCUCUGUACUUGCUUGAUGGGUUUUGAGCGAAAGUCGCCACCGGACUGGUAUUUGCAGGAUUAUUCUGAUGGUGUUCAAGAAAAACGAGUUUGCAGUGUGGGACGGAAGACAGGUUCCUAGAAAUGCAUAACAUGUUAAUGCCUGAAAAUAAACAGGCUUUGGAGGUUAGGAGUGUUGAGAAAUGUGGAUCAGUCUGCUUAAGUAACUGCUCUUGCACUGCUUAUGCUUAUGAUAGCAGUACUGGAUGUUCAAUUUGGACCCAAGAUAUCUUGGGCGUGGAACAACUUGCGGAAGAUGACAGUCACGGAAGAAUGUUAUACAUCAGACUUGCAGCUUCUGAGCUUAUGUAUCUUAAAAGUAAUAUGCGAAUGAUUAUUCGGGUUGUUUUGAGUGUCUAUUACUUGGAGAGCCAUCAUUUUUAUUGGUUAACCAAAUCUUUUAUUUUAUUUUCAGGCGGUAAGGGUCGUGCUGAUAAGCGUUCCCUUAAAAUUGCACUGGUCUCAGCAGCAGCAGGAUUGUUUGCUGUAAGAUUUGGCUAUUUCUUAUGGAAGAAAACAAUGGGAAAGAAAAGGUACUGCUUCCAUUCUGCCUGUCUUUCUUUGCUUCUCAUACGUGCACGCACACACACACAAAUAGAAGUACACGCAGUAGCAUGGAUUCUAGCAGUCUUUCUUUGUUUCUCAUAUACAUACGAAUGAUCCAUGCUCUAACAAUAAGACUGAAACAGGGAGCACAGGAGGAAGCAUGGUGGGAUUGAAAUAAACUAUGGAGCUGGAGGUGUAAAGAAUGAUACGGAACUACCACUUUUCGGUUUAAAGAGAAUAUUAGCUGCUACAGACAACUUCUCUUAAGCUAACAAACUCAGAGAGGGAGCUUUGUCGCUGUUUAUAAGGUGACCCUUCCAUUUAAUUUGUAAUGCUAAAGUACAUUGAUUGUUCUUGAUAAAAAUGAUAAUUGCUUUGUACUUGUCUUAGUAACCUUUUCCCCAAUUAAGUAAUAUUGGUACGGUGGUGGUUCUCUUUGUGGCAUUUCCCUUCCUCUACUGGGCACUUUGCUUGAAAAUCAAGGCGUAGCGAUAAAAAGGCUGUCAAAGAAGUCAGGGCAAGGACAUCAGGAGUUUUUGAAUGAGGUGGAGCUUAUAGCCAAGCUUCAGCAUACCAAUCUUGUUAGGCUCUUGGGUUGCUGUGUCGAACAGGAGGAACUGCUAUUGAUCUACGAGUACAUGCCCAAUCGGAGUUUGGACAAACUUUUGUUUGGUAUAUCCUCAUCAUUUCUAAAAUUUAUAUCUUUGAUAUUGUUGAUUUCAGGGAUGUCGACUUUGAUUAGGUUUGUCCAUCGAAAAAACACUAGCUCAUUUGCUUUCAUGGUCUGUCCAAUCAGAUCCAUGUGCAAAAACAGAAUUAGUUGGGGAAAGCGUUUUCGAAUUAUAGAAGGGAUCGCUCAAGGAGUACUUUACAUCCACAGGUACUCCAGAGUGAAAAUCAUUCACAGGGACCUAUAAGCAAGUAAUGUUCUGUUGGAUGGCUUGAUGAACCCCAAAAUAUCAAACUUUGGAAUGGCUAAGAUUUUCGAGAUAAAUCAGACUGAAGCACAUAUCAAUAGGGUUGUUGGCACAUAGUAAGUCGAUAUGGUACAUGCUUUCAAUCAUCUAAACCUUACUCAACCACUACUUUAGUACUUUUGCUUUUUGUACCAUUAAUUGAUGCAGCGGCUACAUGUCACCAGAGUAUACAAGAUAUAGCCAUUUUUAUGAGAAAUUGGAUGUAUUUAGUUUUGGAGUUCUAUUGUUGGAGAUUGUAAGUGGAAAGAAGAAUGUUGCUUUCUAUCACUUUGAACAUUCACCAACUCUUGCUGGAUGGGUAAGUACUAAACAAACAUUCCAACUUAUAAUCAUUCUGUUUUUAAGCCUUGCACUUGCAAAUGACCGUAAAUUCAACAUUUUAAUUAGGCAUGGGAGUUGUGGAAAGAAGGAAGAGGAAUGGAGGUGAUUGAUGAAUCAGUAAGGGAAACAUGUCGGCCAGAUGAAGCUUUGAGGUGCAUCCACGUAGGGUUUUUGUGUGUUCAAGAAGCUCCAAGUGAUCGACCAACAAUUUCUUUGGUGAUUCUUAUGUUGCAGAGCACUGAAACUACAUCUCUUCCACCUUCCAAAGAACCUGCCUUUUCAACAUAUAAGAAUUCUAGUUUUGUUCCCUCUUCUCAAACACCUACAAGUUUUUCCCACAACGCAAUCACCAUAAGUUUGCCAUAAGGUCGAUAGGAGUUGGAAGAGUAGUGACUGGCUAGAAGAUGAGAAAAUAGUGUAUUAAAUUAGAAAAAAAAAACUAAAAAAAAAAAAAAACACCCUGACAACUAUAAGUUUUAUACAAACACUUCAAGGGCUCAAUUGGAGAGAUAAAAAAACCCCUCAAAUGCGAGGCCGAGUCUCUUAGACACGUAUAUACAAAAUGGAUUUUUGGUCUUCUUUACGCAUUUUAACACAUUACAGGAACUCUUUGUGUGCUUUAUGGUUUAUUCCCAUCCAAACUAAACUUAAUAACACAAGAUUUUUUUUUUUAUUAUUGUUCAACUACAGAUGUGGACGUAACCAUAUCAUGAGAAGACAAGUACACUAAACUAAAAGAAAAAACAGGAAUUUUCUAACUUCUCCCAAUUUUUAGAAAACAAGUACACUACUCCAAAAACUAACUAGUCUAGCUAGAACGAACAAUAUCACAUUAGAAUCUUCAUAGUUCACAAAGACAUGGUUAGUGUGACCUGAACACAGAAUGGUACACUACGUGUCACUAUAUAAAUAGUGAGAUAUGUGUGUUAAAAAAUUAAUAACUUAAAAAUUAAAUUUGCAACCACUGGUAUAAAAACAAGUGAUGCACCAUCUGUAUUCCGAUCACAAUAAAAAAUUUCUCGUAAUGGCAGCUAUUGAUCAAUAUUAAAUAUCAAGUAUAACAAGAUUUCAAUGUGAAGGUUAAGUUGUAGACGUAUAAAUAUAUGAAUUUACCCUUAAAUAGUUGACUUUGAAUCCAUACAGUACAGUUUAAAUUCUACCCUUUCUGCUAUUUUUUUUUGGCAGCCAUGGAUACCAAACCAAUCUCGUUGUUCAAGUUCUCCAUUAUUUUAUUACGUGUAUUUCUCAAGUCUCGUAUCUCCGUUGCAGCUGACACCAUCAGCGAAAACAAUUCUCUGACCGGUGAUCAAACCAUUGUUUCUUCAGGUGGGAUCUUCGAGCUAGGUUUCUUCAAACCAGGUCAGCUUUCAAACUACUAUAUAGGCAUAUGGUACUCCAAGCACGUAGUAUCUAAGAGGACUAUUGUUUGGGUGGCAAAUAGGGAUAUACAUGUCUCCGAUAUGACCAUUUCUCUGAGAAAUUAGAUGUAUUCAGCUUCAGAGUGUUUUGUUGGAGAUUAUAAGUGGAAAGAAGAAUGUUGUUUUUUAUCGCUUUCAAAAUUCAGCAACUCUGCUGGAUGGGUAAGUACUAAAACAUUAUUCUAACUCAUUCUCAUUCUGUGUUUAACUCUUGCAAAUUUAUGAGUAAUCUAUAUAUAUAUAUAUAUAUAUUGAAUUUUAAUUAGGCAUGGGAGUUGUGGAAAGACGGAAAAGGAAAGGAGGUGAUUGAUGGAUCAAUAGGGGAAACAUGCUGGCCUGAUGGGGCUCAAAGGUGUAUCCAUGUGGGGUUUUUGUGCGUACAAGAAGAGCCAGAUGAUCGACUAACAAUGUCUUCGGUAGUUCAUAGCUGCAGAGCAAUGAAGCUACACCUCCUCCACUUUCCAAAAAAACCUUCGUUUUCGACACAUAAGAAUCUUGGUACUGUUGGUUCUUCUCCUCGAACACCUACCAAUUUUUCCCAUAAUUUAGUCACCAUGAGUUUGCCAGAAGGUCGAUAGGGGUUGCAUGAGCAGUGACUGAAAAGAAAAUAAGAAAAUAGUAUAGUAAAUUAGAGAAAAACAUCACGACAAACUAUAAGUUUUAUACAAACGCUUCAAGCAUUCAUUUUCGGGAGAGAUUCAAGCCGUAUUUGGAGACUUCAAAGCACAUUUCUGGCACAUGUCAAACUAUAUUUGAAGAGGUCAAAGCACAUUCUGGCACAUCUAAAUUAUUAUCCUUAUUAGCUAGGUUCACUAUUGUGGCAUAAUGAGUGUUUGCAUUUGUUUAUGCGAUUUGUUUACUGUCACAAUGUCGAACUUACUGCAGUAAUAUCUUGUUCUCUCAAUUCUUUUGAAUGUGCGAAAUGUCGAGCUUAUUGUAGCAAAUAUGUAGUUUAUAUAUUCUAUUGAUUGAGAAAACGUUCAUAGAAUUAACUCAAUUGUUUUUUGGUAAGUACAAUAUGAACACAUUGUCACCGAAUCAUAGGAUACAAUUCCCUUCAUACCAUCGAUGUUAAGAAAAAGAUACAACAUCACAGACUUAUAGGAUACAAUUUGAUUAGUAUGAGGGACAAAUCUCACGAUAUGAAUAGUUACCCAACUGUCUGUGUUUUGCCGAUCGACUGGCUCCUCACGUCCUACAAAAGUUAUACAUCAUCAGAGAAAACCCUAUUUGAUUAGAUGGUGAAAGCAUUACAAAUUAAUUUACAACCUAGUCUUGGAUUGUUGGAGAAGGUACACGUGUCCUAAUAUCCAGGUUUGACAAGUCAACCUCGGACCCAAAAAAAUAGUGUUUGUCCGUCUAACCUUAGACCUCGGACCUUCACUCACAUACCCGGCCAUUAGAAACUGUCACACCCCAAGUUUUCGAAUUCUUCUAAAUCCAGAAAUAAUAUAUCCGCCAUUGUAAUUUUCUAACCUUUUCUUUCCCAGAAAGAAUCAGAAACAAUUUGAGUUUCAGAAUGUGGGGACAUUCUUUCUUUGAGACAGCCUCGAGGCUUUUCCAUCAACGUUCCUCUCUAUGCAAGAUUCUUGUUGUUGUCACUGUGAGGUACUUGUUCAGUUAUGAAACAUACGUAUGUUCUUUAUUUUAAAAAACAAUCGAUUGUCAAUAUCGGUAUAUUUUUCAGAAUAAUAAUAUGUAUUCAUUUUUUAAUAAAGAACAGACGUCAUGCACAUGAAAUUUCUCUCUUUAACACACAUGUUUAUCGUGCCUGCAUAAUUUUUGUUUUUUUUUCUUUUGCAAGGAUUUAUGUAUUUAUUUAUUUAUAUCUUUUUUGCCGAUUAUAUAUGGUGCAUAACAUCUUUGGCAUUUUAUGUUAAAUGAAACUCUGCAUAUCAUGAUUUCUUCUGACUUGCAUUGCAUAUAUUUGCAGUGGGGGAGGCCUAGCAACAUUUCAUGAGACCAAACCAGUCCAUACUGUAUAUGCUGAUUCGGCUCAGGAAGCCGAAACAAGCAGGAAAAAGAAGGUGGUAGUACUAGGAACCGGUUGGGCUGGAGUCAGUUUCUUGAAGAAUUUGAGGAGUUCUUCUUAUGAUGUUGAAGUGGUGUCACCCAAAAAUUAUUUCAUGUUCACGCCUUUGCUACCGAGUGUUACAUGUGGCACGGUUGAAGCACGCAGCAUUGUUGAACCAAUUCGCAAGAUUACUGAGAAGGUAUGUGCCUAGACAUGUAAUGUGUAUAAAUUUUAUGAUCUGGAUGAUUGAUUAAUUGGAUAUGAUGAGACAAUUAUGCUUAAUUCUCUUUGGUUUCAAUGAUAUGGCAGAAAGGUUUAGAUGUUGAAUUCAGGGAAGCAGAAUGUUAUCGAAUCGAUCCAAAGAAUAAGAAAGUUCUCUGUCGAUCAACCCAACACAGUAAUUUGGGUUUGAAAGAAGCUGAGUUUAGCGUAGAUUACGACUACCUGAUCGUUGCAAUGGGAGCCAAAACAAACACAUUUAACACUCCUGGUGUUGAGCAAUAUGCUCAUUUCUUGAAGGUAACUUAAACUUAUUCUUCCUCCCAUGUCCGAAAAGUAUUUUACAAGAUGAAGAAAUAGUAAGUGUUAAUGUUGGGUUUGAGCUUUUGAUUUGCAGGGAAUAGAAGACGCUGUGAGGAUCCGACAGACUGUGAUUGACUGUUUUGAAAGGGCAAGUCUUCCUAGUGCAAGCGAAGAAGAGAAGAAGAAACUUCUGAGUUUUGUAUGUGUUGGUGGCGGUCCAGCUGGUGUAGAGUUUGCUGCAGAGCUUCAUGACUUUGUAAAAGACGAUUUAGCCAAAUUAUACCCUUCAGUUACAGGAUACGUAAAAAUUACUGUGAUCGAAGCAAGUGAUCAUAUUUUGAACAUGUAAGGCAUGCAUACAGGUUUCUGUAUUAGGGUUUUACAUGUUUAAAGAUGCUAAUUUAAUUUUUACACACUUGGUUAAUUUGGUGUUGCAGGUUUGACAAGAGAAUUACUGCAUUUGCUGAAGGGAAGUUCUUCCGAGACGGAAUUGAUGUAAAAACAGGUUCACUGGUCGUAAAAUUAACUGAUAAGGAAGUCUCCGCUAAGGAUAGAGACACAGGAAAAAUUUCAAAUAUACCUUAUGGGAUGGUUCUCUGGGCAACUGGUAUCGGGCCACGCCCUGAGAUUAUCGAUUUUAUGAAGCAGAUUGGUCAGGUUUGAUACGAACUUGUGCUUGUUUCCAAUUGUAGUCGAGAGCUUAACUUUGGAUUUGAUGCUUCAAUUAAUCAAAUGAUGUAAUUUGUCUGCACAAAACAGACUAAUCGGCGUGUUUUGGCUACGGAUGAAUGGCUGAGGGUGGAAGGAUGUGACGGCGUGUAUGCUUUAGGUGAUUGUGCAACAGUAAAUCAACGCCGUGUCGUGGUAUCUAUUUAAUGUUUUUCUGCUUAUGCCAUGCAUUGCAGUAUGGUUGAAAGUGUCGAUGCAUGUAUUGUUGUAUGGUAGAAUUUGCCGAUUCUAUGUAUGAUAUUUUGUUGUCAUUGCAUACCGAUUUGUUGUCAGGAUGAUAUUGUUUCAAUAUUCCGAAAGGCAGAUAAGGACAACUCUGGUACAUUAAGUCUAGAGGAAUUUCAAGAAGUCAUGGAGGACCUCAUGGUCAGGUAUCCUCAACUGAGCCUUCAUUUGAAGAGCAAGCAUAUGAGGAAUAUUGAUGAGUUGCUGGAAAAUAGUUGGAAAAACCCGAAAGAUGAAGUCGAUAUUGAAACGUUUAAAGCAGCUCUUUCCCAAGCAGAUUCGCAGAUGAAAAAUCUUCCGGCAACUGCCCAGGUUAACUCAUUAUAUUCACUUCUUUUUCCAUCACAUCUCCUAAUCCUCUAACUCAUAUUCCAUUUCUUUAACUAUUUUUGUUUUCUAAAUUCUAAUAAUUUAGGUAGCUGCUCAACAAGGUGCCUACCUUGCCGACUGUUUCAAUCGUAUGGAGGAAUGUGAGAAGUACCCUGAAGGUCCCCUCAAGUUCAGGGAUGUUGGACGCCACCGCUUUCAACCCUUCAGGUGAAAUUCUAUCACCAAUCCAUCAUACAACCGACUUUAAUGUCGUGCUUAGUUACAAUGCUAUGCUACUAGGCUCGUUGGCCUGAACUUUUUAUAUGAUUUACUUGAAGGUACAAACACUUUGGGAUGUUUGCCCCACUGGGAGGAGAACAAACUGCAGCUCAUCUUCCAGGAGAUUGGGUCUCAAUUGGCCAGAGCACUCAGUGGCUCUGGUACUCAGUAUAUGCUAGGUAAAUAUCUGAUACACAUUUUCUUUCACUCAGCUUAAAUCCGGCAUUAGCAUAUCGGUUUCUGCUGAAAGUUCUCGGAAUUUUUGCAGCAAGCUAGUGAGUUGGCGCACAAGGGUGCUGGUGGUUUCGGACUGGGGAAGGCGAUCUAUUUUCGGAAGGGACACCAGUCGGAUUUGAGACCAGAUGGGAGCAUAUAUAUCAUCACACUGGAACUGUGUUUCCACCAUUUGUCUUGCAAUAUAUUAGGCAGAGCAUUGGUUCCAUUUAUUUCUUACUGUCAAACUUGUAACCGGAUUGAAGUUAUGAUAUUUGUACUGCAUAUAUGCAAAUAACUCAUUUGUAUUUUGUAUGCAACUAGUAGUUGUUUGUAUGAACCAAGCCAAGACUGGAAAUCUACAGUCUAAAGGUUAAGGAGCUAAGCGCUCAAAUGGUUAACAACUUUUAUUGUUUGCACCCGAGGUUCUAGAUUCAAUUCUCUUCUACAAUAUUGGUUGUAUUGAAAGAAAAACUUUAUAAAUGAUAGCUAAAAACAUCAACCAUGUCAACGAAAGAGAUCAAAGUUGAAAUGAACAGAAGUCAACUUUUCUUAACCUGUCUCCUUUUUAUAAAGAUAUAAUGUCUUAUUUAGAAGUUCGUCUGUUCAAAAACCGAACUAGGGACACUGAGAGAGAGGGUGGGAUCAAUGAAUGGGCAAGUGUAGGCCUGAAAACCAAGGGAUAAGGUAUAUGUGAUUUUUUGUGUCUUGCCGUAUAGUACAAGUGAACCGGGUGCUAGAUCUUAGAAUUUCUCCCUAUCAAGAGCAGGGAAAAUGAUUAUGUACAACAAAAUGGCAAAACUGGGCCAAAAAGAAAGAAGUCCAAAAAAACCAAGAGAGAAGUGAAAAAACCAAGUGUGCCGGCUUGUUUAAAGCACUUCUAUUAAAACCCGCGCAGCCGCUCCUCAACGUUCUUCUCCUAAGUCCAGUGACUGACGGCUGUGGCAUUUCAUCAAACACCUUACCUGCACUUCCGAACCCCCCACCCCGUCCGCUAUGAAUAUCCAGAGCAUGCUAUCUUCUUCCUCAAGGUGCUUGCGAUGCUACAUAGCAGCAGCAGCAGCAUCAGACGUACGCGCUCUCACUUUCCUCCCCAACUCCGCUCCAAUUCGGCGCCCGAAUCACAACCCCCCGCCAUUCUCCACCUCAGUCGAUCCGCCAUUGUUUUCCACCGCAACCAGAUUCAUCAGCAGCUCUCGGACCUCUUCUUCCCCAGAGCAAGAAGCUACCCUGAAUCAAAUUCUUUCCUCCAUACAAAACGCCGCCACGUUACUCGAAUCCUUGUACGAAAACCGCCUUUUCCUCAGCCCCAAAUCGUUCAACAGCGUGCUGGUUGCGGCCGCCGCCGAAAGCGGCGACCUUUCCCUCCUAUCUCAGCUUCUUCAGGUCGCAAUCGCGUCUUCUCAACCUUUAAAUUCUGCUUGUUUUCUCACUGUCGCCAAAGCUUUCGCAAAGUCGGAUGAUUGCGCGGAGCUGCUCAGAUUAACCAAGCAGGUAAUGGAGCUCACCGCUCCCAGCAUGACAGUCAUAAACAGGAUUCUCUUUGCUUUUGGCGAAUGCGGAGAGACUGAGAAGGCGCUCCUGAUCUUUUCCCAGAUGAAAACUCUUGCUUUCGUGCCCGAUUUGUACACCCACAACACUGUUUUAGAGAUUUUAGGAUGUGCCGGUAGGAUUGAUGAAUUGGUGGGUCAGUUCGGGGUUAUGAAAGAGGCCGGCAUUGUCCCUGAUGUGGUUUCUUACAAUACUGUGUUGAACAAUUUGAGGAAGCUUGGGAAAUUCGAUGUGUGUUUGUUUUACUUCAAGGAAAUGGGUGAAAAUGGAGUGGAGGCAGAUUUGCUUACUUAUACUGCAGUGAUUGAGAGCCUGGGAAGAUCAGGAAAUGUUGAGGAGGCAUUGAGAUUCUUCGAUGAGAUGAAGGCGAGGGAGAUUCGUCCUUCCCUGUAUGUUUAUCGGUCGCUGAUCACGAACCUGAAGAAGAUGGGGAAGGUGGACUUGGCAUUGAGUUUAACGGAGGAGAUGAAUUCGUGUGAUUCGGAGCUUGCUGGUCCAAUGGAUUUCAAACGUAAUAAACGGUUGUAAAUAGUUAUAAGCUGGAGAUACCUUCUGGUUUUCGAUUUGUAGGUCUCUUGUUAUUGCCAUUUGAUGUAGUUGUAUGGUGAUUUAAAUCUGCUAUUCACUUUGUUUGCCCAGUUUUGAAAUGAUUUGUAUCAAACAUGAUUUGAAUUCAACAGUUUUUCUUCGAGCAAAGCUGUUCUUAUUUGCAGACUGAUGAUACUCAGAUUACUAGUCCUAUGGACUUCAAAUGAAAUAUACACUUGUAAGUAGUUAGAAGCUGAAGUUAUCUUUUGGUUUUCGGUUUCAAGGUCUCUUGCUAUUGGCAAUUGGUAUAUAGUUGUAUACCAAUUGGUAUAUAUUUGUAUACCAAUUGGAACGAUUUUGUAUCAAGAUUCAGAUUUCGACACUUUUGUUUGAGUGAAAUCGUUGUUAUUAGCAGACACAUCUCGCUAGGAAGCAAGAAAAUAGCUUCAUCUAUUAUUAUUGCAUAGCAGAGAAACCAGAGACUUACAAACCCAAUUAACCAAUACAAAAUGCAUACUUACUCCAUAACAAGAGUUAUGGCUAACUGAAAAUCAAGUAAACUUUUGAACAAAAAUUAACAAAUUCAGUCGAGGUGAAGUUCCUCGACAAUUCCACUUAUUCUUCCUCAGCACCUUCUUCUGCAAAACUCAAUUCAUGGCAAACCUCCCCAUUGGUGCUAAAGUAGGAUUUCAUCCCAACCAAUUCAGCAGCCCUUUUGGCUGGCCCCGAACCCCUCGGAGUAUCAAUACCACAUCGGACUGUCUUAAUUUUUGGCAGCACAUCUCCUAUCUCAACUGAAGGUGACUUGUUAUCCUCUGCUGCAACUUGGUACACCACUAUCUCACUUGGAAUCUCCCACCUCUUCUUCACCCGGCACUCCGGUCCUUGACUCCUGGAUGUCUCACGGGCAAUGCCAUGCGGCUUUCCAACCAAGGAGACCCGCCUCUUGUCACCUCUCUUACUGUCAUCCUUAUCAUCCUCAGGCCAAGACCGCUUCCGACCAUCACUCACUGCCGAAUUCCCAAUCUGAUUGUACCUACUAGGCACAACCCUCCCAGGCUUGAAUGGUGUUUUCUUAGCAGGCACAGACUUCUCGGCUCCGUCUUUAAAAAGCUUCUUGGGUCCAAUUGAUGCAAGAACCUUGUCUUGCUUCUUCACAGGCCUUUUGGACCCUCCAACAGUAGUUGCAGCCUGUUUCGGAGCUUGAACCUUGGACACAGUUUUCCUCGAUUUCGGACUCAAACUCAAACUCUUGCCCCUCUCUUUCGUAGCCCUCAAUUCAUCGAUGUCCUGAAGCUUCCAAAAGCACGAUUUCCGGCGACUCUGCGUUGCCUGAACAGGGGUGAUCUCGAACUUACUCGGCCUCUGAAAUCCGGCUCCAGCUAUAAUCUCAGACGGCCCCAAACUCAUUCCUCUCCGAUUAUCCUUCGACCUCACGCUCAUCAUCAUAGACUCAAUCUUUUUCAACCCAUCCAAAUUCUUCACACCUUGUUUCUGCUCCAUGAACUUCGCCGCCACAACCCUUCCACGCUUCUCUACCGCCUUCUCGUUUCUCUCAGCCUUUUCAAGUUUAAGCGCUUCCAGCCUCGAAUUCAAUCUACUAAUCUCCUUCUCAAUCUCUUCAAUCUCCGCAUCGAUCUUCCCCUCAUCUCGAACUCUCUCUUCUCCUUCUUUAACCUCUGCAAGACCCUUCUUCUUCGCAACCGCCGAGAAGGGAUCAAGAUUCGUAUUUGUGUCCAGCGGCUUGAAGGGCACCGAAGAUUUGACGCAGACAGGGGUUUUCAGAAUCGCGGGGCUCAGAUUCUCUUUGCUGCAACCCGAUUCAAACGACUCGGAAGAGCAAUUCAGCGAAAGGGGUUGGAGUAUAUCGGACCAGGAAGCCUUCACGACGGAGGAGCCACCUUCGGAGUCUUCGUUGUCGAAGGCGGCGUUGUUCCACACCUGAAGGUCUGGUGCGUUAAUGGCGUCUUGGCAUUCAACUACACUCAUUUUCGCUCACUGGGUUCGAAGUUCAAACGAUUUUAGGGGAAGAUGGAAAGAUUAGAUGAUGGGGUUUUGUACUGUAACUGCUGGUUUGUGAUUCUUGGACGUGAGAGAGAGAGAGAGAGAGAGAGAGAGAGAGAGAGAGAGAGGCGAUCUUUAUUUUUUUUUGUAUUUCGAGAUUUUUGACCGUUGGGAAGAAAUUUAGGAGUUGGGGCCAGCCUGAGGCUCCAUGUAAUCGUAGCCGUCGGAUGCUAAACGGCUCCUAUAGACGCUCCGAUUUGAGUUAAAGUUUUUUGUUUUUAAUGAGAUUUGAAGUAUUUUUGCUCUCGUUUUUUUUGGACAUAUUUGUUUUUACCUUUUACGUUUAUAUUUUUUUGGUUCAGAGGUUAUAUUACGUAGGGCUGUGCCCAAUUUCUCAGAAAAUAUAAUUUUGUUUUUUUCAAACACUAAAUUGGGUGAUUUUGGGAAACCCAAUUUUUGAAUGUUUAAAAAUUGAAAACUGAAGAGAACCAAUAUAUAAUUCUUGACAUCACAUGGUAAAAUCCUUGUUUUUCAACAUUAUAUUGUAUAGAAAAGUCUCGUUCAGUAACUCGAACUUGACAUGAGUAUCGUAAGGUGGUGUCACCUCUAACGUUUUUUUUCUUCUAUUAAGAUUAGACAUCUUUCAUAUUUGGUGCUCUUAAUCAUGUGAGGACUAGAUUCAUUAAAAUUGACAGUUGUGCGACCUAUUAGUUAGUACAAGAAAAUCUCGAUCAUGUCCUCGCCCGCCCACCCAAAGAGGCAAGAGCAUGAUUCUAAUUUUUCAUGGUAUAAAGUUGUAUUUCAAUUUUUUUUUUCAAUUAAUUUGGUUAUUUUUUUUAUGGAAUUAAUUUGGUAGUAUUGAAAUUUUUUGGAACAGUUCCUUCGGGAUUACAAGCAUUACGGGUGGAAUAUGACUCUUCCCUUCACCACAGAACUAAUAAUGGAGAAUGGUAAUUCAACUUAUUUACGAUUAUACCAAAAAUAAUUGGCUGACAAAUUUCCAACUUAUAAAAAAUAAAGAUGCCAGCUUUUUCGCAUCAAUAUAUGAAUAGGAAGGCUCCGAUUAGAGAGACAGAGAUAUCGGGGCGUAAUCUUUUUGUGAAUAGUGCUGAAGUGAAGAAAGCUCAACAAAAACAUACGAACACUAUGCUCAUAAUUGAGAUCGCUGACCAUUUCAUAGAACAUAUAUGCUUGACUUUCCGCGAUGCUCUUUUGGAGUGACCUACCAAACCAGCGAUUGAUGACACUUUCCAAGAAAAAAUUCCCGGAGUGUUGGGUGUCCAAAGGUCAUGACUCAGCCCCAACCCAAUCCUCUAGCCGCAGCCCACUCAGCCCACUUCCAAUCUUUCUCUAUAAACAAAGGGUCGAAGUCGAAACCCUAAAUCUUUUGCCUUGUCAAAAGACAACUCUUGUGACUGUAAGUUGGAAACUUUCCUGUAUCUUCUUCUUCCUCCUCCAUUAUUCUUCUCUUCUUUCUUCUUAUGUAAAGUAAAUUCUCUUUAUAUGUAUCUUCACUAAUAUGUAUGUAUAUUUAUAUGUGUUUAUAUACACGAUGAACUCAAUUAUCCGAACUUCUAUUUUUUAAGAUGCACUUUAUAUAUAUAUAUAUAUAUAUAUAUAUAUAUAUAUAUAUAUAUUAGCGUUUCGUAUAAAUAAGUUUUAUUUAGGCCCUGAUCAUCAUCAGCACUGACUUGAGGGGCGUUUUCUUUUAUAUUUUCAUCAGGUAAUGAACCCCUUAACCCAUGGAAAUCACCAGAGCUUUUAUAGAGGGAGAAAAGAAAGCACACAAUGAGCAAAAGUGCAGUAUUGACAGAAUCAGCAAUCUUCCAAACGAUGUUUUGUACCAAAUACUCUCCUUGUUACCCUUCAAAUACACAGCACGAACCAGUGUUUUAUCUAGAAGAUGGAGAUAUCUAUGGACUUCCGUUCCCGUCCUCGACUUCUGUGCGGGCUUCACAUCUGAGGUCGAUGAUACAAAACGGAUGCAGUUCAUAACCACUGUUUUGACUCGUCGUCAAGAAAACUCCAACAUAAAGGUUUUUCGCAUUGCGAGUGAAGAAUCUAGAGAUGCGAGUUUUGAAUUUUUACAUGACUGCAUCUGCUGGGUUGUGCAGCAUAAUCAGGUUGAAGAAAUUGUACUCUAUCUGAAGAUCGUAAAUGGCAGGUUUGAUUUGCCUCUUUGUGUAUCUGAGUGUGAUUCAUUGAGGAGUCUCACACUGGCAGCCACUAGCGGUUUUUACUUUCUCCGUGUUAGGAUGGCUACUACUACUAUUGGUCUCCGUUCACUUCACACCUUGUCUUUAAUUCGUGUGAAAUUCUUGGAUAAUAGGGAUUUGGUUAUGGAUUUAUUUUCUGAUUCAACAUUCCCUUUCCUUGAGAAAUUGACCAUUUUAAUAUGUAGAGGAAUAUGUGAUCUCAAAAUAAGUUGUUCGCGCCUUGAAUAUGUACGAAUGUUCCGAACAGAUUUAUUUAGGCUGCACAUAUGUGGAAUGAGACUGAAGAAUUUGGACGUUGUGGGCUGUUUCAUCCAUGCAACUCAAAGUUUCGUUGACAUAUUUGCUCCAAAUCUGCAGACGUUUCGUUGGAAACAUAAUUACCUUACAACUGGGAAGUAUUUGAUCCAAAUCUCUCCUACCAUGAGAACAUCUGACGUAAAUUUUUUGGUCCGGGGCAAUGAUAUUAGCAUGGCGAUGACUUGUGUCGCAGUCAAUCUUUUGUGCGGAUUAUCCCAUGUUCAACAACUUGUCCUCAGCAUCGAUGCUCUCCAGGUUCAUUUGCUCAUCUGUUUUCUUGUCUACUACUUUGAAGCUCUUUAGACUUUUAAUUUCAUAAAAUGAGAUAUAUAUAUAUAUAUAUAUAUAUUAGACUAGAGAAAUUGUGUUAAGUGAUGAUAUCAUCUACUUGUAUGCAUUUUCUGAAUUAUUUAAUUGAUAUAUGGCAUAUUUAACCACAUCCAGGUUUUAUCCAGAAUAUAUUUCGAAGAUGGUCUACCAAAUUCAUUUGUGAAACUUCAGACGUUGGAAAUUCAAACUGAGGGCUUUGGCAAACGUGAGAUCCCAGGUCUAACGUGCCUGUUCAAGAGCUCUCCCAUACUCCACACUCUCAAAAUCGACAUAUCCAAUGGCAGCGACCAUAAUGAUGUAAGUUUUUGCCUACUUAGAGUGUACUGUAUAUUGGCAAGUUUACAAGGACAGAUGAGGUUUAAGGUUACGCUGUGAACUUUAUAGAGUUUUGAAUAUAACUAGUAACGAUUAACGACAUAUUUUAUAAUUUUGUUGCAGGUAUGGAACAACAGUUUAUUGGACAUUACUGAAUGCACUGAAGAACAGUACUGGGAAAGUCAAGCUCAGGUUUUGAGUCCCUCCCUUUGUCAUCUAAAGGUGGUGAAGAUCGUUGUUGCCAGUUAUCCUAUGAAUCUUAUGAUCCCCGAGAGUGUGAUUAGCGUUGUGAGGGUUUUACUUCAAUAUGGAGGAGGAUUGCAAGACAUGGUUCUCAGUUCUUAUCACCCGACAUAUUUCCGAGAUCCUUGGAAGGAUACAAUUGGUUUAAUAGAGGGAUUUCCGCGAGCAUCUGCCAAUGUCAAAAUCUCAAUCGUUUUGCUUGCUGACUGAUUGUUUUUCAAUGUGCAUGGAUCCAUGUAGAUGAUGAAGCUAUUGGCUGGUUCUUCAUGUUUAAUAUGUGAUCAAAACGAAAAUGUAACUAAAAACAUCUCCCAUGUAUGCAAAUUGAAUAUAAACUUGAUGGAUUGGUGAUGUCAACAGUGCAAGUUAGAAAACUUACAACCGCAGGAUUUAAUCUCACUGAUUAAGCCUCCACCAUUUGAUCGACAGAAAAACACUGCCCGCUAACUAAGAGAGUCAAAACAGAGCUGAACUCUCUCUCUCUCUCUCUCCACCCUGAACUCGCACGCUCAGUCUCCCAGUCUCGCCGUCACUACCCACCACCACCAGCCCCCUCUUCGUUCGCCGUCCAUCACCACCGCAUAUCUACCUCCAUCUCGUCCUCCAGCUUCCACAUCCAGCUAAGCCGCCAAAUGUUAAAAUGAAACCCCAAAUUGAAGUCCAUAUCGAGUCCUCGACCUCCAUCUUCCACCUGCAGCUUAAAACAAGGUAUUAUUUGUGUUAUCCCUCUCCAAUUUGGUUUGAUUCUUCAAUUUUGAAAUUAGUGAUUUAUUGUUUCGAAUUUGGAUUCUUCAACAUCCAGCUAAGCCGCCAAAUGUUAAAAUGAAACCCCAAAUUGAAGUCCAUAUCGAGUCCUCGACCUCCAUCUUCCACCUGCAGCUUAAAACAAGGUAUUAUUUGUGUUAUCCCUCUCCAAUUGAUUCUUCAAUUUGGUUUGGGAGCAGCCUCUCCAUAAAUGGAGGUAAGGCUAGCCGACAUUCACCUCUCCCAGACCCUGUGUAAAGCGGGAGCCUUGUGCACUGGGUACGACCAGUGAUUUAUUGUUUCGAAUUAGGAUUUCAAUUGUUGCUUUUAUAAUUCAAAUUUAUUAUCCAUUCCCCCCCAAAAAAUGAUAAUUUUUUCCUACUAUUUUAUUCGAGUUGUACGCUCACCAUGAGAGCGUUGGGGCGAAACUCUAUUCGGAGUCCAUAUGAAAAAGUUGCAAAAUUGCACGUGGAACUCCAAUUAUUAAUGUGUCGUGGGGCCACGCUACCGACACUCUAUCCUCUUUACUUAACACGUCCUGAUUAUGAUAUUCUUCAAACACCUAAGGGUGACAAAAUCAUUUUAACAUGCAUGCAAGUUAUGAAGAAAGAAUAAACGAAAAUAAAAUAUGUAAAUUUAAAAUAUAAUGAAAUAUGCAAAUGCGGGAAAGUGUUUAGAGCAUACAACUAAUCAAGAGUACUACGAAAGGAAUAUGAUUACAAAGAAAAAGGGGUUCUACACCGAGAGGACUCGAAGGUACCAAUACGGGAAUGCCUCAACGCCGAGAUCCUACGCCUUGUUUUUAAGUCCUGAAGGGGGUGCAAAACAAAACGUGAGUGGACCAACGUUUAUAGUAAGAAUAAUAAGAAAACCGUUUUUCCUUUAUGAAAAUACUAACCCCAUGUUUUGAAAACACAUAUAAUACUAUAUAAAAGGUUCUUUAAAAACCCUAGCAUGCCAUGAAAACGUUCGUCAAACAUGUACGUAUAAACCAAUGCUUAGUAAUGGUAAUAUAGUCGCCCGAAGGCAAAUCUAUAAAAUCUUCGUAAAUCAUAAAACAGUGUACUUAACUAGGGGUAUCAUAGUCGCCCGAAGGCAUUCCAUCAUCCGAGCGUGAAGCUAUGCAACACUGGGUUACAACAGUGAAGAAACAUGGUAGGUCCUAUUACCUGAAAGUGAAGCUGUACGACUCUGGGUUACAUCAAAGAAGAAAAAGUGCAUAACACACCGACACUGGUUUCGCCAGUGAAGCUGGGAGCAUGUCAUAAAAUAUCUCACUACUCAUCAAACUGUGUCCUAUGGCCAUAGGCAUAUACAUACUCAUGUUGUGUGUAUGUCUUGUAUGAUUACCCUCUAAAUAAGUACCUAAAACAUAAAUCAUAUCUCUUGUAUCAAAUCAUCGGAGCUCAAAAGCUCAAGCAUUAUAUCAUAAAUCAUAUUCGUAAAUCCAUCAUAUAUCGUAAUGUAUAAAAAGUCAUGGUUCGCAAAUCUUUCUAAACGUAAAUUCAAUAAUCAUAAACAUUUCAUAAAACGUAAAUUCGAUAAAUCAUAAAUAUAUCUCAUGAAGUGUAAAAUCAGGAAAUCAUGCUUUUCAUGAAUGUAAUCCUCAUAUUUUGAUAAAAACAUGCAAUUUAAGAUGGGGUCCACUCACAAAUACUCCGUUGCCGAAGAAUCAUGCAAACUAAGGAGGAUGGGGUCGUCCUUAACAAACGCACCUAAGUGCAUAAAAUGACCACAAAACAACAAUAACAACAAAGCAUUUUCCCACUAAGUGGGGUCGGCUAUAUGAAUCCUAGAACGCCAUUGCGCUCAGUUCUGUGUCAUGUCCUUCGUUAGAUCCAGGUACUCUAAGUCUUUUCUUAUAGCCUCAUCCAAAGUUUUCCUAGGUCUUCCUCUACCCCUUCGGCCCUGGACCUUUGUCUCAUAGUCGCAUCUUCUAACCAGAGCGUCAGUAGGCCUUCUAAGCACAUAAAAUAACCAAUUAGUAAAAACUAAAACCUUACCAAAACAAUUGAAUUUGGGAAAACGGAGCGCGGAUUUGGAAUCAGGGCGUCGAAAUUAGUCUAGGAGGGGUCAUGGCCGAAACCGGAAAAAAGUCAACAAAAGUCAACAUUGACGGCCAACUGGUCAAUUGUCAACGCUGACUCACCCGAGCCAAGCCGCCGAAGUUGAGCCAAGCUGCCAGAGCUCACACUGGAUUUUGGAAUUUUUGGUCGAAAAUUUGGGCAAAUUUUGAAGCUUCGUAACUUCAUUGUUUCUUAACCAAAUUCGACCCAUAAUAUAUCAAAAUGACGAUAGGAAAGUGUAGAACAAGAUUAUACCUAUUUGGAAGCUCAAUGGUGGCCAGAGAUAGAUGGGAAAUAGCCUAAAAGGUGACAAGUCCGCAGGAAAACUGGGUUCUUCGUCGAAAACUAAAAAAACUUUAAACAUCCAUAACUUCGUCUAUACUCAACGAAAUUAAGUGAUUCAAAAGUAAAAAUUAUACCUCGAAAUGAGACGAAAAGAUUGGUACCCUCCUCAAUGGCUAAGUCGUUAUGGUUUGGUCAAAAAAUGACUUGAAAGCUAUGGAGGUUGUGGGAAACAGGGUAAACUUUAAAUGUUCAUAACUUCUUCAAUUCUUAACCAAAAUCGACAAUCUUUAUAUGGAAAUGAAGCUUAAAAUGAGGAGAAAACAUAUGUACCAAUUUAGACCGAGUGGUGGUGGGAGUUGGUUGGAAAACGCCUGCAAAAGUCGUAGUUUUCAUUGAAAAACUGGGGAAGUCUUUCCCUAAGGCAUUUAUGGUCCAAACGCCACCAAAGCUUCUCAAAAACCUUCCAAUCAUAUCCCUAGACAUGAUCAACUAAGUUUUGGACUAAGUUUGGGGCUUACCUUCUUGGAUAUGGCGGGAACUCGCAGGGAAAUUUUGUGCACAAUGGCUGCACAUUAUAGCGCAAUGGAGAGAUUUCUCAAGGUUCUUGAGAGGUUUUGCGUAGAGCGAAGGUUUGCGCAGGGCAGUUUGUGUGUUAAAUUUGAGGUCCCUUUAAUGUUUCCUGCCGCUUGGUAUUUAUAGAGACCUACAUACCUAAGUCAUGAAAAACAAUCCCAAUUGCAUUGUGACUCCAAAUCUUUAAUUGUUGCUGCUGCCCACAGACCUAUCCUAUGCAUAAUCACAAUAAAUGAAAACUCUGAAAACUUUAUCCUUUAUGCGCCUAAGUCCACGCCUUAGGCCUUAUCACAUCAAUCAAAGCUUAAUCUCAUCUCCCAAAACUCCAUCAGUAGCCUUUAUCCCAUGCAUGCAUAAUAAAAUGAAAUAUAAUCCCAUCAUGCAUGCCUUAUUAUCUGAUACUUUAAAGACCAUCUUCCAUCAAACACAUGGCAUCCAAUUGUUGCACGGCAUCAGUCACUCACCCAUUCAAUCUCAUCUGUAUACUAACCAACAUUUAAUUUGCACGCAAAUUGUUGCUUAACCAGAUAAGAGUCUCAAAGCUUGAGAUAUAGUUUGCAUCCCAUUUUCUGUACUAAAAGAUAAUUAUUAUGAUAAAACCAUAAUAAUAUCUUUAAAUAACAAAAUUAUCUUCACCUUUUCAUCUGUCCGUCUGGCACUAUGCUCAACCAACGACCUCGGUUGCACGGGCCGAUGGUGUAAAUUUGGGUCCAAACAAAAGGCAUUCCCAAAUUUGGUAGCUCAAGGUCCUCCCCUCCUUGCAGUACCUCUUCUUUGCAACCCCACCUUUAAAUAUUAUCCCUCUGCUUGUAAUCUUAAGUAGUAGUAUGCUCUACACAUGUUCAUCAUUCUCACACUUUAAUUCUUAAAGAUAUGUAUUUUAAUAUGAUUAUUAUAUUCAACGCAAAUUUGCAAGCAUGCUUACAUGUUCUUAGUAUAAGCAUGAUAUGAUGGCUUGCUUCACUCAUUGGGAGUCGGCCAGCAAGUGGCUAUCCUGGUGUCCUCCGGACAACGGGAUCGGGGCAUGUCAUAUAUAGCAAGUUUGUUUGUUUUUUGGCUGUCUACAUGCUUGGACGUUCUUCAAUAAAAUUAGCUCAGACAAAUUGGUUAGGGUUUCAUAUAAUUAAGUUUUAUUUAGGCCCUGAUCAUCAUCAGCACUGACUUGAGGGGCGUUUAUUCUUUUGAUCUUUUUAGCAAGUAAUUAACUCAUUACUCCAUGGAAAUCACCAAAGCUUUUAUAGAGGAAGAAAAGGAAGCACACAAUGAGCAAAAGUGCAGUAUUGACAGAAUUAGCGAUCUUCCAAAUGAUGUUUUGUAUCGCAUACUCUCUUUGUUACCCGUUAAUUCCAUAGCACAAACCAGUGUUUUAUCUAGAAGAUGGGAAUAUUUAUGGACUUCUGUUCCCAUCCUCGACUUCUACGAGGGGUUUCCAUCUGACGUCGAUGAUAUUAAAUGGAUGCAGUUCAUAACCAAUGCUUUGACUCGACGUCAAGAAAAGUCUUUGACAUAAAAAUCUUUCGCAUUGCGAUUAAAGAUUCUGGAGGUGCAAGUUUAAUUUUUUUAAAUGAUUCUAUCUGCUUGGUGGUGCAACAUAAUAAGAUUGAAGAACUUGUACUCUAUCUGAAGUUCGUAAAUGGCAUGUUUGAUUUGCCCCUGUGUAUUUGAGUGUGAUUCAUUGAGGAGUCUCACAGUGUUAGCCACUAGCAGUUUUUUGUUUCUCCGUGUUAGGAGGGCUGUUACUACUAGUGGUAUCCGUUUACUAUACACCUUGUUUCUAGGUUCUGUGGAAUUCUCGGAUAGUAGUGUUUUGGUUAUGGAUUUAUUUUCUGAUUCAGCCCUCCCUUCACUUGAGAAAUUGAAAUUGAUUAUAUGUAAAUGUAGAGGAAUAGGUGAUCUCAAAAUAAGUUGUCCACGCCUCGAAGAAGUACAUAUUUUCGGAACAAGUUUAUUUAGGCUGCACAUAUGUGGAAUGAGACUGAAGAAUUUGGUCGUCGAGAGCUGUUUUGUCCAUGCAACUCAAAGUUUUGUCUGUUAAGCAUUAGCCAUUUAACCAAGAAAACGAAGGAAUCUAGAGAGAGACAGAACUUAGAGAGAGAAAGUUCGGUAACUGUAUUUCUAUUUCUUCUUACUUAAGUUAUUACAUCACACUAGUAUUUAUAGAGAAGCCAUACAUCAUAACUGCCUCUCCAACAAUCCUAACUAAUUACUCCUAUCUUGAGCUGACAAGUGGCACUAUAUCUACCCUUGAUUAUACUCUAACAUCCCCCCGCAAUCACAUGUGUGGAUGAACCAAACAUGAGAUUGUUACAAUGAGUGUGAAAUAGGGGUGCACUAAGACCCUUAGUGAAAAUAUCUGCAAACUGUUCUCGAGAUGACACAAACUGAACAGCAAGCUGCUUCUUGGCAAUUCGCUCCCGGACAAAAUGGACAUCCACCUCAAUAUGUUUCGACCUUUGAUGUUGAACAGGGUUAAAUGACAACGCUAUUGCCGACAGGUUGUCACAAAAAAGGACAGGAGGAGAAGAUAUUUGAACCUGCAGAAAUGCAAGAACUUGUAAGAUCCAAUCAAGCUCAGCAGAGGUAGUAGACAUAGCCCGAUACUCAGCCUCUGUGGAGGACCGAGAAACAGUUUGCUGUUUCUUGGAAGACCAGGAAACAGGAUUUGAACCCAGAAACACUACCAAUCCAGUGGUGGACCUGCGAUCAUUCGGAUCACCCGCCCAAUCCGCAUCACUAAAAGCUCGUAUUGUCAAGUCACUCUUGGAGUAAGUAAGACCAAGCUGCAUUGUGCCUUUCAAAUAUCGGAGGAUUCUCUUUACGGCAGUAAAGUGAGACACCAUAGGAUUUUGCAUAAACUGACAGACUUGGUGUACAGAGAAUGAGAUAUCUGGACGGGUAAAUGUAAGAUAUUGUAAGGCACCAACAAUACUUCUAUAGGCAGUGGGAUUGUUAUACGGAAGGCCAUCAUCUUUCAAAAGCCUGUUAUAGGGUAAGCAAGGAGUAUCACAAGGCUUGGCCUCGAGCAUUUCUGUCUUCUGCAGCAGGUCCUGAAUAUAUUUAGACUGGGAAAGAAACAAACCAGAAUAUGUUCUAGUGAUUUGGAUGCCAAGAAAAUAAUGUAACUUCCCAAGAUCCUUAAGAUCAAACUCAGAAGUAAGGGACCGAAUAACCUGUUGGAUAACAGUGAUGGAGCUUCCAGUAAUGAUAAUGUCAUCAACGUAUAGUAAUAGAACCACAACAGCACUACCAAUGGUGUUUAUGAACAGAGAAGAAUCUGAAUAUGUUGUUUUGAACCCAAUUGUUGGAAGGAACGUAGUGAACCGCUCAUUCCAUGCUCGAGGAGCUUGUUUCAAGCCAUAGAGAGACUUGUGAAGCUUACAAACAAGAUGUGGAUGGCUAGAAUCUUCAAACCCCGGAGGUUGGGACAUAUAGACAUCCUCUUGCAAAAAACCAUGCAGGAACGCGUUCUUCACAUCCAAUUGUCUAAGAGGCCAGCCAAAGUGAGCAGCAAGGGAUAAAACUAACCGGACUGUAGUUGGUUUGACCACAGGACUGAAAGUCUCCCCAAAAUCUAAACCAGGUUCUUGGCUAAAUCCUUUUGCAACCAAACGAGCCUUAUGUCGACCAAUGGACCCAUCAGCAUUCCGUUUGAGUUUGAACACCCACUUACAGCCUACAAGAUUCUUCUGAGAUGGUAAGGAAACCAAUGACCAAGUGCCUUGAGAGUGAAGUGCAUGGAUUUCCUCCUGCAUAGCCUUGUACCAAACUGGAACCUUAAGAGCAUUCUUAUAGGAUGUGGGUUCAAUAACAGAUAGAUCCACUUCACUGGAGUCCUCCAAGGUAGCAAGGAAUGCCUUUCUUUUGACAAUACCAUUUUUGCUCCUAGUUUGCAUAGGAUGCAAGUUAAUGGGAGCAAUAGGCAGGACCACGGGCAAGUGCUCAGGACUAAAUGUUGAGCCUAUAGAAUCAACAGGACUUUGUACAUAAUCCACAGGGAGCAGGGAGGAAACAUUGUGACCAGCAAUAAUGGACUGUGAUGGUAAUUGAGGCUGAGACCCUGCAGGAGAAAUGGAUGCUAGUGGCACUGACUCGGGGGUUGCAGAAACAGUGUGAUUAUGAUUUGAAAGAGGACAAUGAGAUGAGGAGGAAACCAAAAUGUUAUCGAGUGUAGGAAUUAAUGAUGAAUGUGAAAGAGUGCUAGAAGACUGAGGGAGAGAAUACUGAUGCUUCUGAGACAGCAAGGUUUUGUAUGGAAACUCUAACUCAUUGAACACUACAUGCCUGGAUAUGUAAUAUUUGUGCCGUGAGACAUCAAAACAAAUAUACCCCUUGUACUGGGAAGCAUAACCAAGGAAGACACACUUGAUGGUUUUGGGUUGUAAUUUAGAUGCAUUAUAAGGGCUGAGAAAUGGAAAACAUGAACAGCCAAAGAUCUUAAGAUGGGAAAUGAUGGGGAGUUUACCAUACAAAGCUUCAAAAGGGGAUUUAUUUUGUAAAAUAGUGGUAGGCAUUCGGUUAAUAAGAUAGACAGCAGUUUGACAACCAAAAGACCAGAAUUCAGAGGGUAGAGAAGCAUGUUGAAGUAAUGUGAUUGUGGUUUCAAUGACAUGCCUAUGUUUACGCUCAGCUAAACCAUUUUGUUGAGGUGUAUAGGGACAAGAUUUGUGAUGUAGAAUACCUUGAUGUUGUAAGAAGGAAUGCAACCUAUGAUUGACAUACUCACCACCACCAUCAGUUUGUAAUAUUUUGACAGUAGUAGAAAAUUGAGUGUGUACAAAAGAACAGAAUCUUACAAAGGUGGUAAAGAAAUCUGAUUUAUUUAUAAGAGGGAAUAUCCAACAAAAACGAGUACACUCAUCAAUUAGUGUGACAUAAUACUUGAAACCAUCAAUAGAACUACAAGGAGCAGGACCCCAAAGGUCACUGUGUACAAUUUCAAAUGGAAUUGAAGAUUGAUGAGUUCUAGGUGAAAAAGGUAACCUGGUGAAUUUACCCUCUAAACAACUUUGACACACAGUGGACACAACAUCUUUAUCACAUGGGAUAUUAGCAUUUUUCAGCAUCAAUGAGGUAGUAAUAUUAGAAGGAUGACCGAAACGGUUGUGCCAAACACUGGAUUUGACAAGCUGUCCAAGACAUGCAAUAGUCUGGUGAAUAGAAGAUCGGGACUGAGGAAGAGUUGGUAUGGGAUAAAGUCCAUUACUGCACAGGCCUUUGUGGAGGAUCCUCCCUGUGGCUUUGUCCUGGAUCCAAAAACAAGAGGCAUCAAAUAUGAGCUAACAAUGGUUAUCAAGACAAAUUUUAUGAACUGAUAACAGGUUAUGAGUCAACUUUGGUACAUAUAAAACGGAAUUCAAUUUAAUGGGAUAUGUAGAAGGUUUGAUAACACUACUGCCAAUAUGAGACACAGUCAAACCUUCACCAUUGGCAGUUUGCACAAGCUCAGUAGUGGGAUAUGGCGAGGCUAAAGACAGAUUCUGAAUAUCAGCAGUCAUAUGGUUUGAGGCUCCCGAAUCCGCAAGCCAAAACGGAGGAGAGGUUUGAGAAGAAGAGCAUUGGGAGGGAUGAUUAACCACAGUAUGCAUAGCAUGCAUAUGAGGCAGAUUUGGAGACUGAGAAGUCGACAUGGAGACUUGUGAGGGAUGAAACUGCGAAUCACCAAUGUAAUUUGGCCCUUUGUCAUUAUAAAAACAAAACCAAGUGGAAUGGUUUGUCUUGCCACAAAUAUGACAACCUUGUUGUGAUUGAGAUCUCGAUCCGCAAAAAGAUGCAGAGUGACCAUAUGUGUUGCAUAGCUGACAAAUGACGGAAGGAGAUCCACCAGUAUACCCAUUUGGAGAAGAACCAAGAACUCCUGAAGUUGAAUUAGGAUACACAUUAUAAGACUGUCUGUGGAAUUUGACUCCGUGAUUAAACUUGCCCCUGCCUUUUUGUUUGUUAUGAUUAAACUGCCUGUUCCCUCCUGAGAAGAAAUUAGAUGGACCAGAAUUAUUAUGAAACUGAGAUGGAGAUCGUUUGGUAGCCGAAGAAUGAUCUGCAACCAUAGCAGACAAAAGUGGACCCUGAACAUGAGUUUCAACAAUGAGCUCCUCAGCAAGAAGUUGAGAUCUAAACUCCUUAAGAGAUAUAACAUUCUCACGGCCCCGAAUCACACACCUAAAGGUAUUAUAUUCAGGAGGUAAUCCAUUAAGUGCAAGAAUCACAAUGUCCUCAUCUGCAAAGUGUACCCCAGCAGCAGAAAGAUAAUCUCGAGCUUCUUUGAUCUUUUGCAAGUACUGAGACACACUAUCAGACCCUUUCUUGAUUGUUUGGAGAUUGGACUUCAUUUGAAAGAUACUAGUUCGAGAAACAGUGGAGAAUUGUUCCUUCAAUCUAGUCCACAAAUCUUGAGAACUAACACUGCCAAUAGCACAGGAGACAGCAACUGGAGAUAAAGUUGCAGUGAUUAAUUGCAUUAAAGCCCGAUCAUGCAUUUUCCAGACAAUGUAAUCCUCAUUUUCCACAGUAGAUAAACCAGGCUCAUUGUUCCGAUCAACAGCAGAAUUUCCAGAACGUUGAACAAAACGAGCAGGACAAGAAGUAGAUCCAUCAACAAAUCCCAUAAUCCCAUGUCCGUCCAAUAACAAUUGCAUUUGAAAUUGCCAAUUUAAGUAGUUAGAAUCAUCCAAUUUCACAUGAACAGAUGCAGAAACAGUGGAAACAAGAGAUGUUAUGGGAGAUUGAACAAUCUGAAGUUGAGAAGCAGUCACCAUAAUUUCGUAUAUCAAUGAAGAAACUUAACAGAGGCAAUAUCACAAACACCUGGCGGGCAGAAAAAUUUUUUAAUCUUGAAGAGAAUCGAAGGACAAUAUCAGAAACCCUAGAAAUCGAAGGAGAAGAAUACCAAUCCAAUCUUUGAAGAACCACAACACCAAGUGCAGAAAUGGCUGUGGGAAGAAGACGAAGAACUCGACGAGCAGCGAGUAGCGGAAGCAACUAGAGGAUCGAAGAUGCGCAAGCAAUUCCAGCGAUUGAUACCAUGUUAAGCAUUAGCCAUUUAACCAAGAAAACGAAGGAAUCUAGAGAGAGACAGAACUUAGAGAGAGAGAGUUCGGUAACUGUAUUUCUAUUUCUUCUUACUUAAGCUAUUACAUCACACUAGUAUUUAUAGAGAAGCCAUACAUCAUAACUGCCUCUCCAACAAUCCUAACUAAUUACUCCUAUCUUGAGCUGACAAGUGGCACUAUAUCUACCCUUGAUUAUACUCUAACAUUGUCGACAUUUUUGCUCCAAAUCUGCAGACGUUUCGUUGGAAUCUUAAUCACCUUACAAUUGUGAAAUAUCUGACCCCAAUCUCAACUGCCUUGAGAACAUCUGAUAUUGAUUUUUUGGUUCGAGAUAAUAAUAUUAGCAAGGCGAUGACUUGUGGCGCAGUCAAUCUAUUAUCUGGAUUAUUCCAUGUUCAACAACUUGUCCUCAACAUCGACACUCUCCAGGUAAUGCUCAUCUGUUUUUUUGUCUACUACUCUGGAACUUUGGAGACUAUUAAUUAAUAUAUGGCUAAUUUAACCAUUUACAGGUUUUAUCCAAAGUGUAUUUUGAAGGUGGUUUACCAAAGGCAAAUUCAUUUGUGAAACUCCAGACGUUGGAAAUUUAUACCAAGGGCUUUGGCAAACGCGAGAUCCCAGGUCUAACCUGCCAGUUCAAGAGCUCUCCCAUACUCCACACUCUCAAAAUUGACAUAUCCCAUAGCCGCGACCGCAAUGAUGUAAGUUUUUGCUUAGUUAGGUGUACUGUAUAUUAGCAAGUUUUAAAGACAAAUGCGUUUUAGGAAAAGCUUGAUUUUUCUACUGAUUGAAAUCACUAGCCUGACAUUACUGUGUACGUUAUAGAGUUUGAAUAUGUAACUAAUAAGUAAUAACGAUAUAUAUUAUAAUUUUGUUGCAGGUAUUGAACAACAGUUUGUUGGACAAUGCUGAUUGCACUGAAGAAAAAUACUGGGAGAGUCAAGCUCAGGUUUUGAGUCCCACCAUGUGUCAUCUAAAGAUGGCGAAGAUCGUUGCAGCCAAUUAUCCUUUGAAUCUUAUGAUCCCUGAGAGUGUGAUUUGCGUCGUAAGGUUUUUACAUCAACAUGGAGGAAGCAUGCAAGAAAUGAUUCUAUGUACCGACAAUGAGUUUCUGCAGACAAAUCCAGAUCCUUGGCAGUAUAAAAUUGGUUUGAUAGAGGGAUUCCCACGGGCAUUUGCUCAUGUCUUCCGAAUGACUGUUUUCCAAACGUGCUUCAAUCAAUAUAGACGACGAAGGUAUCAAACUAAUAGUUGGUUUAAUAUUUCAGGUUCGAUAUGUAAUACAAAUUAAAAUGUAUAAACAUACUUGUCUAGGCAGAAAUAGAUAACUUUAAUUUUACAUUAAUUUUUUUAUCCUAAAUUGUAAGAGAUUUGUGGAAUACUUGCAAUGAACACUAAUUAUAUCUUUGUUCCAUUUGUUUUCAAUAUGUUAUAAUACUUUAUAAUAUAUGUCAUUCUGAUUUUCAAUUUAUAUAUCCACAAUGAUUAUGUAUUUUUUAAGUAUAAACAGAUACUUAUUUAUACAAUAUAUAAUAAAAUUACUUAAAUUCGCCUAGGUUCCGACUGGCUGCCUAGGCGCUAGACUAUAGUCCGCUGUCCGACUAGCAGUUAACAUCUUUUAGAAACAUGAGUUCAACAAUAUUUUUAAUUUCUAUGUUCCCUUUUGAAACUCAUUUUAUAUUCGAAACUCCCUCCCUCCUGAAUUACUUUAAUAGUUUGAACACUCCCCAUUUCCCUUAAUAAUAAUAACACUAUAGAAACCAUAAUACUUUGAUUUGGUGGUCUCAAGUUCAGUGGACGAUUCAUCUGAUACUAAUUUAAUUUUCUACCCCUUAAUAUAAUUUAUUUUUCUACUUUUUAAUAUACUUUUUUUUGACAAACCCUUAACGUAAAUUUUGUAUAAUAAAAAUAAAAAAAACAUACGACGUGGCAUAAUGUGGAUCAUGGAUUGUAAUGGACGGUCCAGAUUAAAAGCAUUGUACAAUCCGGUACUAGGCCGGUAAGGCAGAGGAUCCAGGUAGACGCUGGACCGUUCCGAUCAGCGGCACUUGGCCCUCUGCAACUCCAAAACUCGUGCUAACUUCAGCUUCUUCUUCCAGUGAGCCGUUAGGGGGGCUGUUUGUACGCCUGGAUAAAGAUUUCGGACUAAAUUAUCCCGGAAUUGGAUUCGAAGAUGGAUUCAGGGAGGCAGGUGUUCACGGUGGAUCUUCUGGAACGAUAUGCGGCCAAGGGGCGCGGAAAUAUCACCUGUAUGGCUGCCGGAAACGACGUCAUUUUGCUCGGAACCAGUAAAGGUUGGAUCAUUCGACACGAUUUCGGCGUCGGCGAUUCGUUUGGUACGUUACUCUUAUCCAAUCCUUUCGUUUGGUACUUUCAAUUCUUUGCCAAUUCACAAAUUUUUCAUUUGAUGAGAAUUUAGAAUUCAAUCUUUUGUAAUUGACGUGAAAUUCGAGACCUUCAUCUCAAAUUAGUGAUUUUUAUUUAUUUAUUUUUUUUUUUUUGCAGAGAAAGUCUUGAAUUCCUGUCAAAUUUCGGAUUUUGAUCCGAGCUUAUAUGCUUAGUGAUAGUGUUUAGCGUAAUUAGCUAGAUAGGAUAUGAUUAGUAGCAAUUUACUUGAUUGAUUGAGCUGAUUAGAACAGUGUUUUGCUUUAGUUGCUAAGAGACCCGUUGUCGAAUUCGGUUGACUAGAUUGUUUUGCUUUCUAUUUUGUGUAUGGUAUGAUCAAACAAUGCUUGAUGGUUGUUGUUUAUUUGAGCUAUAGAUAUUGAUCUCUCGGUGGGUCGUCCUGGGGAGCAAUCCAUCCAUAGAGUUUUUGUUGAUCCUGGAGGGAGCCACUGCAUUGCCACCAUUGUUGGGAGUGGGGGUGCUGACACGUUCUAUACUCAUGCAAAAUGGACCAAGCCCCGUCUUUUAACCAAGCUAAAGGGUCUUGUUAUGAAUGCCGUUGCCUGGAACAGACAACAGAUUACAGAAGGUAAUUUGUCAGUCCAUUGACUAUUUUCCCCCAUUGCAUUUGGAUGGAGGGUUUGUGCAUAUUGACUCAUUUGAGCUAUUGUGUGUGAUUUUGUUCGUAAAAAUCUCAGCUUCAACAAAGGAAGUCAUUCUCGGUACAGACAACGGCCAACUUUAUGAAAUGGCAGUUGACGAGAAGGAUAAGAAGGAGAAAUACGUAAAGUUUUUGUUCGAAUUAUUAGAACUUCCUGAGGCUUUCAUGGGUUUGCAGGUAAUCUUUGAUCACCUUCUCUAAUAGAGAAUUGAUUUGACAGUUACCAAUUUGCAACUCUACGCAUCAUGAUCUUGAUCUCAUUCUUUGUGUGCAGAUGGAAACGGCAACCAUUCUCAGUGGGACUAGAUACUAUGUAAUGGCUGUAACUCCUACAAGACUCUAUUCUUUUACUGGUAUUGGAUCACUGGAAGUAAGUUUUCUUCCAUGCCUAGUGAAAUUGUCAUUUCCAGUGACAAUAUAUUUGUUGCUGUUACAAUUCUCAUAACCUGAAUAUUCUGCGUUUCUAGACUGUUUUUGCUAGUUACUCGGAACAAACAGUGCAUUUCAUGGAACUUCCUGGUGAAAUUCCUAACAGGCAAGUGUUUAUGUUGACACUACUAAAAUUAUUUUCAAAAUGGGAUAAAAAUAUUCCCUAUUUUUUUCCCUUUUAUUUUUUGGGAAUCAUUUUUCCUUUUAUUAAAUAAACUGUUACCUUUGAUUUGCAAAAUUGUUGAUGUACUGUUUCCUGUCAUUCUUGUUGAGCUUUCUGGUUUCACUUUGUCAUCUUUCAGUGAACUGCAUUUCUAUAUCAAGCAAAGAAGAGCAAUACAUUUUGCAUGGCUUUCUGGUGCUGGUAUAUAUCAUGGUGGUUUAAAUUUUGGAGCACAACAUAGGUACAAGAUAACAUUCUUCUGUUCUUCCUUCUUUUCUGAUGGCAUUGUCUGUCUAGAUUCUGAUCAUUCUGCCUUCUACUGAGUAGUUUUAUGGUUGACAUUGUGAAACUUGUUAAUAGCAUUCCUUGAUAUAUUUAAUAUUUAAUGAUUGUUAGCAUGUAACCUUCCCCUGAUUUAUCUCUUUUGCAGUUCUCCUGAUGGAGAUGAAAAUUUUGUGGAGAACAAGGCUCUUUUGAACUAUUCAACUUUGAGUGGGGGUUCUGAAGCGGUGAAACCCAGUUCUAUGGCAGUUUCAGAAUUUCAUUUCCUGCUUCUUAUCGGGAAUAGGGUUAAGGUAUUCACAUUUUAAUUCUCUGAAUAACUUUUUUCUUCUCAGUGCUGUUAUCUCUAUGUCCCUGUUGAGUAUCAUGUUAUGAACUGCUGCUGAUGCUAAGCAUUAGGUUAAAUGCAUUAGAUAUGUGAUUCUUUUAUUAUUCACAGAAUACUGCUGAAUACUGCACCUGCCCCCUUUUUAGCUUCCAUUAUGAGUGUAAUUCUUUUGUAGGUUGUAAAUAGAAUAAGUGAGCAAACUAUUGAGGAGCUUCAGUUUGAGCAAACACCCGAAGCAGUUUCAAGGGGUGUCACUGGAUUGUGUAGUGAUGCCACUGCUGGGUUGUUCUAUGCAUAUGAUCAAAACUCUGUAUUUCAGGUUUGUGUCUUCAAUUGCCUAAAUAUUUUCUGAAUUUAGUUCAUUUUGCAUCAGACAGUAAAGUUUUCCGUACUGCUGAAUUUGAGAACAUAAUGUAGGUGUCUGUUAAUGAUGAAGGCCGAGACAUGUGGAAAGUUUACCUGGACAUGAAGGAGUAUGCUGCUGCUUUGGCAAAUUGCCGCGACCCACUUCAGAGGGACCAAGUAUAUUUGGUGCAGGUCGUAUCUAAGUGAUGGUUAUACUCAUUGUCGCUUAUUGUAAUUUAUUCUCACUAUGGCACUUAAUUAAAAAAAUGUGAAGAUUAUUGCGUUGCUGGUUGUAUAUUUGUCUUCUCAAUCUUGUAUUUACCUGGGUAGUCAGUAACGAAGUAAUUUGAUUUGCAGGCUGAAGCUGCAUUUUCCGCCAAGGAUUAUCUUAGAGCAGCAUCAGUCUAUGCAAAAGUGAAUUCUCUAUUUCCUUGAUCUGUUUUCCCAUAUAUUUAUUGCAAUAAUGGCUAUAGGUGCAGCAGGCCAUUUGUUGUUUAUUAAUGAUAAUAUGAUUCUUUUCUAAUCUUAUUGCCUCGAUUUUUCAGUUUUGGUUAUAUUUAUACUAGAUUUGAACGUACUUCUAAUUGUGCAGUCACAUUGAUUACAUUUAGGAAUAUGCAUCACUUACUGAGAUAUUGUGUGGUAGCUAUUAAACUAUAAAGUACACAUUGUUUUUGUCUUGAUGUUUCUCAUAUUGUAAGGCAAUAUCUGAGAAAUUACCAGUUAAUAUCUUUUCAGUGAACAGCUACAUUACUAAUAUCGUUAAAUUGAAAUUGGCUACCCUUUCCAUUCUAUCAGUCUGAUCACCCAGGUCUCAUAUUUGAUGGAUGCUGAGAGUAAUUAGUGAUUUAAUUUGGUCGAAGCAUAAUAACAAUGAUUUUCCUGCCACUUCUCUAUGAUUGUUUUGAUUUAUUUCUGGUUAUUAUAACUUGUUACAGCUCAUUUAUUAAAUUAUGGGAUUGUCUUGCAGAUUAAUUACAUAUUGUCAUUCGAGGAGAUCACUUUGAAGUUUAUCACUGUAAAUGAACAGGUACUUGCAAAAUGUUCCUUGCACCGUCUGUGUUUUUGAUUUGGUAUUAAACUCUUAUGCAUUUUUUAUUUUACUUGGCAUGCUUGCAGGAUGCUUUAAGAACCUUUCUAUUGUGGAAACUUGAUAGCCUUGCGGUGGAUGACAAAUGCCAAGUAACAAUGAUUUCGACAUGGGCAACUGAACUGUACUUGGAUAAGGUCUUACUUAGCUCUUGGAUAAAGAACUAGUUUUUUCUUACCUCUCCUGCCUUAUUCUGGAUAGCUUGUAAAUGUUGCAUUCUUUUUUCUUAAUGCAUAUCAAAGGGCAAGAAGGAUAAUUAAUGACGAUGCAUUCUGCUUAAGAUAAAAUCUGAGAACAUCUUCCUUUUGACUCUGUCGUCAGUUUAUGCACACUUAAAAUAGAAUAAUGUAGACGUUGAAAGUUUCCUUUUACCUGAAGUUACGAAUCCAUCACUAAUAUGUUGUUUUUCAUUGUAGAUAAAUCGUCUACUAUUGGAAGAUGAUACUGCAGUGGAUAAUCGUAAUUCUGAGUAUCACUUGAUCAUUAAGGAGUUUCGUGCAUUUCUUAGUGACUCCAAGGAUGUUUUGGAUGAGGCAACUACCAUGAGACUUUUAGAAAGGUAAUUGUCAUUGAAUUUGCUUUGAAUUGUUCAUCUCGCACCAUUCUUUUUAAAUUCUUAUACAGCUAGGGAAUCCCAUAUGCUAAUAUCAUGUUGUUUAAAUGUAUCAGUAGAAGAAAAUGUCAUUUUUAAAUAUUAUCUUCUACAAUUAGAUUAUUGUGAAAGAUCUGUGCCAUUAGGUACUUGGUGGGUCUUUCUCUUUAGAUUAUAUUAUAGUUGAAAGAAUACUAAAACAAAGGAUCCUCUGGCUACAUGCUGCAGUUAUGGCCGAGUCGAAGAAUUGGUUUUUUUUGCUAGUCUGAAGGAACAGUAUGAAAUUGUAGUCCACCAUUAUAUUCAGGUGCUUUAUGCUUCCAAUUUAUUUCUUAUUUGGUUUCAGAUUCUUGUCAUUAUCACCUGUUUUGCUACUUCCAUGGUUUCUUUUAGUUUUUUUUUUUUUUUCUUAAAUGUCCUUCUAGUCAUGCUUGUUUUGCAUUGACUGAAUGCACAUUAGCAAGGAGAGGCAAAGAAAGCAUUGGAGGUGCUCCAAAAACCUACUGUUCCUAUAGAUCUUCAGGUAUGGGUUAUGUUCUCUGGUUUGGUGUUUGAAAUUUUUCCCAAACAGGUUCCAGAUGUUCUCUAGUGUUUAUGUUUUAUAAUAUUAUUAGUAUAUAUGUGUUUUAUUUUAUCAAAUUAUGCAAUCCUUCACUUGCAGUACAAGUUUGCACCAGACCUAAUCAUGCUUGAUGCAUAUGAAGCUGUGGAGUCAUGGAUGACUACAAACAACCUCAAUCCAAGGAAACUCAUUCCUGCAAUGAUGCGUUAUUCAAGUGAACCACAUGCAAGGUAUUAUCUCAUGUUCAUACUGGACUAGAAAUUGCAAUUAUGAAUUGAAGAUGGAUAAGGCUCUUUAGAUACUAAUCAAUUUCCCUUAACACAAAAAGAGCACAUAUCCACUAUAUUUUAUUUGUUGAUUUAGACGUAAAACUUGAAAUUUCUAAUUCAUUGUGAGAAGUAGCGUAUUGCAAUGCCUUCUUUGUAUACAUGUACCUCCUCUCGCAUGACAUAUUAGGUUCCCCUGGUGUAUUUUAUACUUUGGUCACUGAAGUAUUUUAUACUUUAGUUAAUGAUGCAUUUAAAAUUAAAGCUUUACUCUUCUUACUGCUACUAAUUUAUUUUAUAUCACAUGCAGAAAUGAAACACACGAAGUCAUCAAAUAUUUGGAAUACUGUGUUCAUCGUUUGCAUAAUGAGGAUCCUGGUGUUCACAACUUGCUAUUAUCACUAUAUGCCAAACAGGUUGAUUUCUUGAAGAAUUUGAUAUGAUUUUAGUAUGAUCUUGGUUUACAGGCGUAUACACAUACAUACAUACAUACAUACAUACAUACUUACAUUAUUAAUUAUUAUAUACAUCUUUUAAAAACUGUGAUGUCCCCGUUUCUUAACUCACUUAUGCCUACAAGGCUCCCCGCUUUGCGAGGGUUGGGGGGUAUGAAACAUUUAUCGUAUGCAACCUUACCCUUGCUUUGCAAGGAGGCUGUUUCCACAACUCGAAAGUAGGAAAAUAUUUUGUAGCUUGAAAUUUGCGGAAAAACCACAUCCUGAGUUUAAAAGUGAAUUAUAGGCUUAUAGCCAUAUCUCUUACUUUCCCCUCGGUUUAUUUCAGAUGAAAUUAUAUGUAUGCGAAAAUUUCUUUGCCUUGUAGCCAUAUCUAUAUAUGAAUGCGUUUCAUUGCUUUCACAAUAAUUCACAGGAAGACGACGGUGCACUUUUGCGUUUCCUUCAAUUCAAGUUCGGAAAAGGACGGGAAAUUGGCCCAGAGUUCUUCUAUGAUCCCAAGUAUGCUUUACGCCUUUGCCUCAAGGAAAAGCGAAUGCGUGCCUGUGUUCAUAUAUAUAGUAUGAUGUCCAUGCAUGAAGAAGCAGUUGCUCUUGCCCUGCAGGUAUAGUUUGAGGCUAUGUUUUUGUGAUUCAACUAUUAUUGCCCCAAUCUAUAUAUUGUUUUACUUGUAGCAAAAGGAUUUCAGUUUACAUGAUGUUCUCGUUUUUGGACACCAAGGGUCCUCUCUGGUUUAUUUAUUUGUUAGAACUACCUUUACAACAUGUGCUGCCAUUGGGAUAGUUAAGAUUGAGGUUAUCUGAAUGUUGAAGUAGUUAUAAAUUCCAUGUAUCUUGUUUCUCCAACUCAAUGGGAAUAGGAACAAUCACCUCCACCUAAUAUUCUCUUCUCCAGUGGAACCCAGGAAAAUCUAAUUGUUACAUAAUUCUUUUACGGUUAUGUAAUUGUAAGUUGAAAUGGUUUUAUCCUAUUUUUUCAUAACUUGUUCUUUUGGUGCCUUAAGGUUGAUCCUGAGCUUGCUAUGGCUGAGGCUGACAAGGUUGAAGAUGAUGAGGACCUGAGAAAGAAGCUUUGGCUCAUGGUUGCGAAGCAUGUUAUAGAACAGGAAAGGGGAGCUAAAAGGGAGAACAUUCGGAAGGCAAUAGCAUUUCUUAAGGAAACUGAUGGCCUUUUAAAGAUAGAGGAUAUAUUACCGUUCUUCCCGGACUUUGCCCUCAUUGACGACUUCAAGGUAGAACUAUCAUACCCUUCUGCUUUGUCAUGGUUUGUAAUGUUUAUAACGAUUCAAGUCUUUUGCGAAGUUUCAAGCUUUCUUCUUUUCCGCCAGAAGUGAUUUUCUCCGAUUCUGUUUUUGUUGGCCACUUUACAUAUGAUUUGUGAUGUUGAAUUGUGAAUUUAUUUGCAUGUAUGGAAACAUGUUUUAUUGUGUUCUGGUUACAGUGAAUAUGAUUAUAUAGCUUUAUUUGUUUCCCCUUUAGGUUGCCUCUUUAUCAAUUGCUAUAGUGGUUGUUUAUAUAUUAGAUUUCCAUUAUGAAGUGGUUUUCAGAAUAUUUACUUGUGUGGUGCUGUUGGAACUAUUAGUUUUCAGCACGUUGGUUUUGAACUGAAUCUGUAUGUAUGUAGGAGGCAAUUUGCUCGUCAUUAGAGGAUUACAACAAUCAAAUUGAAGAACUGAAGCAAGAGAUGAAUGAUGCAACACAUGGUGCCGAUAACAUUAGAAAUGACAUUAGUGCACUUGCUCAAAGAUAUGCUGUGAUUGAUCGUGAUGAAGAAUGCGGGGUAUUGCUCAUGUUGAUGUUGUAGUUUCAAGUUAAAUUGGAUUUGCUCAUACUUUCAUUUCUUUUUCCAAUACUUGCUUUUCUUUUUCUUCUUCUAUCAGGUUUGUCGGCGUAAGAUUUUAACUGUGGGUAGGGAGUAUCAGUUGGCUAGAGGCUAUGCAUCCGUAGGCCAAAUGGCUCCAUUCUAUGUGUUUCCAUGCGGACAUGCCUUCCAUGCCGAAUGCCUGAUUGCCCACGUCACACGUAGUACAAAUGAAGCUCAAGUAAGUUGAAGUAUUGUUUUCUGUAUUCUUCUCUUUUAUCAUUAUCAGCUCGUAAUAACAUAGUAUUCUGCAAAAGCUUUACAAUGUGCGCCCAAGUAGUUGAAGCGUAAGAAAUACUUUGGGCUAGAUGAUGCUUGUGCCAGUUGAAUUAAUGUUUUUGUUUGGUAUGAAAUGAAGUUUUGGGAGAGACAGGUAUAACAUGGCUCACUGACCUUUUCAAUAGGAUUUUGAAAACGAAGAAGAUGCCAAAUGAGUGGCGAACGAGCACUUUGGUGCCUAUCUACAAGAAUAAGGGCGACGUACAAAAUUGCAUGAACUAUAGGGGUAUUAAGCUAAUGAGUCAUACAAUGAAGCUCUGGGAGAGAGUCAUUGAGCAUAGAUUGAGGCAAGAGACACGGGUUUCGGACAACCAAUUCGGGUUCAUGCCAGGGCGCUCAACCAUGGAGGCAAUCUAUCUCUUACGAAGAUUGAUGGAAAGAUAUAGAGAUGGGAAAAAGGAUUUACACAUGGUCUUUAUAGAUUUGGAAAAAGCGUAUGAUAGGGUCCCAAGAGACAUUCUUUGGAGGAUUUUAGAGAAGAAAGGAGUACGAGUAGCAUAUAUCCAAGCUAUAAAGGAUAUGUAUGAAGGAGCAAAGACCGCCGUAAGAACUCAUGAAGGACAAACCGAAAGCUUUCCCAUAACUGUAGGAUUACAUCAAGGCUCAUCCUUAAGUCCUUACCUUUUUGCGUUGGUAAUGGAUGAGUUAACAGGACAUAUUCAAGAUGAUAUUCCUUGGUGUAUGCUUUUCGCAGACGAUAUAGUGUUGAUAGAUGAAACUCAGGAAGGGGUAAAUGCAAAGCUUAACCUUUGGAGAGAAGUGUUGGAAUCUAAAGGUCUUCGCCUCAGCCGAUCAAAGACAGAAUAUAUGGAGUGCAAGUUCAGUGCAAAUGGAGGCCAAAACGAGUUAGGGGUGAGGAUCGGAGAUCAAGAAAUACCAAAGAGCGACCGUUUUCGUUACCUAGGAUCUAUCUUGCAAAAGAACGGAGAAUUAGAUGGAGAUCUCAACCAUAGAAUACAAGCUGGAUGGAUGAAGUGGAAGAGUGCAUCCGGCGUGUUGUGUGACCGCCGUAUGCCACUGAAGCUCAAGGGAAAAUUUUUAUAGGACGGCAAUAAGGCCGGCAAUGCUGUAUGGCACAGAAUGUUGGGCGGUGAAACAUCAACACGUACACAAAAUGGGUGUAGCGGAGAUGAGGAUGCUUCGUUGGAUGUGUGGGCACACGAGAAAGGAUAAGAUUAGGAAUGAGGAUAUCCGGGGGUAAAGUAGGAGUAGCCGAAAUUGAAGGAAAGAUGAGAGAAAAUCGGUUACGGUGGUUUGGACAUGUGCAAAGAAGGCCUACUGACGCUCCGAUUAGAAGAUGCGACUAUGGGACAGAGGUUCAGGGCCGAAGGGGUAGAGGAAGACCUAGGAAAACUUUGGAAGAGACUCUAAGAAAAGACUUAGAGUACUUGGAUCUAACGAAGGACAUGACACAGGAUCGAGCACAAUGGCGUUCUAAGAUUCAUAUAGCCGAUCCCACUCAAUGACUUGGAUUUUCCAAGUCUCCAACCAAGAAGUUUUCCUCACUCGGGAAAUUAAGGGAACACUACCCCAACCUACAUGCUCCACUCAGAAAGCUUCAACAUACAAGCUUCAACAAAAGAAAAUUCAAAGAACUUAGCGAAGAAGGCUUUGGUGUAUUUAACACAAUACGUUGAAAUGAAGGAAAGCUUAUUUAUUGAUAUCCCCGAUAAGCUACAAAUAUGUACAUAUACAUGAGUCAAAAUAAACACACACAAGAGGGAGCUUUCACAAAGGUUGCUUAGGAGAAGUCUCAGCAGUCGGUAGAGCCCCAGAAAGAGAAGGCACCGGAGGGGGGAUCAUUUGGAGCCUCAGUACUGGACAGAACCCUAGAAGGAGGAGGCAUCAGAGGUUGAUCAUUUGGAGCUUCAUUACGCGGUACAGCCCCAGAAGACGAAGGCAAUAAAUGCCUUUGGAACAAACCCACAAAUCUCUGAUGAUCAAGUAAAACCUGACCAUCAGUUUCCUUCAUCUGGUCAAGCUUCCUCUUCAUGUUUGUAGCAUAGUCAUGUGCGAGCCGGUGCAACUGUUUAUUCUCAUGCUUGAGCCCUCUAAUCUCCUGUUUGAGACUCAUCACUUCAGCCGCCAAUGAUUCAACUUGGCGGGUUCGAGCAAAUAGGCGUUGUGCCAUAUUAGACACAGAACCUGCACACUGAACACUGAGAGCCAGCGAAUCCUUAACAGCUAACUCAUCAGACCGUUUGGAAAGUAGUCUGUUAUCUUUGGGAGUGAGAAGGUUCCUGGCCACCACCGCAGCGGUCAUAUCAUUCUUCAUCACGGAAUCCCCAACGGUAAGAGGACCAGUUGGGGAGACGAAGGAUGGGCGCCAUAUGUUGUCUGGAGAAGGCGGGGCUGCCUCUUCAACAAGGUUCAAGUCAAAACGACGGUCGGAGGGGCCAGACAUUUUCAAAGGUGUUGAAGAGAGAAGAGGUCGGACAAAUCAAGAUCUUAGAAGUGCAAGAAUGAAGCUUCUACUAGUGGAGAUUCAAGUGUGCUUUGGAACUUAAUGCCAGCCCCUAUAAAAAUCUGCACUCGACGGAGCUUCAGAAAUCAAAGAGGCGCCUGCUCAGAAAUCGAAGAGGCGUUUGCUUUCUCAAAAGUUGGGCUGCUUAGAGAUCACGAGGGUUGAUCUCAGAAAUCGAAGAGCCGUUUGCUUUCUCAAAAGUUGGGCUGCUCAAAGACCACGAAGGCCGAUCUCAGAAAUCGAAGAGGCGCUCGCUUUCUCAAAAGCUGGGCUCCCUAGAGACCACGAGGGCCGAUCUCAGAAAUCGAAGAGGCACCUACUUUUCCAGCCUUGUCAGCACCUGUCACAUGCACACUCAGCUUUGCGGAAAUUAUGGGCAUUCUGUCAAAGACUUCUGGGGAAGUAGAAAACACAUGAAUCUUACUGUUCAAUCACCCACUUCCCACACGCAACAAUAGCUCAUGGGUACCACAGAUAACUUUGCCAAAGUUCUCUGCCAAAGUUGAGCACGUGAAGCUUGCAGCUCCCACUACAUCGCUCUGACCAAGAAGGGUAAAAGAAUAGCAAAGAAACAGCACUAACAAAGUUUAGACCCAUAAAUUUUGAAGGUCUAGCUACCAUAUUAUUACCCACAAUGGUAAAGGAACAGUACCACUGUUGGAUAAUUGGAAAGUCCAUGUAUGUCAACCUCUGUGCUUCGUGGCAAGGUAGACUAGCAAACAUGCCCAACCUUUACUCACAUUCGAGAAAACACUCCCAAUAAGAUUGCUUGCUCCAAAAUCGAAGAGGUACCGUCCUCCGAAUCUAAAGAGCCAGACUCCCAACAUGACUACUUUCUUAAAAAUCGAAGAGAGGGUAAAGGAACAGUACCAUUGCUGGAUAAUUGGAAAGUCCCUGUGUGUCAACCUCUGUGCUUCGUGGCAAGGUAGACUAGCAAACAUGCCCAACCUUUACUCACAUUCGAGAAAACACUCCCAACAAGAUUGCUUGCUCCAAAAUCGAAGAGGCACCGCCCUCCGAAUCUCGAGAGCCACUCUCCCAACAUGAUUACUUUCUCAAAAAUCGAAGAGACACUGCUCUCCGAAUCUCGAGAGCCAGACCCCCAGCAUGAUUGCUUUCUCAAAAAUCGGUGAGGCACCGUUCUCCGAAUCAAUCGAAGAGGCGCUCGCUUUCUCAAAAGCUGGGCUGCUCAGAGACCACAAGGGCCGAUCUCAGAAAUCAAAGAGGCACCUACUUUUCUAGCCUUGUCAGCACCUGUCACACGCACACACUCAGCUUUGCAGAAAUUAUGGGCAUUCUGUCGAAGACUUCUGGUGAAGUAGAAAGCACAUGAAUCUUACUGUUCAAUCACCCACUUCCCACACGCAACAAUAACUCAUGGGUACCACAAAUCACUUUGCCAAAGUUCUCUGCCAAAGUUGAGCACGUGAAGCUUGCAGCUCCCACUACAUCGCUCUGACCAAGAAAGGUAAAAGAAUAGCAAAGAAACAGCACUAACAAAGUUUAGACACAUAAAUUUUGAAGGUCUAGCUACCAUAUUAUUACCCACAAGGGUAAAGGAACAGUACCACUGCUGGAUAAUUGGAAAGUCCCUGUGUGUCAACCUCUGUGCUUCGUGGCAAGGUAGACUAGCAAACAUGCCCAACCUUUACUCACAUUCGAGAAAACAGUCCCAACAAGAUUGCUUGCUCCAAAAUCGAAGAGGCACCGUCCUCCGAAUCUCGAGAGCCAGACUCCCAACAUGACUACUUUCUCAAAAUCGAAGAGAGGGUAAAGGAACAGUACCAUUGCUGGAUAAUUGGAAAGUCCCUAUGUGUCAACCUUUGUGCUUCGUGGCAAGGUAGACUAGCAAACAUGUCCAACCUUUACUCACAUUCGAGACAACACUCCCAACAAGAUUGCUUGCUCCAAAAUCGAAGAGGCACCGCCCUCCGAAUCUCGAGAGCCAGACUCCCAACAUGAUUACUUCCUCAAAAAUCGAAGAGACACUGCUCUCCGAAUCUCGAGAGUCAGACCCCCAACAUGAUUGCUUUCUCAAAAAUCGAAGAGGCAUCGUUCUCCGAAUCUCGAGAGCCAGAUACCACAGACCACUUUUUCAAAGUGCUCUGACAGAGUUAAAACAUGUGAAACUGGCAGCUCCCACUACCGUGCUAUGACCAAGCAGGGUAAAAGAAUAGCAUUACUACUUGUUGUUAGGGAGACUCCUAUAUAUGUCGACCUCCAUCCCCAACGGACAGGCAGACCUGCAAAAAAUGCUCAACCAACCCUUCAUCAUAUCUGAGAGGGCACUCCCAACAAAGCCUUUCGAAAUAUUCAGCUUUCUUUCCCCCCGAUAAUACCUCUGCAAACAAGCUAUACUAGAGCAAGAAUAUCUCAUAUCAUCAGGGUUAAAAGCAAGAGUAUCCCAUAUCAUGCUUUUUCCCUGUUUUUUCUUUUGGCCUUGUUUUUACCUGCAAGACAAGGAGAAAGAGAGCAAUCAGUCAGCACUUGGAAUCAAGCUUCCAGCCAGGAACUGACUGCCUGGAACCCCUUACCUGAUUACUUACCUGGCAUUGCUCUCGAGUACUCAUCUUCAACAUCUUAUGUUUCCAGGGAAGAUUCCGCAUCUGCUUGAGGAACAGAUAGGGCAAGUGCGAAGGAUACAAGGAAGCAUGUGGAGACAAGCGUAACAGCACACGUGCCGAUACAUCCAUUACUCUGUCAAAAGCAAAAGUAUCCCAUAUCAGCAGGGUGGAACGUACUCUAGAUUUGAUGGACUUGUUUUGACCCUCAAAUUCUUCAGUCGGCCUUAUACUCUGGAGGAAACCAGAAAAACCCUCCAGCUCAGUUCAAGAAUAAGCCUGUGGAAAGUUACUUCUUCAAAAGCAAAAGUAUCUCAUAUCAUCUCUUCUCAUUUUUCUUCUCUUUAUCCUUCAUGCUGCUGCAAGAUGGGGAGAAGGUGAACAAUCAGUCGGAGCUCUGAUUGCUUACAUUGUCUGUCACCUCUUUCAGCAGACCCCCUAGCUCGGCGACUUGGGGGACUCCUACUACAUGGUUUGUAUCGCGCUUGACCAAGCCUGAAACUACAAGUAAGCUUCAAGUGAAAUUGAUACAUUACCUUGUGCAUCUCCACCAGUUAAAGAUACCACCCCUGGAUGGAGGAAGAGUACUUCCAGAGAAGAUGCCACAUCUACCUAUGAGACAGAUAAGGCAAGUCAAGACGACACCACACUCCGAUACUUAGAAGUUUCGUGAUUACGAGAUCAUUCUCCCACAAUAUUUCCUAAUGUCAUUUGUACUAAAUCAUUCACUCGUACUCACUAAAGGAGAGCUUGAACCUAUGUACUUGUGUAAACCCUUCACAAUUAAUGAGAACUCUUCUAUUCCGUGGACGUAGCCAAUCUGGGUGAACCACGUACAUCUUGUGUUUGCUUUCCUAUCUCUAUCCAUUUAUAUACUUAUCCACACUAAUGACCGGAGCAAUCUAGCGAAGAUCACAAAAAGCGACCGAUUUUGUUACCUAUGAUCUAUCUUGCAAGAGAACGGAGAAUUAGAUGGAGAUCUCAACCAUAGAAUACGAGCUGGAUGGAAAGAGUGCAUCCAGCGUGUUGUGUGACCGUCGUAGGCCACUGAAGCUCAAGGGAAAAUUUUUUAUAGGACGGCAAUAAGGCCAGCGAUGUUGUAUGGCAGAGAAUGUUGGGUGGUGAAGCAUCAACACGUACACAAAAUGGGUGUAGCGGAGAUGAGGAUGCUUCGUGGGAUGUGUGGGCACACGAGAAAGGAUAAGAUUGGGAAUGAGGAUAUCCGAGGUACAGUAGGAGUAGCCGAAAUUGUAGGAAAGAUGAGAGAAAAUCGGCUCUGGUGAUUUGGACAUGUGCAAAGAAGGCCGACUGACGCUCCGGUUCGAAGAUGUGACUACGGGACAGAGGUUCAGGGCCGAAGGGGUAGAGGAAGACCUAGGAAAACUUUGGAAGAGACUCUAAGAAAAGACUUAGAGUACUUGGAUCUAACGGAGGACAUGACACAAAACCGAGCGCAAUGGCGUUCUAGGAUUCAUAUAGCCGACCCCACUUAGUGGGAAAAGGCUUUGUUGUUGUUGUUGUUUGGUAUGAAAUGUAUUUCAGUAACAGGAAUUUUCUAUAACUUGCCCUAUUUUUUUAUUGUGUAUUGUAGGCAGAGUAUAUAUUGGAUCUGCAGAAGCAGCUUACUCUACUUGACGGGGAAGCUAGGAAGGAUUCAAAUGGUAGCCUUACUGAGGAAACCAUAACAAGCAUGGCCCCCGUAGAUAAGGUCUGCAUUUUGAUCUUCUUUUGCUUUACAUCGUAUUUUAUUUGAUUUAUUCUCUGUUUGGUUAUUAGCCAUUUUCGAUAAGUUUCUAUUUGAUAUCAACUAUUUUCAUAUGUACGAUUUCAACUUAACUUUGCAGUUUCUGGUGAUAGUUUUACAAAUGUAUCUUCAUUACAUAGUUUUUUAUUUGAUCUCUAAUUGAUUCAUGAAAUUAAGAUCUGUAUGGUAAGCUAAACCGAGUAUUUCAUGUUGGCAGCUGCGGUCGCAGUUGGAUGAUGCAGUGGCCAGCGAAUGCCCAUUUUGUGGGGACUUGAUGAUCCGUGAGAUCUCUCUACCUUUCAUCCUGCCUGUGGAGCAACAGCAGAAUACUUCAUGGGAGAUAAAGUCGCAUAAUCUUGGACACCAGAGGAGCCUGGGUUUAUCUUUAUGAUCGUCUUUCUCUUCGUACGGGUGCCAUGUGAGUUGUGUACUCCUACAGAGAUGUCUCGUUGCCAGUUGCGGAACUUUGUUAUCUUUCUUCUUUUGUAACAAUUUGUUUGGCGUCAUAAGGGCUGUUAACAGUGCCCUUGUUGCUUGUAUAAUUUUUUUUGUACCCUUCGGGCGGGCAUUUCCGCUUCCUCAUCUUUAUCAGGGGAUUUUGGGGCCCUACACGGUAUGUAGUUACAAAAUGGUUCCAAGUUGUUGUCAAAGAAACACUAUUUGCAGUGAUUACUUUUCAAUGGCUUUAAACACCGAGACUGUAUUGUAAGUGAACCAUGCUGACUAUUUUUGGAAAGAGAUUUGAAUUUUCGAGCUCUUAAUUAUUGGACCACUGUAGUAAAUUUGCAAAUUUGGGUUAGAUCAGUCGGCCAAGAGUUAUGUGCCCGCUCCCUUACGCCGCCAUCCAAGUUCGACUUGCCCUCUAUAGAGUACUUUAAAAUACUCUUGUUACAAAAUAAAAUGGUAGAUUUGAAAAUCUAUAUAUAAAGCCAAUGAAAAAGAUGAAUAGUGAUUUUGGUGUCACCACAAAAAUAUUUGGACAAAAAUGCCCCCAAGAUAAAAAACUUCAAAGGCAUUCCAAAAUAAUGCAUCAAAUAAGGUAGGGGCAUUUUCAUCAUUUUAACAGUAUUUUUUUUAAUAAUUAAUUUUUUUUGUGGUUUGUUUGUUUUUGUUUUGAAUUAGUAUCUCACAAUAGGUUGGCAAUAAUGUAAUUCAAUUUCUCUAUUUUUAAACAAGUUCAAAACAUCUUAAGAGGUGUGUAAUGUCUGUUAUAAAAAAAUGUAUUUCGCACGCGGAUAAUAAUGUGAUUAAAUUAGUUGUCAAAUGAUUUUUUUUAUUUUUUUUAACAAACGAUAUUAUCUACAUUAAGGGGGAAGGGGGUGGGCUUAGUCUUACAAUGAGCUAGCAAUAAUGUGAUUUAAUCAGUUGUUUUUUAAAUAUUAUUUUCUCUAUUUUUAAACAUAUUCAAAACAUCUUAAGAGGCGUGUAAUGCCGGUUAUAGAAAAUGUCUUUCUCACGCGGAUAAUAAUGUGAUUAAAUUAGUUGUCAAAUGAUUGUUUUUUCUUAUAACAAACGAUAUUAUUUAUACUAAGGAGGAGGGGUUUACUUAGCCUCACAACAGGCUAGCAAUAAUGUGAUUCAAUCCGUUGUUUAUUAAAUAUUAUUUUCUUUAUUUUUAAACACGUUCAAAACAUCUUAAGAGGCGUGUAAUGCCGGUUAUUGACACACCCCGACCUGGAAUGUCCACUAGGACUCCGAAUCGAGCUGUGAUGGCCGACACCAGGAAGGUGACGAAGCCAUAAAAUGUAGUGAUGUGGAAAAUGUGAAUAAAUUUAAACCUAAAAGUGCCUAAAUACAAGAGUGUGAUGUGAGCAGGAAUGAACCCAUUUAUAAUAAGGCUUAUACCCUCAAAGGUAGCCACCUAUACUGAGAUUUGCCAAGAAUCCUCGUCGAUAAGAAAGCUCAGCUACUAAAACCAGGAGGGGCGAAAAACAAGGGUGUGUGGGCCUGAAAAUAAAGUUUUAUAAAAACCUUUCUGAAAACAUUGUAACCCAUCGCUGUAAAACAAGUAUAGUUUCCUGAAAAUCAUACUACGUAUAAGUAUGAAAUCAAAUGCAUGCCAACAAUAAAUCUAGAAAUAUGCCACAUCAGAAUAUCUCAAUGGCAAUAUAAAUAUAAUUAUGUGCUCAAUAAUUUAUAAUAGCACGCAAGUCGGAGUCACUUAAUGUGACCUGUAUGACUGCACCUAUUGCUCAUCAAUCUAUGCUAACACACGAGUCAGAGUCACCUGGUGUGACCUGUACGACAAGCUAGGUGUGAUAAUAUACGUUAUAGUGCUACGAUCACGUGAAAGCUAGAGCUAUGCGUGGGUCGCCUACGAGUAGGAGUCACCUAAUGCGACUUAUACGAUAGGCUAGCACCUAACUUGGAUCUAAGGUGAGCAUGUGGUGCGGGAGGUGAACAAUCACGUGAAGACUGGCCCUGGCCCAAGACGGGAGCACUAACAUCGGGGUGCAGCAAUGAUGAGUGAACUAUAUGAGUAUAAGCAUGCCAUAAUGAUGCAAUAACUCCAAUCAACAUAAUAAACUUACCUGAACUUACCUGCACAUCUCGUAGGAUCAUCUUGGUAUUUCACAAUAGUGCAAACAUUUCUCAUAACAUAAUUUAAUAAUGGCAUGAAGUACAUAAAUCAAUUCAAAAGAAUUUGUGGAAACUAUCAACCAUAUAUAUAUAUAUAUAUACUAUAAAAAAAGAAAAGACCCACUCACCUGAGGUCCGCGCUACAACUCUCUAGCACGAAUAUCGAGGGUCACAAACAAUCAACGCCUAGAACAAUUAUCAAAUCACAUCUCAGAAUUCUUAUCGAUAGAACACGUAACUUACAUAAACACAUCCCCAAGGACGUUCUAGAAUGGUUUGAAACCCAUUGACCAAAAGUCAAUUGUCGAUCAAAGGUCUGCGAUAGGGUCCAUAACCCUACGUAACUCAAUUCGGAAAGAUCCAUAUGUCAGAUUCCCAAUCCGUAAGUUUCUAAGAUCCUCAAAUAUUACGUAUUAUAAUGUACUAAAGUUUGGUGAUGAUCCAACGGUCAGAUCGUCAAUUCAUAUAAGGAUCAAAUGUGGUCUCUAUCAAAACUAUGUCCAAACGAUGAGAUUUCAUCAAUCGGACUUCACAUAUAGAAUUGGGGUAUCAAAUUUAGCCUAGGAAGGUCAAGGGGUGCCUCGGUCCACGCACCGCUGCACACAGCGGUCGGCCUCCCUGACUCGCCGGAAAAAUCAACUAUUUCUAAAAAUUCUCAAAUUUUACAAGAAUGAAUAUCUCAAUGAUUAGAGCAAGUUUUAUACCUUUGUUCAAGUCCAAUUUGACCGGGAAAAGCUUCAAAUCGUUACGAACCCACCAGAACCCUAGAAAUUGGUGGCUUUCGAUUCGACUUCUCCGGUGUUCCGCCGCCUCCAAAGUUGUUUGGGCUUUGUUCUAGGCCUCAAGGGAAGUCUAAUGAUGGUGGUAAUUGGAGGGAAUCAUUUCACAAAUGGUGGUUCUCGCCAUGACUCAUUUGGAACCCCCACGAGUUCGAUGGUUUCGUUCUCCUCAAAUCGGGGGUUAAAGGAACUGGGUUUUGGUUGGAAAUGGAAGAGGUGUUGAUAUUGAGUGACUUCCAGGUGGUGGGUGACUGUGAAUCGCUAGAAAAACCGCCCAAAAAGGUGUCGGAAAACAUGGUGGAAGUCGGCCGGGUUGCACACGGGAAACGGGUCAAGGUGGAUCUGGGUUGACUGCAUCUCCCACUCUCUCCUUUCCCUCCUGACCCUUUGUCUGAUGGGUCAGACUCUCAUCCCUCAUCUCCUGAUUUGUUCCUCAUCUCCCUCUCUUCUCUUCCGAUUGGGCAAUUAUGCCCAAUCCCUUCUCCUCUAUUUCUCCUCCUCCUUGAUUCCUUUCUUUUCCCUUCUCAACCACACACGUGGCAUACCAAUUUAUUAGUAUAAAAUAGUAUACUAUAAUUAAAAUAGUGAUUCCUUCAAAAUACUUUCGGAUUCGUAGCUCUAUAAAACUUUAAUCGUACAUCUGAUUUUGAUUCCGCUUUCGCCUACGCGUUCGUAUCGUUGAGUACUUCAAGAAUACACUAAAAGAAUAUUUCGUACGUCUCAUUAUAUGUUGGUCAACGAAAGUCAAUACCAUCGCCUCUAGGACAUUUUUGUAAAUUCACAUUUUAAAAAUAAAUAAAAACGUAAAAUUAGGGACGGGUUGUCAAAGUUAUAAAAAAGGUUUUUUGCAUGUGAAUAAUAAUGUGAUUAAAUUACAUUAAAUUAGUUGUCAAAUGAUUGGUUUUUUUUUUUUUUAACAAACGAUAUUAUCUACGCUAAGGGGGAUGUGGUGUGUUUAGCCUCACAAUAGACUAGCAAUAAUGUGAUCCAAUCAGUUGUUUAUUAAAUAUUAUUUUCUCUAUUUUUAAACUCGUUCAAAACAUCUUAAGAUGCGUGUAAUGCCGGUUAUAGAAAAGGUCUUUCGCACACGAAUAAUAAUGUGAUUAAAUUAGUUGUCGAAUGAUUGUUUUUUUUUUUUUAACAAACGAUAUUAUCUACACUAAGAGAGAGUGGGUGGUCUUAACCUCACAAUGGGCUAGCAAUAAUGUGAUUCAAUCAAUUGUUUAUUAAAUAUUAUUUUCUCUAUUCUUAAUGUAAAUUCUAUAGAGACCGAUUUUAUUAUGUGAAUUCAGCUGCUUGAAUUAGUUUAUGAAGGGUUUCUUCUAGCAUGAUCUAAGAUUAUUCAUUUACUUCAAAUAUUUGACUUUCCUUUUGUCAAUUUACGCAUAUAAAUACAUUUAAAACGUGUAAAUCGUGCGUAGCACGCCUUGAUUCAAAAAAUGUCUUAUGCAUGCACAUGAGCACGUUCAAGAAGGCUAGUAAAUAAAUAAAUUGGAUGGUGGAUACUGAUCAAAUCGCUAGAUGCCUACACUUACGUCCGCAUGGUAUAUUUCUACGUCAAGUUGGUUUGCUACCCGCUUAUCAAAGGUGGGGUCUGUCCUCUCUGAGGAUUUAGGGCAUGCUUAAUGAAUCACUGCUCGACUUAUUCAUCAUACAAUCAAUUACUUUAAUACCCUAUUUAAUUACAAGCACACACUACUAGAUUUGACAGCAUAAUAUACUUCUAGUGUAAACAACAAUAUUUUAACCCAUUUAGUGGAGUCGGUUGUAUGAAUUUUAGAAAGCCACGAUUCACCAACAAUUUCUUCUUAUUUAUUUAUUUCUUUAUCAAAAGUGAAAAACUAUUAAAAAAAAAAGAAGAAAAAAAGUGGAAUCUGGAAAUAACAUUGAUGCUUGCUUGUGCUCUUUUUAUUCAUGCAUUUAUUUUCUCUUGUUGAACUCGAAGUCUCCCCUCUUCAGGCUCCCAGCGCUUAUUUUGUUGUUCCAGCAAUACAAAGCCAUUGACCAACAAAUAUGGUGUUGCAGUUGAUGUUAGGGUUGAUUGCAAAGAAGUGAGCAGUCAGCUUGAACUUGCCCAUGAUUCCAUUGCAAGUAUCCCCAGCUUCUACCCCAUAAACUUUUUGGCAUCUUAGAGUUGCUUUCACACCCCCAAACCCAACUACACCAUCAAAUAUUCAUAAAACAAAAAUCAACCACAAAACGCAACAUAUCAAUAUCCCAUAUAAUCUCACAAAAGAAAUUGUUAUUAGCUCUCCUAAAAUGUCAAUUUGCAUUUUUCCCUCAUUUUGUAAUUUACAUUGGCAAGGGUACGGUGUUUGCUUGAUGACUUGCUAGAGUGCCAAUAACAACUCCCUAAAAAAUGAGAAGAUUUCAUUUCAUUUUAUUUUACAAAAAACGAUGAUACGUGAUUACCAUUCAUAAUUGGACAAUUAAAAUUCUAAUACCAUAAAGCUUACUGUCGCCUAUUUGUUUGCCCUCAGCAAAGGAGAUGAUGAGAAAAAGGCAGAGCAUGAGAACCAAAUUAAGGGACUUGUUAGAUAUAACCACAGCCAUUUUUGCUUUAUUAUGUGAUUGUAUAUUAGUCUUAGAAAAUAAGUGUGUUUAGUGCGUUGGGUGAUGAUUUGAUGAGAGUGUAAAGCCAUAUUUAUAGGUCGAGAUUGUAUGCCUAGUUGGAAGCCGGCUUGUCCAACGUCCAUUUUCUAGUGUAUUUGCUUUGGUUUCCCAAAGUAAUUAUAUUUUUGUUUAAUCAGUUUUUGUGAUCGUGAACAACAUGUUGUGUGUUUCAGGAAUAUUGCGCAUUGGGCAGGCUUAGCUGCCUCUGUAUAAUUUGCUAUGUCCUGCUCGCCCAUUUGUCUCAUUUUCUUGUUGUUUGCUAAGAUCUUUCUUUCUGAAAGGACCUACAACAAGAAGGAUUUAGGCUUAUUUUUUAGGGAACUUUAACGAAAAGCAUCCGAUACUGUUCACUUUAACGAAAAACCACAUUUUUACACUAAAAAGUCAAUCCUGGUACUAUUCACUUUACCAUUUAUUUUGUCCUUAUCAUUAAAACUCAAAGUUUUCAAGCCAUUUUUAUUAGUUUUCCUUAUUUUUUAUCUACGCCUUCUGGAACUCGAUUUUAAUCUCCUUCUAACUUAAAAGUCGUCACUUUAUUUUCUAGAACUCAAAGUUCGUUUCACUUUGCUCCCUGGAACUCGAUUUGAUUCCAUUUUGCUCCCUGAAACUUGAAAGUCGUCUUUAUAAAACUCAAAAUUCGCUCCACAUUGCCUUAAAUCUGUUAAUUUCUUACGUGGGUUUGAUUUAGGUGCGCCAAGGUAAUCAAUUUUUUUUUUCAUCUCUUUAAUUUCUUUUAAACUUAUAUUCUCUGAUUGUUAAAUGUUAACAUAACAUGGAGAUUUAUAAUUAAAUUUAUUGCACAUGUAGCAUAGUCUUUAUAGGCGUUGGAUCCCACAUAUGUUUUAGGAGGUGACCUACAAGUUUUUGGGAGAAGAGAGAGUCCACGGACUAAAUUUUAAGUUUCAGACAUUAAAGUGAUGACUUUUGAGUUAAGGUGAACAAAAUAAAAUCAAAAUAGGGUUACAGGGAGCAUAGCUAAAAUAAGCCAAGGAGUCAUCGUUGGUGUAUAUUAUCAUUGUAGUAUUUUGUGACAAUGAUGGUUUUUUUUUUUUUAUACAUAAUAUUUCAUGAUUGACAAGUAAUAUCAAGGUGGCACCCCUGUGCUACCUACCUUGGUCUCCUACAACUAUAUUACCCAUUAUUCUCAUUUUUUUUACAUGAAAAGGUGGGAUCUUAAUUUAAGGAAUAUUGUUCAGAUAGGAUGCUUGCAUGCAUUUUUUAGAUGAUGAUUGUAAUAGCAUUCACAUGAUACUGAUUAUCAUUGUUUACAUCUGACAACACCUAAUUUGAUCCUAUGUUUAAUGCUUUUUCAUCCUGUGAUGGGAUGCUUUUACGGAAGGAUACUACUAGAGAUGUUGAAUUAAUUUUCUGCGUUAUAGUACUCUUAUAUAGAAGAGGGGAACACUAUUCAUGUCAAUCCAUGGAUAUAUAUAAUAUAAGGUGAUGAAACAAAAUCAUCACAGGCAACAACACUAUAUAUUGGAGAAAAGGAAAUCGUAGAGAGGACAUGAAAGCUAGAGUAUAACUAGCUCAUCCUCUUUAUUUAUACAAUUAUAUAAUUAAUUCUCUCAACUGAACACGGUCAAUCGAUUAAUUGCAGCUUAAUUCACAGUCCCUUCGGUACACAGCCAUUGACCCACAAAGAAGUUAUCGCAGUUGAGAUUAGGGUUGAUAGAAAGGAAGGAAUCAGAAGUCAGUUUGAACUUUUGAAUAACAGAUUCGCAUGUAUCACCCUCCUCAGCACCAUAAACUGACUCGCAAACUACAUCUCCCUUCUCUCCGAAUCCAACUGCUACAUUAAUAAUGCAUGUAUCAGAUAUGAGAACUCAUAUAGUUUUUUUACUAAUAUUUAUGUAUAUACGAAACUAAGAAAAACAAGCAUAUAUGAAUAAAUAUUCUUACUGCCGAGCUGUCUACUCUCAGCAAUGGAAAUCAUCAGAACAAGAGAGAGCACUAGAAUCAAGUUAAGAGUUGUUGCCAUUUUGUUGUUAGCCUUAGCCAUCUCUGCCUUCUUAAUCUCUAUGAUUAGUAUUAAGUAAAAACUGUGGUUUCUCUGUUGGUUGUGCUUUAGAGAGUGGCCAGGAGUGUGUAUUUAUAGAUAGAGAAAAGCCCACAAAACAAAGUUUGUGAUCGAGAGCUAGGAGCAUUGUAAACUUGAUUCUUGGUUCAAGAGGGACGGCUUCUACAUUGUUCAAGAGGGCCGGUUCGGUUAACAUUGAGCAGAACACAUGCAUGAAAGAAAAAAAAAAUAUUGAAAAAGGGCUCAUUGCAGGCCAUGGUAUACUUUUGUGGAUCAAUGUUGCAUGAGACAAUUACCAGCCGUCUUACAUUUUUUUGGUAUUUUCAUAGUUUAUUUGAUAGUAUGCCUAAAAAAAUAAGAAAGUAAAUUAUAUAACUUGGGGACACUGAUAAAGUUACAUGAGUGAUCACCAUCAAUUUUGCAUGAUUAAACUUCAGUCUGUGACUCGGUUAAGUAAAAUUAACAUGAUAUUCAUCAUCUCCAUCCUUUAUGUGAUAGCAUCCUAGCUAUAUAUAGGUUAGGUUUGGUUAGUUUAUUCGACAACAUACUAAAUGAGUAAUUAAAUCCCAUAGUGUGAAUUUAAUUGUCCAAGCGUUAAAAAAAAAAAAAAAUGUCUCCAUAUGAAAGAUAAUUGCCUAAAAAUAUUAUGUAGGGGUAUUGGAAGCAACUAAAGCACACAAGUAACGGUGUUUCGUAUUCUUUCUUUCUAUACGAUUCUCAAAUAUCAAAGUAGUUGAUUUUAAUGAUCUGAGAAUCAAAAGGUGAAGACAAGUUAAGAAGUGAAGAUUUGUUAGUGCUACUCUUAACUAAACUUUUUCUUAUGUCAUUGAUAAUUUGGGGAUGUUUAUGCAUUCUUUGCACAAUUUUAAUAGUGUCUAAUUUGUAACCAAGUAUUCUAUUGAUUUCAGUCUCGAUUUAUAAUUUGAAAAUUUUUCUUGUACUCAGAGAUAAAACUCAAAAAAUUAAAAAUGACAAAAUAGAAAAUUUUUCUGGUAUUUUGCUAAUCGGAGCUAAAGCUCAAAAAAUUAAAAAUAUAAAAAAUGCUCAGAAAAAAUAUGUUCGUAAAACAGAAACAUAUACGUACUCCAAUGAAUGUGUACUAGUCCAUUAGAAACGGCGAUAAAGCUCAGAAAAUUAAAAAUGCCAAGCACCCUAUACCAUCAGAAAUGAUCAGAAAAAAUAUAUUCGUAAAACUAAACGUAUUUUAAUGGAUCAUAAAACGUAUAGUUCAUUCGAAUUAGAAUAACUUGUAAAAUAAUCCAUUACUAUAUAGUUAAAAUAGUCAAUUUAUUUUGAUCGAGCCGCCUAAUUUCAUUCCCAGAUGUCCAAUGGAGUGGCGUAUUUAAACUAAUUCAGUUCCUAAUUUUACUUUCAUUUUAGUAAAUAAUAAACACAAUAAAUUGAAAUACCAAAACCGUUCUCUUAUUCAUGGUUUUCAUUUUAUCUCCACAAUUUUGUACAAUUUACAUAAAUGAUUCCAUCCGAGUUAACUCAAUAAUUGAGUUGUCCGUUUCAACAAUCUGUUUCCAUGACGCUCGUCAACGGAGCAACUCCCGAGUCCCGAUCAACUCUCUUAACUUUUUUCCGCCGGAAAAAUUCCGAUCUCCGGCGACCUUAGCCCUGACCCCAACAGUUCAAGUACAUGACUUUUUGGAUAGACUCGUCCGCGUGGUUCCGUCUCUCCUCGCAAUUCUCCAACACUCCGGAGAAAUCCGAUCCAACUGCGCCGGAUAACGGUCGGAGAUCCGAUGAUGCGUCGCCGCCAGCGAAAGAUGAUCGCCUCCGGUUUAGCUGAAAGGAUUUUAGGCCGGAUUUCCACUUAUGUCCAUGGUCGACGGGGCCUUGCACCACGGCCACGCUCGCCGCCAUCCACACUCGACUCAGUUGAUUCAUUGUACAAAGAUCUCUUAACUUGAAAAUUGAAGGUGAGAUGAUCGUUUUGUUUGAUGAUGUGUGUUCUUGAGUGGUUGGUUUCAGCGUUGUAUUGAGGAGACAAAGGCGUUUAUUUAUAGGCAAAGGUGAAAGGUGGGAAGUGAUACUGCGUUUCGUGAAACCGGUGGUUUAUGGGUGAGUGGGAAGUGGUUUUGGGAGAAAAGUGGAGACUUAGUUAUGCGUGGUGGCCCAUUUGUUUUGGCGUUUUCUCUUUUGCUUUGGAGGUAUCAAUGAUUCCUAAAAUUUAAUAAUUGAUUGUGUCCAAACUUCACAUUGUGAUUUUAUCCUCAGUUUCUCGCCGAUUGUGAUUUGUGAUGUGAUGUUAAUAUUCUUUUUUGUUUUUGCAAAUUGAUGUUAAUUAUGUUCAUUCAGUUUAGGAGAUUAUUUAUUGUUGAUUGUGAGCUUAAUUUUCAGAAUCUCCAAUACGUGUGUUUAACUAACGAACAAACUUCGUAAUUGAAAUUGUUAUAUUCUUAAUUAUUAUUUAAAGAUUAUAUAUAUAAAAAAAUAUUUAAUUUGGAGAUGGUUUAGUUAUUCAUGUGUGUCAACUAAUCGAUAGUUGGAUAACAAAUAGUGUUCUCAUGAUGAGUCAUCUAUUUGUUGAUGUAUAUGAAUUGCUAAAUGUUCUCUUAAGUGACUGAUCAUUGACAAAUAUAAUUUUUAGAUAAUGAUAUUGAAAAUUAACGUCCAAUUAUAAAGUUGAACUAGUAAAUAUACGUUAAUUAUACCUGGGAGAUAAGUAGGUACCCCUGGAAGAACACAAGCAUUAUCCUUUCAAAAUGAAUAGUACUUGUGUUUUACAUGUGAGGGAACGUGCUUGUCCUCCGCAAAAAAUCAACGUAGUUUUAUUAAACGUAUUUCAUAAUCAAAAUUGUUCAUACUUAGUAAUAACAAUAUUAUGUGAGCCAAAUCAAUUGCGUGUGGGUUAUAGACGACUGUGAGUAGUACAAAUAAUUGAGCUACUAUCACAGACACGAAGCAUGGUGAUUAGAAGAUCUGUGUGCUUUUAAAACGAAAGUCGAAAUUGUAUAAACGAUAAUAAUUGCAUCCCUCUAUGAGGAGGAUGUACAUAUUCUUUCAUUUACAAAUAAUGUGCUUAAUUUAUCGAAAUCAUUCAAUUUAUUAAGUUUCAUUAAAGAUCACAUGUACUAAAGUCACUUAAAUUGAAGAAUGUUUACUCAUAUAAACGUAUCAUAUAAAUAGAUAAUUCAUUAUGGAUAUGAUACUUUAAACCCACACGUCUUUUUGUUAUGUAAAUUUGGAUGAUUAAUUAAUAUAUGAUUGAAAUAAUUUUUUAUGGUGAUUUUCAAAUAAAAAUUAAGAAAUUGAACAGUUUUGAUUAUAAAAUUUGUACAACCAUGAUAUUUGUUAGGUCUUGUGCUCCUCACCGAGGGACUUACUUGUCCUUUUCCACUUAUGUUUAACAAAACUUUAGAAUCCAAAUACCAUAAUCAUAACUGUUUCUUCUCUUUGUCAUUAUAUUUGUAAGUAAUUAUAUUUAAAUUAGAGAUCUUUCAUCCAUUUAUAUGCAUAAAACAAAUGAAACGUUCAUCAUGAGAAUACUACUAGUUACCAAACAGUUGAUUAGUUUAACAUAUCUGGAUAACUAAACGAUCUCUAAAUUGAAUAAUUGUUUUUCAUAUAUGAUUUGUAGAUGAUGAAAAAAAAAGAAUGAUUUCAAUUAUGAUAUGUGGAUUGUAAUAAUUCAUUAAUUGUUCGUGAUAAAACAAGUAAAUUCUCGUGAUAAAACAAGUAAAUUCUCGUGGAGAGACAUAAGCAUUAUCGUUAAGAAAAUAUGAAAGAUAAAGCUAAGAUAAUUAAAUACUAGAUUGAGUACUCAAAGAAAAACUUUCUACUUUUAUGCAUUAAUAUUUUUUGCUACAAGUUGUAUCUGGAGAUAAACAUUUGAAUUCGGGACACCAUUCAUAACGUGUAACAAUCAUUAGAUUAUACUAUUCAUUAUCUUUUGAUUUAAUACAAACAUUGUUUAGACAAUACACUGUUCUUUAUUAGACUUUUCUAACAAGCUGGAUGAGAUCGAUCGCGAUAUGCAAUGAUGAAACCCUAGAAGACGAAAUGAAGAGAAAAAGAAUCUUUGUAGUAGCUAGAAGGCAGCCAAUGAGGGCAAACAGGUGUCGUGCUUAUCCGAACUUUCCCCUUCAAUCUCAUGACUCGUCGCUCGUGCAUCCCGCCAGUGCAAACACGUGUACGUACAACAUCGUUUCAUCGUCCCCUGCUACCCUCACGUCCUCUUUCAGCAUGUGGCUCGCCACUUGUCCUCCUCCCCUAGUUAUCCUAUAAGGAUUGUGAUUUUCACACGGCAUUUACUACUUUUCUCACAUCUCUUUUAAUUUUUAGUUAAUUGGUAUCGUACUAUUUAAUCUUUUAUAUAUACCCUUUCUACUUUUUUAUGGUAAUUAAUGAAAGAUUAAAUAGAGAGGGGUAUAUAUGAAAGAUUAAAUAGUUGGAUACCAAUUUAGUAAAAAAAUAAGAAGGGUGUGGGAAAAGUAGUUAAGGGUGUGUGAAAAUCACAACCCAUCCUAUAAAACCUCAGGGGUAGUUUCGUCUUUCCGAUGUGAUCGGAGAGUGGAUAAGGUUACUGAGGGAGAGGGACACGUGAGCAGGCAGUGCCGGCGGCCCUUUUGUGCGUUUUGGCGCCAUGGGUGGUCAUGCUCAUGGGGGCAUGCAUGGCCAUCACGUGCUUUGACGUGGGGUCUGUCGUCUCUAUUAUCCUCUGGUUUUAAAGCUUUUAAAAUGAAUAAUUUUUUGCUUUUGUUUUUAGUAUUCCGAUCUUUGAGCUUUUUGGACGGGUGAGAUUUCAUGCAGCGCGAACGAACGGUGUCUGAUAUUAGUCGGUUGAUCAUCCGACGGUCGCUUCUUUUUCCCUUUUCUGUUGAAAACUCGACCAACAACAUUAAACUUUCAUUAUUGUUUUUGGAACAGAACUUUGUUUUUUCUUCAAAUUUUCAUUUCAUAUGUGUCGAGAAAAUUUUGUCUGGACCUCGUAUGAGUUGUAUUGUAUCAUGUCGAUAUAUUUACGAAUACAAAUUUUGGGAAAAUUUGGUUACGGUUGUACGGUAUCAUCAUCAAUCAUGUUUAUGCAAAGAAAACUUGCAUGAAAGGUAUGUAUAUUCAUAUUUAUACUGUUUAGAGAAUAUUUUAUUUUUUAGAGUUAAUGUCACAUUUUGAAUUUGCGAAUACGUAAUCCUAUCAACAUGAACCUUCUUGCUGAAGCAAAAUAAUUUCUAACUUCUGAAGCAUGUUUAUAGCUUCUUAACAUGAAACUUUUAUAUUUCCAUAUUGCAUCUUCAAGAUUAUCUCCUUCCCCCCUUCUAACUUCUCAAAAUGUUUCUAGGUCAAUAGUAUUUUUUUCAAUCACACAUCUAUUAAAAAAUAACCUCUUUGGAGUUGGAAAUUUUGUUUGGUCACAACUUUAUGACAAUAUAGAGGUUUUACCGUAUAAGUAAUUGGGUAUUGGCUAUUGGCUAUUUGUAAUCUCUAUUACAAUCGAAAAGUGUCUUCAAGUUUAAAUUCUCACCUCUGUUGAGAGGUGAUCAAAAGAGAGAUUUUUCUGAUCGAGUUAAGUUUAACUAGUUGACAUGGUAUGGUAUGAAUCUAUAUGAAAUAAUUGUAGAUACAUUGUUAGAGAGAAUGGGAUUGUGUACUUAAAUAUAGAAUGGUUGGCAAUAACCCUAUAUAUGUAUGUGGUGAUAAUGAAGAUAUAGAGAUACUAACUGACUGAAGUUGCCAAGUUAAUAGAGAAAUGACUUUUUUGAAUGUGGAGAGGAAGAGGAGAGGUGGCUUACGAUUGUAGGCAUUUCCUAGCACACACUAGGAUAAAUCGUGAAAUACAAAUGAAUUGUAACUCGAGUUGUAAACAUUACUAAAGUUUUAUAUUCGAUUUUGUCUCCGAAUAUCACUUAUUUUCAGUUGUUAGAUAUUCUUAGGGAUUGAGUUUAGGAUGAGAAGAUUCAUCAUGGCUGUCACAUACAAUGGAUGGGGAUCAAAUUACAACUUGCUUCCCACCAUGUACAUUCUGUUUAUUUUUAUCCUUACUGCAGAUGGGUCACCUGAUAUAGAGUGGGACUUCCAUUUCACUAAGGAGGUCCACCACUCAUCAGGCAUCAGUUUUGAGAAUAAUAAUUGUGUUUACUAUAUGCUCUCUAGUCAUUAUCAGAGUGGGGGAGCUGGUGGAAAUUGUACAAGAACUGGUCCCCAUUGUAGAGAUAUCUAUUAUAUCUACAGUUCCAAAAGUGCUUUUACAAUAAUCGCUUAUGGACUUUGUCAACAAAGAGAAAAUGAAAAGAAACCCAACUGUGCUGCUGCUGGUAUUGGAAACCAAAUGUUUUAGAUGUAUCCAUUCCUUUUUUUGAUAGAUUUUGCACUAAUGGAGAUUAUUGUUCUUAGUAUAAUCCAAUAAUGAAGAUGGUUAAUUGAUUUUUAAUUAUUUGUUGGUUUCAUUUGCUAUCACUUAAGCUUUACCAAUAAUAACUUUUUAAUUAUUUGUAAUUACAGGCAGGUAUUCCAUUGUUAAAGAAAAUUGUGAAAGCGAUAAUAUAUACUUAGUUGGGGAUUAAUUUAUACUAAUUAGAGGCAGGUACCUAUCCAUUGUCAUUAGCUUACAUUCCAAUUCAUUGUUAAGAUUAGUUUAAAAGAUUAGUUUAAAAGAUAAGAUCUCCUCUUAUUCUCCAUAUCAUAUAUAUAAUCUUUUAUAUUAGAGGAUGACUUUGCCAUCUGUCUAGCUCAAGUUACUGCACACCUCUUCUUCUGAUAAACACUUUGAUAUAACUUUUUACAAAUCUUUAAUUAAACUUGGAACUUUUUAUACUACAGGGGAGUCACACAUUCAACAUGGAACACCAAACGAUUUAAGAAUUUUUUGGACGUGUUUUAAUAAAAUGUUUUUGAAACCAGGUGAAUUUUGAAAAAACACUUGAAGUGUUUUGUGGAAGAAGCACAUAACUGACGCUUCUUUUAUAAAGCAAUUCAAGUAUUUUUGAAAUUCAAAAAUAUUCUCUCUCAAAACGCUUUCAGUCAUUUUAAAAGUACUUCCAAAUGUACUGUUAGUGUCCCUUAUUAAUGGAAAAAGUUCAAAAGUUAUUUGUAAAAAGUUCUAUCUAUUUGUAUUGUAUUUAGUCUCUUUAGUGGAAAAGUUCAAUUUCCUAUUGAAAAUUUGCAAAAAGUAAGCUUUAUCUGUUUGUAUUUCUUUAUUCUUUAAGCCUGAGUUUUUUAUUCUCUCUGUAUGGGACAAAAAAAAAUUGUAAACUAGAAUCUCAAAGAUCAUGAGCAAGAUACCUCCAUGAAAAUAAAAGGGAAACCAAGAAAUGGUCUUUGAUGGAUAAGUUUGGUAUUAAUACGUUUGUUUUAUGGUUAGUGGACCAAAAAAUAAGAAUUAAACUCAGAUCUCAAUCCACUUUCCACUAAUUCCAUAUAAUUAAGAAAUGGAGAGCAGCCUCAGUAUUGCUCUCUUUCAAGCUGUCAACUCUGAAGUCUGAACAAUAGCAAAAGUGUAGUUGUAUGUGUUUAGAACCACAAAUUUCAUAAAGUCAUUAGUAAUCUGAAUCAAGAUCAUUUCAGAUCAAUACAUAGUAUACAUACACAUAUAUCAUGAUCCUUAGAGUGUAUGUCAACAUGGAACAAAUAAUUGCACAUAGUUUUUGCAAAUUCAGCAAAACCGUAAAUUCGCCGCAUCGAGAGUUCAUGUUGCAUAUCUCAAGACAAAAAUGAGGUAAAACAACCAGCCAGAACAGAGAUUAUAUCUUCUGUCAAAAUUAAAACAUUCAUUUAUACUAUCUACAGGUUAUAAGGUAGAGAUGGGGACCGGAACCAAUAAGUACUUUAUUCUAAUUUUUCUCUUGAAAAUAAAUCUCUCAAAGGACAGAGAAAAACGAAUCCAUCCACAGCGAAACAUGCUUUCAAUUAGAAAGAAAUGCCCUAAACAAACACAACUCUACACUGAAUCAGCCCCUUCAACCUGCUGCUGCGCUAGGUAUCUUUCCCUGCGCUCUUUCUACAAACGAAACCACACAUACCGUAAGUAAGAAUGUGCACAAGAAGAAUGGUCUAAACAAACACAAUAAUCGUCACUCUACCAAAAGAAACAACAUGUUGAGUGCCUCACCCAUUCAUCUAUGACAAGUCCUUCCCCUACAAUCCGGGGGCCUGCUUCUUCUGGAGGCUUCUUUCGUGUUUCAAGGGCAGCUUCAGCUUCAGCCAAUUGCCGCUUAAGUUUUUCCAUUGCCUUAAAAAACAAAAUUGAAAGUGAAAGGGCUUGUUACUGAGGCUAAAACUAAGACAACCAAAAAAGUAUGUAUUGUGCAAGAAAUGGCAAAUUGGUCCAUCUACUUACAGGGGUAGGGUGCUCAGGGUCAAGGAAAACAACACGCAAAACCUGCUCAACCACAACUUCGUCCCUCUGCUCCUCAAACUGCAUAAACACAUAUUACAGUUAAUGUUUAAUAUCUUUGAAUUAUGAUGCACACUGGUUUCUAUCUUGUCAUAAAGUAAAAAAUAUACAGCAGAUUUCAGGUCAUAAAUCGGAUAUAUAGCAAGAUUAACCUGUUGCAGAAGCAAGAUAUAUGGUCUAAACAAAUUAUAAGGAAGCCUUAAUUAGAAAUUAUGCCAAAUGUUUGCUACUGUAGUAUGUGACAUUUGAGUUUUCACUUAUUAACAUAUGGCGCAGAAGGUUAUAGACAGUAUGUGUUUUCACAACUGCAAGAAUAUUCCCAAUUUCACACACCGGAGAAAACAACCUCAAAUCUGACAUCUCAAAGUCUACUCACAAUAUUUACUGAUAUUAUCUUGAGGGAAAGUAAAAAUGUUACUGUGGAAAAACAACGUAAAUGAAUAUGGUAAAAGUUAUAUACGAAAUGCCUGCAACAAUACCAGUUCUGGUACAUAGUCCAUAUCUCCUUUCACUUUUAAGCUCAUGAUCUUGAACUUCACCCUGCUCUUCUGGUCUACAGCUGGUUUCUCAUCGUUCUCCGGAGGUUCCACAAACUUGAAAACUGUCAAGAUUUAAUAUUACAAUUUUCAACAAUGAACUUGCUAAAAUAUGACUAGCUAGUAUGUUGUUCAUUGCAAAUAUAUGGACGUGAAAUAUAACCCGAAAUAAUGGAAGAUCAUGAAAAAUGAAUUACCAGUUGCAAUAAGACUUUCACCAGGAGCAAGUAUACCUCCAGGAGGACGCAUGUAACAACUCUUUGGUGCAGUUGUUUGGAACUAAAGCAACCAACACGUAAGCAGUUAGAUAGUCGUAUCAAAUUCGUAAUAGGAAAACUCCUGAUACUGUCAUCCAAUGCUAUACAAUUUUCAAAACUAUGCUAACCAAAUUUGGUCGUAAAUCUAGUCGAACAGUCAGUUUUUCCAAUUAGCUAUGACUAGUUUCGAUAAUGUUAUAGAGGUAAAAUACAUAACAGGGGAACUUAGGAUUCAAUCCAUACCUUGAAAGCUACAAGAGACUUGCUUGUGUUUUUUAUCCCAAUUGCACUCCUGACCUGCUUACCGGGUUCAUCUUCAGACGAAACAAUCACAAAGUGAGGCCAAAUAUAUCUAGCUUGAAUCAUCUACCAGCGAAGGAACUCAGCCAGCAUUACACUUUUAUAAUGAUUAGCAAAUAUUUCUGAGUGAAAAGCUUAUAAGAAAUCCUAAGUGGAACAAAAACAAACUACACAAAUGGAUACUUAAAAACAAACUAUCAAAGAACAGAGAUAUCAGAUGUACAGACACCGAUUAGAACCGUCCAGAUCGGCAAAAAGAAACAACAUUUGGAACUACUAUAAGGGCUUGUUUGGGGUUUGCCUGUAGAAUGGUUUAAAUCGCUUUCUAACUACCAAAAACAGCUUAUGGCUACGUUUGGCAGAAAAAAUUGAAAGUGCUUUGACGGGUUUCUUAUAAAAACAAUUCUAUGAAAAGUGCUUCUAAGCAUAAAUGCUUCUCAUCGAAGCAUCAGCAAACGGUUCCCAAGUCUUUCACAGUUUAACUCAUGAAACUAAUAAAUCAUGCAACUUAAGCAAAUCAAAGAACAAAAAUUAUGACAUUAUGUUUUAUGUACUAGAUGUUGAAGACCCAGAAAAACAUUUAUCAUUGAAAAAAACUGUCUAAGCUUAAAAGCACGACAUUUCCCGCAACCAAUUAGACAACCCAAAAGAAACAAAGGUCAACUUUUUCCAUUGAAAUUCUUAGAAACUAGAAAAACCCAGAUCACAAUUAUUACGUAACAACAAAGAUAACUAGAAAGAUGCAAGUAAAGGGGCUUACAUGGAAAAAAGAGCUUAUUCGGAGGAUCAAGACGCAGCCUUCUCCUAGCCGGAAGCAAAGACUUGGUCACGUACGACACCGUACUGGCGGAAUGAAGAGCCAUCCGCUCCGCCGCAGACUCGUGAAUCUGACCCAGCUGGUGGUGAACAUUGUGAUGCAUUGAAGACAAGGUCGAGGACGACGACGAAGAAGCGUUCCCGGACUGCCAAAACGGCAUUUUGAAUAGACUCCAAAGCUUCCCGUCAGGCCCAGAUUUCUCAGCCUCCACAGCCAUUCUCGACCAACUCGCCGGAAAUCACUUCUCGUCGCUGGCAAGUGGGUUUCGCCGGAGAUGGUGGGAAAACAGUGAAAAGAGAGAUUUUGUUUUUGCGCGGAUGAAGGCGAAAGCUGAAAGAUUGAGACUUCAGUGGCAAGUAGUGUUUGUGGGAGGCCUUUAUGGGAUGCGAUUGCCAAAUGUGGAUGAAUGCGACCUUUCGUUCUGGACCUUUUGGAUUGUCGGAAGUGGCGGUGGUUACUUUUGCUCACUCCACUCUGUUCUGUUGUCGUUGUUGGCUGUCAGUUGGCAGCUGAGGAUCAAGUUUAAAAACUUAUCGUGGGCUUCAUAUGGACUAUAUAUUUCGGAAUUGGAUCCCCUCCUCCGCAAAUGGUGGGAUCCUCAUAAUCCAUUAGCACGGAUUGUUGAAUUUUGAUUCAACGGCUACAAUUAUUAUAACUUGUUCAGGAGAGGAUCCAAUUCCAUAUAUUUUUCAUUCAAAUUAUUGGACUAUAUUUUUUUUUUAAGUAAUAUCCUAAUCUAAUAUCUUUUUUUGUCUAACUAACGUCGUAAUCUAAUUUAAUCAACGGGAGGGAAUUCAAAUUUGAAUUGAAAGAGGGAUACAUUACCCUAAUUAAAGUGGUUACGCCAAAAUAAAAUUAUUGAAAUAUAAGAGCAUAGUUGUAUGUUUUUUCCUUUGUCCAAUCUUACACUAAUUUGAUUUUUGGGUGCCACCAAUUUUAUACAUGUACACACACACAUAUAGAAAUGUAGAAAUAUUCCAUGACACUAUAUUUUAGUCCAACAUGGCAAUUAAUUUGAUUUUUAUUUUUACGAUUUCUUUCCUUCUCCACCAUCAUUAAUUAUUUUUCCUUUCCUUCUACUGAAUAUCUCCUCCCUCCUUACCCUCUCCCCUUUCCUUCUCCACCUUUUGGAUCUUUCUUCGUCCUCCCAUGGUUGCAUCAUAGAAAAUUUACUCGCAUAUUCAAACUUCAAACCACAUAAACAAAUCCUGCAUCUGUCCUCCAUUGCUCCACCAUUUGAAUCUCUAGUUUUGUUUUUUAAUUUCCAUUGUCAUGUAAUGAAUGCUAGAGCUACAAAAUUUGAAAAUACCAGCACAUAAGAAUCAGGCCAAUCGACCGGAUUAGUGUGCAUACUCUCUUGCAUCUGAGUACGAUCGUCUUUCAUGUAAGUUAGAGCAAUUUAAAAAUACCUAGUCAAAUAUCAUAGUAAAGUUUAAGAUAAAUAACAUGCAAAUCUUACAAAAUGUAUGUGUUUAACUCAUACGCUUAACUUGUAUAUGUGUGAUUAAAAAAUUUGCACAUGAUUUUUUCAUAAGUUUUUCUUAAACUAAAAUAUUAGCCGUUUAAUUGUUACAUAUUUUUAGGUAUGUUAUAUUACUAUGAAAGGAAAAAAAAAUUCUUAUGUUUUAUUUUAUUUUAUUUUUACAAACGAUAUUAUCUACACUAAAGGAAGGGGAUGGGCUAGCAAUAAUAUGGUUUAAACUCGCAUUUGGCGAGAGUCAAACCUAAGACUCACUUACAAGUGAAGAUAAAUACCGCUAAACCGUAGUAAUAAGUGGCAAAAAAAAAAAAUUCUUAUGUUAUAUACAUGAGUUAUCACAUUCUCGCUAUCGAAAUAAUUCUUAUUGAUCGAUUCCUUUAGUGGAUAACAUUUUCUCUUCAAUCCAUUGUACUUGACGUUCAACGAUCUCCCCUUAAUAUAAUUUGAAGCAAUAAUAUCGGUUGGAAAAGAAAAAUUGAUAGCUUGGUCCAAACAUAAAAUUGACAACUAGGAAGAAUAUACCCAAACCGUUGGUGGAAGAACUAUAGCUUUGGAUACGACAUGGACAUGCACCAAAUCCACACUUUCUUUCAAAUCUUCAUAUGAUUCCUUUUUCCUUUCAUCUCUCUUUUUAUUCUUUUGUCUUUAAAAGAGUGGAUCAAUCGCAUGAGGCCAUAAUUAAAAUAGGCUAAUCAUGUUUAGAGCAUUAGAACAUGUUCUCCUGGUGGUGCCAUUAAAGAUAACGACGCAGCAAUCAGCAACUCCACUGAUAUUCCCAUGCGGCUCCUCCCUCUUUCAAAGGCAUCUCAUCUUUUUCCCAUAUUUCAUGCACCAUAAUUUUGACCUGCCAUUUUUCACUUGGGAAAAUCACAAAGUUCAAACAGCUUUUGCGUAAAGUUACUUCCGUUCUCUUUAUUUUUCUCACAGUGCUUAUAUAAUAAGUUGAUCGACCCAAGGGCUAAUUGCUUGGACCAACAUAAUUGCCUUGUGAAAUUUAAUAUUUAAGGGUUUCUCUCUCUUAAUUAUGUUCAACACAUCAAUUUAGUCCUCCAAUUUCCAAAUCCCUCGAUGCACAUUUAUACUUCGAUAUAUAUAAUUAAAUUUUAAAGAGCACGUAACUAAUGUUGUGUCAAAUAAUAGGAUGACGACAUUGAGUGACUUUGUAGUUUAAGUUGGAAGACCAAACUGAUGAGUUUUUGUAAUUUGGAACCAUUUUCAAUCAGAAUCCAAAUUUUAUUGUUUUAUUUUUGUUUAAGAUGAAAUUCAAUUCAUUAUUUGGUCUUGUAUGUGUCAUGUAAAAUAGGAGGACCAGAAAUAUGUGAUUUCCUUCAUUCUGAACAAAUUAAAAGGGUAUCAUAUUAAAAGACUACAUACACAGCAUACGUAACGCUUGGUAAUGAUUUCAUAAACAUGGGAGUGGGCAGGAAUACGGUCUUUCCAGCUCAGUUGGGCCUCAACAACUCAAGUACAUUAUUAGUCUCAGUGGUCCUUCUGAUUGCUUCAAAGUCCCCCUCUUCUUUGCCACCGUUCUUUUUUCGAAGAAGAAGAUUCUCCCACUUGUGUAGAAAGUGGCUUCAAUAAUGUUGCUAAUUAGGGGUCUUCAUUUGGCACGUGGGCCAUGGGCCUGCCCGGCCCAUCGGAAAAACGCCCGACUCGGUUCUUUAUGGGAUACGGGCCGGGCCAUCUAGUUAUAUAGGAGCUAGGCUUGGGCUAGGGUGUUUGAGGCUUGGCUCGGCUCAUAGGCCCGUCUCAUUUAAAGCCUAGGAUGCCCGGCCCAUAGGCCCAUUUCAUAUUACACACACAUGACACACUUAGGGCUGGUAUGAUAUUGAUGUGCUUUGAAAAAAAAAUUGUUUCUGCUAUGCUGUGAGAAUAAGCUCAUUUUUGUUGCUUCAUGUUUUCAGUUUUUUUUUUCACCUAAAACUGUGAAAAUGAGCUAUUUUUAAGUGUUUACUAAACACUUUUUUGAGCUCAGUUUUUUUUAAUACCCACUUUUUAUAAAAGCACCUCAAUAUCAAACCAGUACUUAUACUAGCUGUUCCCAUUUCGGCCCAAACCCAACUCACUUUCUCUAGCCAUACUCGACCUUAAACUCACACAUACCAUUUCUCUCAUCUCCAACUACAUAAUCGAAUUGAUCGAACGGUAAUUAAUAGAAUAGUGAACAAAAAUGUAUCCUCCAUAAUUUAUUGACGAGUGUCCUUAUGUAAUUGGUGUAGUUAAGUCUCUUGUAUAAAUAGUGAUUCAUUGUCGCUAUUUCCUAAAUUCCGAUUCCUCUGUUAUCAAAGAGAAUAUUAUGCAGACUUUCCUUUCCUUGCUUUCGUCUUCUUUUCUCAUCUAAUUUCUGUCAUCAAUUCUAUAUUUCUUCACUUAAUAAAAUGCAGUUAAUAAAAAUAGCAAUUUAUGGAUGAAUCUCCAAACUUUGUAGGGAAUAAAUAUUUACGUGCCAGAAGAAAAUGUUUCCAAAGUAUGUACAGAUUACAAUGACCUCAAGCUGAGUUUAAUUUGGUCUCAGUUGGGAACCCAAGAAUUUAGAUACAUAACUUUCCUCAUAGACUCCUCUGCCGGCUUUGCUUUCUCUUCUCGCAUGAUUGUGUUUGAAACCCUAGCAGCAGAAGAAGGAGAAGAAUACAGCUCCUUGGCCUGAGAAAACGACCUGGUGAGAUGGUUCUUGGCAUGCUGGUGCAUCAGUCUUAUGGGGUCGUUCCACCUGCACACCCCUUGGUCUUUCAGUACUUCCACAACACCAACUGUUGCCCCCACGAUCCAAGCGCUACCUGCUGCACUCAUCAUCUAAAUUUUCCUUUUUGCCUUGGGACAAUCUUUUGAUUUGUAUUGAACAAAGUAUGGGAAUUGAGAAAGGUUGAGUUGAAAUAUUUGGCAGGGAGGAUGUAUUAAGAUUGAGUAGUUUGAUUUGGAUACACGAAUGGAUGGAAGCAAAGCCAAAAAUAUUGGGGAAAAACCAGAGGUUGCAGAAGUUGCUGCUUGUUUUCCAAGGAAAUCCACUGGUUUUUGUAUAAUUUUUUAGUACUUUUCUGCUGGUUUACACAGGCGCACUUUGUUUUGUCAAUAAAAUAGUGCUUUUAAGCGCAGACUAAUAUGGAAUGGAACUUUAAACCGUGCACAACAAUAAAAAAAUUGCAUGUGCAUCAUCACUGCAUACAUCAUUUUCUUUUAUUUUUAUUUUUAACAAAUGUAAAUGUUAUUAUCAAGGAAAGACAUGUAUAUAAAUGGAGGCCCAAUCACAAUGAAUGCACAAAAUAAAUAUAUAGAUCUUUACAACAACAUAAAAAAGAGUCCAACCCAAACUUUUGAGCCUGGUUUUCCCUUUAACACCUUACGAGGGAUAUAAACAUUUCUAUUAGAGGAAAACUGAUAAAAAUAGUUUGAAAAUUUUGAAUUUUAACGAUAAGAACAAAAUAAAUGGUAAAGUGAAUAGUACCAGGAUUAAUUUUUUAGUGUAAAAAUAUGGUUUUUCGUUAAAGUAAAUAGUACCGGCAGUUUUUCGUUAAAAUUUCCUUCUAUUAUACUUCAAUAAAUUCUAUUCUUUGAUAAACCAAAAAAAAAAAACUUUGGAGCCCAAAACUAAAAAGCACAAUAAUAAAAAACCCGAGCUGCCAGUUUCCUUUGCCGUCGCCGGAGCACCAACCAACCAUCCACCAAGAACCAACUUCCCUUGUAGAUGUUGAAGAUCCAACAAGGCAACAACCCAGAAAUGAAAAGAAGAAGGCUCCAUCUACCUGCAACAAGAACCAUAAAUAUCCAAAUCGCAACCACAAAGGAAAGGAAGCCAGUGGGAAAUUCCACAAGCGGCAGUGCCGAGAAUUGCAGACAACUGGAUAAUGGUGGUGUAAACACUCCAGCCGGAGCUCUAUCCACCAUCCGAUAAACCCACAAACGCGAAGAAGGGAAGCAUUUACAAAUAUGAAAUUUUUUGGGAGUGAAGAAGACUGAGCCAAUUGGUAUAGGUAGAAGAUGGAUUGAUUAGAACUAUGGAGGUUAAAAAACAGUAGGAAGAAGAUGACGGGGAAGGUCUGAAUUUUGACAAAGUUAUUUACUAAUUAAUUACUUGAUAAUACUUGAAUUCUCCCUGCAGACAACACUUUAUCGUAGUAACAAAAAAUAAUUAGAUUUAUGCGACUUGAUACGGGUUCGAUUUUCACUCAUAGUACUCCUUCCCCUUCUAUAAGAACUAAUUAAUUAACCUAUUAACGUUAUCACUCUACUAAAAAUCACUUGUAUCCUCUCUUUGGAUGUACUCAUUUCCAAAGAGGAAAUACAAGUAUUAUUCUAUUAUAAUAGUAGGAUUUGUUAGACAUAAUUGUUUAACCCCCCCUAAGCAGGCUAUACAAGAUAAUACAUUUUCUAGUUCAUCAACUAUAAGGUAAUAACAAAUACAACUGAAUAUCCAGGUGCCAUUAGCACAUUGGUUUAUGUUACAUAAGUUUGCCAUGUUGUAAUAAGUUGGAUUGAAUAAGAUUGGAUUGCAUUGCCACAUAGGCUUGGUAAUUAUCACUGUACUAGUAUACAUACACUUUUGUACUGCCUUCGUUCAUUAAUUGGAAACUUUAGUGAUUCCUGAGUCUCUCUUACUUUCUUCUUUUGCUAUUCAUCUUUUUCUACAGAAUUACAGAUUUAUAACUCUAAUUCAGUACUGUUAGGAUAAGGAGUGCUAAUUCAUUUGACUAAAAUACGUGUUGGUUAUUUCUAACUCCUAGUAAUCAUUAUUUCAGUGAAAUUAAUGAGGUAGCACCAGCAACAUCAAUUUCCAACCCUUGUCACUUGUUAUAUAUACAUUUUGCCAGAACAACUCUGUAUGUAAAUGAAUAUUCUUUUUAGAACCUCAGUAGUACGAGUAAAUUUUAUUAAUAAUAUAUUAACAACACUUACUAAUACUAACAUAUCGAUACACACCAGUUUUGUUUUAAUUAGCAAAGUCUAGCGAUUUGAAUCUUCAAGUGCAUGCACAAGAGAAAAAAAUGGACAACUUCCAUAUUUGAUAAGAUGAGUAAUUUAGAUGGUAAUAAAUCAACACACAAAUUAUAUCCUCGUUGAUCAUGAGAAGAAACUAGUUGAAUCUAAGGAAUUUGGUAGAGGGGGACUUGUUUGACUGCAAAGUCGAUUAAAAUUUUUUUGUUCACCAAUGAAAUUGGAAGGGAAAGGCAUACAAAUAAUCCAAGGCAAAGAGAGAAAACAAAGGGCUAAUGUUAAUGUUGAUCACAUGAUAAAUUAGUUAUCAUAUUAAUUUUAUAUACAUUACAGAAAAUUCAGAGAUCUAAAAUUAACGAUCAAUUUGUUGCGAAAAAUUACAAAUCCCUUCAGGCUACAGUCUACAAGUUGUUCAACCAUGGCCAACGAUUUCUUGCUUAUCAAAAUUGAAAGAGUGGUUGAAUGGAUGAUCAAUUGGGACCCCAGCAGCUGAGGUACAUGACUUUCCUGAGAGACUCCUCAGACUGCUUUAUCUUCUCAUCUUGUCUAACUUGAAUUGAGAUCAAAGCAGAAGAUGGGGAAGAGAACUUGUUGGCCUGAGAAAACGACCCAAGUUGGUUCUUGGCAUGCUGCUGCAGUAAUCUCAUAGUAUAAUUCCACCUGCAGAUCCCCUGGUCUUUCAAGGCCUCCACAACUCCAACACUUGCUGCCACUACCCAACCUCUCCUUGCUGCUGCUGAUGAAAUAGUCAUAUUUUCUAUCUGUAUAUAUUUUUUAACAAAUAACUCUUGAUGGAAAUUGCAAGUGAAGAAAACUGAUGUUUGUUUGAUGUGUUUGAAUUUUGAUUUGGUGAAGAAAAUGGUGAGUGGGUGUUGCUUUUAUAUGGAGUAACACUUCAACUAAAUUCAUGAAUGUAGGAGGAAAGUGGAAGCCCAUAUAAUGUGGGAAAAACCAUGGGAAGCCAAUGGUUUACUUAGCUGGUCAGACUCACUCAUUGACAGAGGAGACAAACUUAGGUUGGGUAGGACCAAGCAAAGGCACACGGUUUUCCUUUAAAAAAAUCCAUUUAAGCCUCAAGUAUGGGAGGAGAUACCACUUGUUUUACUUUAUGGAGCUAAAACAGGGACUCGGUUUUUUUUUUUUUUUUUUUUUUUUAAAUAAGAAUUAGAGAUGUCAUUGUUAAAAGAAGUUGAGAUUUAUAUCAUAAAACUAAUUGGUAUUCUAACUCGAUUUUUCAUAAGUACAUGCAGGGUUUAUUUUAUUUUAUUUUUAUGUGAGAUUCUUCCCCCCAACAAUUUUCCUAAAUUAGAGAAUGGUUAUUAGAAAAUAUUUAGGUUUGAGUCUCAUACUAAAUGCCUAAAAGGGAUAAAACCAUGAAACAAACUAGUAAAGUCAUCCAAUCUGAUACUAAAUGCCUAAAUUGCGUUGGACUGGAUUCUCACUAGUAAAGUCAUCCAAUCUGAUUCAAUCAUGUUGGUUUGAAAUUUAGGGAUCCAAAACCAUUAAAAUCGGAUUGAACCAGAUUGGAUCAGUCGGUUUGGGAGGUUUGAAAGGGAUCUUCAACACCCCUACAAUCGUGGCUAAUCUUCUGUCCUAGUUCAGACUAUGUUUCUAUUUCUGUUCUUUUGAUCUAAUGGAAAGUUUUUGCUCCCUUUUCUUUUGGUAUGGUUGGAUGUUGCUAAUUCUUCACUCUUUUGGUAUGGUUGAACGUCUUGCCAGCGACCACGGAGGCAGCCACACUGGAGCAAACGAGAUACAAACAAUUUUGUCUCAAAUUUGAAAAUCACCUAACUACGUUCAGCAACAUUUCAAGGAAAGUGAGAGUAUAAUAGGCGCUUUUGUCAAUCCAUCAUAGCACCAUUUUUUGUGGGGGCAAUAUUUAAACUUCAAUUUCCAUAAGAGCCCUUCUUCAAAUGUACCGUUGUGAAAAUAAAAAAAUUCAACUCAAUAGUGAUCAGCAAUUCUCAGAUUUAUAUGUUUGAUUUACAUGGCAAUUGUCAUAACAUAACAAAAUUUACAUCAAUUUGCCAGGACCUAGCAGACAUCAAUUGCCUGCCACUUACGAUCCCAAACGAUAGCCUUUGCUAAUAACUUAAGGACCCCUUCAUGGGGUGUUCCAUCAGCAAGCGCUUACACAAAAACAUGCAAUCUUAAUUUGCUCUUGUUUCUGUGAAUGAAUAAUUGAUUAGUUGUUGGGACCCCAGCAGCUGAGGUACAUGACUGUCCUCAAAGACUCCUCUGAUUUCUUCAUCUUCUCAUCUCUCACUUUACUCAGAACUGAAGCAGAAGGAGAAGAGAGCUUGCUGUUGGCCUGAGAAAAUGACCUCACUUGGCUCUUGGCUUGUUGGCCUACAUAUCUCAAAGCAGAGUUCCAUCUGCAAAUCCCUUGGUCCUUGAGUGCCUCCACAACUCCAACACUUGCUGCCACUAUAGCCUUGCUUGCACUUGAUGAACUCAUGAUUUCUUUUCUCUCCUUUGGGUAUUCUGAAUUCUUUUGGUAGUGAUUGUGAAUGUUUAAGUGUUUGAUGAAGGAUAUGAGCAUGAAGCGCUCUUUAUAUGGGAACUAGAAAGGGUGGGCCUUUCCACCAAUUACUAGAGGCGGUUUAGAGUGUAAAGCCAAUGGUAUAUAUAUUUCUUUUCUUGUCUUUUUGUCACACUCAUUACCACUAACUAUACAAAUGAGCACACGGUUUUCCUUAUCAAAUCCACCUAAGCCUCAGGUAUGGGAGGAAACACCACCUGCUUUUGUUUGUUACAGUGAAAAUGUGAAUGUAUAUACAGAUAAAAUGUCAAUAGCAUGUCAAUUAAAGUAACACGUAUUAAUACUAACAUAUCGAUACACACUAGGUUUUUUUUUUUUAACAAAUUCUAGCUACUUGAAUCUUUAAGUGCAUGAACCAGAGAAAAAAUGGAUAACUUCCAUAUUUGGAAAAUGAGUAAUUUUGAUGAUAAUAAAUCAACACAGUAAUUAUAUCCUCAUCCAUGAGAAGAAACUAGUUGAAUGUAAGGAAUUUGUAAGGGUGGGCCUUUCCACCAGUAACUAGAGGCGGUUUAGGGAGUGUAAAGCCAAUGGUAUAUAUUUCUUUUCUUCUCCUUCUGUCACACUCAUUGCCACUAACUAUACAAAUGAGCACACGGUUUUCCUUAUAAAAUCCAACUAAGCCUCAGGUAUGGGAGGAAACACCACUUGUUUUUGUUUGUUUUAGUGGGAAAUUGUCAAACUGUUUCCAAGACAAGAUAAUCUAUUCAGCUAAACAACUAUAUCCUUUUUUUUUUUUGGGAUAAAAAUUAAUUAACUCAGAUUUCAAAGAUUUUAGAUUUCAUUUUUCUAAAUAGUACUAUCCAUACAUCAUUUUUUACCUUAUACUCACUUUUAUUAGUUUUUGUUCAUUAAUCUUUUUCAUUCAUUCGAUCCAAUAGCUGGAAAUUAAGAGAGUGUAUGAGAGGUAAAAUUUGGUGUAUGGAUAGCACUACCCUUCUUAUAAAUAAAUAUCUAAGAAAAUUGCUACUAAAAAUUACUUAGAAAACAAACUUAUUGAGAGAAUAAAUCUUACAUCAAGUAAAAUAAGUCUUAUUUGAUAGUUUAAAUGAUUUUGGCAUCUCUCCCUUAUUGUGAGUUGUGUUCGGAUGGAUACUCACAUUCUAAUAUGAAAUCAAAGCAGGCUAUGCACUUGUUGAGUCAAGGGUCUACGUGCCCACACGUUAGCUAAUUAAUGUGGCCCACGUGCUAGACUUAAAAUGACCCCACACUUCUUUGUCAAUAAUUGCGAUAUCAUCAAAAAGUGGUGUAGUCUUUUUCGCGUGAUGCCUUUAUAGUAUUUCUCCGGCUGGAUUUGGAUUCUCCGGGUGGUGUAGUCUUUUUGAUGAGUUUGCAAUUGCAGUAUUUCUUAUAGCAUGAGUGGCCUCUCAUUCCUGAUCGAGAAAUUUCUCAUGUGGUUCUUCUUAAGCAAGGCUUCUUGUUGAGGAAUAAAUGUUAUUAUUCACUUUAUGAUGAUACCUGCCUUCACUUCUUCGAUUUUCAAGUGGUUCGCCUUUUGAUUUCAAGUGAUUUUACCCUGAAAUAAUUCUAGCCUUUCUUAAAUUACUUUCAAGCAUGUCCAGUCAGUCCAGUCAUUUAGCUACAAGCUUCAUACUUAAAUACUCCUGACUGCUCAAAUAGUCUUAAACAAUUUUAACUAUCUGAGUGGGCUUAAAUAUUCUUAACUACCUAAACAGGCUCCAAAUUACGUGUCCAAAUAGAAAUUACCUAACUACGUUGAUAAAUUUCAAUGGAAGAGAGUAUACUGUAUGCAUUUCUGUCGCUCCAUGUCAUAGUACCAACUUUGGUGGGAAAUUUUACACAAUGUCAAUGAUUUCCGGAGUUCUUGCAUUCUCUCAUCAUCGCCCAUAUAUUGCGUAUGCUUGCACAGGCCUAUAAAUUUUGAAUAAAAAACGUUUGAAUACUGGCAAAUUUAACGCCAUUAUAGGAUGAUAAAUGUUCCACUCAGGACAAAGUAACUAGUAGCUAAGUGUGUCCUCUGCGGAGUCCAGGGUGAAUCUACAAUUCACCUUAUCCGCGAUUGUGCAUUUGCUAAGUGUGUCUGGCUUGCUACUCCGAUUGGUAUCCCUCCUUCUCCGCCUUAUGUCCUCUCGAUGUUGGAUUGGAUUCUGAGUUGGACUUCUCACCUCAAUCCAUCGAACUUUGCUCUUGGUUUAAUGGUGCUUUGGGCAAUCUGGGGUGCACGAAAUAACCAUCUCUGGAAUGACUGUAUGGACUCUCCUGACAUCAUCGCUGCUUGGGGUCUCUCUUGGUGGCAAAAGUUCCAGAGAGUUGCUCCCCCCCCCCCUCCCUGAGACUCGCUACUCGUCACCAAGUCCCUCAUAGGUCGUCCCGCCCUCCUGCCCAUUUCCUUCAAGCUAGGGGGUUUUCAAAACAAUAUCCUCGAGAGUGAUUCAUUCCAGAUUGUGACGCAUCUACAUAAUUCUUCCAAUUAUUUUUCCGACAUUGGACUCUUCCAACUAUUUGUCCGACAUUGGACUCUUAAUUGAAGACUCGCGUGUGAUCCUGUCUUCAACCACUAGAGCUUAUGCUACCAUGUUCGUCGCCAAGUCAAUCGUAUUGCUCAUCGCCUUGCACGGUUUGCCUUUACUUCAAGUUCGUCAUGUAACUGGUUUGAGAAACCUCCGGACCUCAUCUCAAAUUUACUGUUUGACGAAGCUGUUUUGUAAUUGACGUAGGGCUUUGUAACUCUGUUUUUGAAAUGAAAUGAAUCUAUCGAGUACUUUUUCAGAAAAAGAAAAAAAAAAAACAACUACUGGCUAAAGAUGAAAAAAAGAAACGAGAUCAAGGUAGAAAUUCUCAGCAACAAUUUCUGUUCUAUAUGGUGAUUGUUACAACGAAACAAAAUUUACAUCAAUUAGCCCCAAGCAAACAUCAUCAUUUGCCGUAAUUUACAACCCUAAUCUUUGCUCUUGCUUUUGCGAAUGAAUCAUUCAAUUAAUUGUUGGGACCCCAGCAGCUCAAAAACAUGACUGUCCUCAAAGACUCCUCUGAUUUCUUGAGCUUCUCAUCUCUCACUUUACUCAGAGCUGAAGCAGAAGGAGAAGAGAGUUUGUUGUUAGCCUGAGAAAAUGAUCUCACUUGGCUCUUGGCUUGUUGGCCUGCAUAUCUCAAAGCAGAGUUCCAUCUGCAAAUCCCUUGGUCCUUGAGUGCCUCCACAACUCCAACACUUGCUGCCACUAUAGCCUUGCUUGCACUUGAACUCAUGAUUUCUUCUCUCUCCUUUCGAUAUUCUGAAUUCUUUUGGCAGUGAUUGUGAUGUUAAGUGUUUGAUGAAGGAUAUGAUCAUGAAGUGCUCUUUAUAUAGGAAUUAGAAAGGGUGGGCCUUUCCACCAGUAACUAGAGGCGGUUUAGAGAGUGUAAAGCCAAUGGUAUAUAUUUCUUUUCUACUCUUUGUGUCACACUCAUUGCCACUAACUGUACAAAUGAGCACACGGUUUUCCUUAUAAAAUCCAACUAAGCCUCAGGUAUGGGAGGAAACACCACUUGCUUUUGUUUGUUUUGGUGGGAAAUUGUCAAACUGUUUCCAAGACAAGAUAAUCUAUUCAAGCUAAACAACUAUAUCCCCUCUUUUUCUUUUCUUUUUUCUUUUUUUUGGGAUAAAAAUUAAUUAACUCAGAUUUCAAAGAUUUUAGAUUUCAUUUUUCUAAGUAGUGUUUUCCAUACAUCUCUUUUUACCUCAUACUCACUCUUAUUAGUUUUUGUUCAUUGAUCUUCCUCAUUCAUUCAAUCCAACGGCUGAAAAUUAAGAGAGUGUAUAAAAGGUAAAAUUUGGUGUAAGGAUAGCAUCGCCCUUCCUAUAAAUAUAUAUCUAAGAAAAUUGCUACUAAAAAAUUACUACGAAAACAAACUUAUUGAGAGUAUAAAUCUUACAUCACCUAAAAUAAGUCUUAUAUGAUGGUUUAAAUGAUUUUGGCAUCUCUCUCUUAUUGUGAGUUGUGUUCGGAUGGAUACUCACAUUCUAAUAUGAAAUCAAAGCAGGCUAUGCACUUGUUGAGUCAAGGGUCUACGUGCCCAUACGUUAGCUAAUUAAUGUGGCCAACGUGUUAGACUUAAAAUGACCCCACACUUCUUUGUUAACGAUUGCAAGAUCAUCAAAAAGUGGUGUAGUCUUUUCCUCGCGAUGCCUUUAUAGUAUUUCUCUGGAUGGAUUUGGAUUCUCCGGGUGCUGUAGUCUUUUUUAUGAGUUUGCAAUUGCAGUAUUUCUUAUAGCAUGAGUGGCCUCUCAUUCCUGAUCGAGAAGUUUCUCAUGUGGUUUUUCUUAAGCAAGGCUUCUUGUUGAGGAAUAAAUGUUAUUAUUCACUUUCUGAUGAUACCUGCUUCACUUCUUGAUUUUCAAGUGAUUUUAACCUUAAAUGAUUCUAGCCUUUCUAAAUUGCUCUCAAAAAAGUCAGCCCGGUCACUUAGCUACAAGCCUCAUACUUAAAUACUCUUGACUGCUUAAAUCAUCUUAAACAAUUUUAACUAUCUGAGUAGGCUUAAAUAUUCUUAACUACCUAAACAGGCUCCAAAUUACGUGUCCAAAUAGAAAUUACCUAACUAUGUUGAUAAAUUUCAAUGGAAAAGAGAGAGUAAACUGUUUGCAUUUCUGUCGCUCCAUGUCAUAGUACCAACUUUGGUGGGAAAUUUUACACAAUGUAAAUGAUUUCCAGAGUUCUUGCAUUCUCUCCUCAUCGCCCAUAUAUUGCGUAUGCUUGCACAGGCCUAUAAAUUUUGAAUAAAAAACGUUUGAAUACUGGCAAAUUGAACGCUAUUAUAGGAUGAUAAAUGUUCCACUCAGGACAAAGUAACUAGUGGCUAAGUGUGUCCUCUGCGGAAUCCUGGGUGAGUCUACAAUUCACCUUAUCCGCGAUUGUGCCUUUGCUAAGUGUGUCUGGCUUGCUACUCCGAUUGGUAUCCCUCCUUCUCCGCCUUACGUCCUCUCGAUGUUGGAUUGGAUUCUGAAUUGGACUUCUUACCUUAAUCUAUGGAACUUUGCUCUUGGUUUAAUGGUGCUUUGGGAAAUCUGGGGUGCACGAAAUAACGGUCUCUGGAAUGACCGUAUGGACUCUCCUGACAUCAUCGCUGCUCGGGGUCUCUCUUGGUGGCAAGAGUUCCAGAGAGUUGCUUCCCCCGCCCUCCCUGAGACUCGCUACUCGUCCCCAAGUCCCUCAUAGGUGGUCCCGUCCUCCUGCCCAGUUCUUUCGAGCUAGGGGGUUUUCAUAACGUUAUCCUCGAGAGUGAUUCACUCCAGAUUGUGACGCUUCUACAUAAUUCUUUAAAUUAUUUGUCCGACAUUGGACUCUUAAUUGAAGACUCGCGUGUGAUCCUGUCUUCAACCACUGGAGCUUAUGCUACCAUGUUCGUCGCCAAGUCAAUCGUAUUGCUCAUCGCCUUGCACGGUUUGCCUUUACUUCAAGUUGGUCAUGUCACUGGUUUUCAUAAACCUCCGGACCUCAUCUCAAAUUUACUGUUUGACGAAGCUGUUUUGUAAUUGAUGUAUGGCUUUGUAACUCUGUUUUUCAAAUGAAAAGAAUCUAUCAAGAGCUUAAAAAAAUAAAAAAAUAAAAACUACUGGCUAAAGAUGAAAAAAGAAAAGAGAUCAAGGGCGAAAUUCUCAGCAACAAUUUCUGUUCAUGGUAAUUGUUACAACGAAACAAAAUUUACAUCAAUUAGCCCCAAGCAAACAUCAUAAUUUGCCGUAAUUUACAACACUAAUCUUUGCUCUUGCUUUGCGAAUGAAUCAUUCAAUUAGUUGUUGGGACCCCAGCAGCUCAAAAACAUGACUGUCCUCAAAGACUCCUCUGAUUUCUUGAGCUUCUCAUCUCUCACUUUACUCAGAGCAGAAGCAGAAGGAGAAGAGAGUUUGUUGUUGGCCUGAGAAAAUGAUCUCACUUGGCUCUUGGCUUGUUGGCCUGCAUAUCUCAAAGCAGAGUUCCAUCUGCAAAUCCCUUGGUCCUUGAGUGCCUCAACAACUCCAACACUUGCUGCCACGAUAGCCUUGCUCGCACUUGAUGAACUCAUGAUUUAUUUUCUCUUUGAUCUUCUGAACUCCCGUAGUAGUGAUUGUGAAUGUUUUAAGUGUUUGAUGAAGAAGAUGAACACCAAGUGCUCCUUAUAUAGGGGGAUUACAAACGGUGGGCCUUGUCAAAACUAGGGGCGUUUAGAGAGUGUAGAGCCGAUGGUAUUUGUUUUCUUUUGUCACACUCAUUGAUGGAGACAAAAUUCGGCUGGGUGGAUGAAAUGACACUCACUGCCCACUGGACCACAAAUGAGCACACGGUUUUGCUUAUUAUAUCCAUUUAAGCCUCAAGUAUGGGAGGGAUUGUAUAAGUGGAAAUUGUCACAUUGUUUGACAAGCUAAUCAUUUUUUUUAAAUAGAGAUGAUACAAAUCUUAAUGAAGAUCCUCCACAGAUUAUUAAAUCAUAAGUGUCUAACUUAUCCUAUGUAUGAUUUCUGGGGGGAAAUUACAUACGUAUGUCGUAGAUCAAGACAAGCUAUUCUACUGAUUACCAAGUAACUCAAGUUUUUGUUUUUUAUUACUGAGAAAAAAUAAAAUUACAAAACAAACUCAUACAGAAUAAAAUAUAGAGAAGCUAGGGAGAGAAAAGAGACAAAAUAAAUAUAUGAUAUGAGUAAUGCUGUAUAUUAAUAUUCUAAUACAAAUCAUGUGAUGUAUUAAUAAUAGAAAACAUGCACGUUAAUCAACAUUUAAGUAAUAAUUCAAUCAUUGACAUCCGUGUAAUAAAUAAUUUAUAAAACUUGAUUAAAAUAAUUGAUUUCUGUAAUAUUACUCGAUAUGAUACGCACACACACGUAUGAUUAAAAUAAUUGGUCUCUGUCGUAUUACUGGAUAUGGUAUAUUUUGAGAUGCCUUAUAUAUAUUCUAUUAUUUUCAGAUCAUUACUUCCAAAUUUGUUUUGAAAAAACUUGGUAGCAUAUGGGGCCUUAAUUUUGUUUUGACAAUAUUGCUAGCUGAAUUUUUUUUCACUUUUGUGCCUCUAUCUACCAUUAGAUUACGUUUGACGAUCUAGACUAAAAGAACUUUUGACAAUAUUGCUACCUGAAUCCAAUUUUCACUCAAAAUUCCAUUUAGGUUAACAACGUGACUUGCACAAGACAACAUUUUAAGGACAAUUUCUUCAAGUCGUCUUACGUACUCAUAAAAAACAAAACAAAAAAAACAAAAUUUUCACUCAUGUAAUGCCAAUUGUAGAUGUUUUGAGGUCAUUUCCUCCAAAACAAUUUGGAUAUCUUUUAAUUUCUCGCAUCUUCUCUUAUGACGUGUUUACGUAACCAUAAUGAAAAUAUGUGGAAUUGAAUUGAGGAGAAAUUGAAAUGAGGAGGAGUUAGAAUCAGAUUCCUAUUGAAGUUGUUUACUUAAAUGUUCUAGAAUCGGAAUAAAAAUGAAACUAAUUCCAUAAAGUUGUUUACUAAUUUAGCAGAAUCAGAAUAUAAACCAGUAUGAUUACUAAAUUGCCCUUAUCCCGAUUCAAAUAUUUUAUAUACUUUUUCUAAUAAAAUUUGAUAUAAUAUAUAAUAGUAAGAAAAAAUAAAUAAAUCGCUUUUUUAUUUCAUAGACACAUUAAAGUGUUUUUUUAUUUAUUUUUAAUAAAUUUAAGUAUGUACUUUAAUAUUUAAAUUUUCUCGCUCAAAAUUGUAGUUUCUUCUAUUCGGCAUAUGCAUGGAGUUGUGCAUAAUGUGAAUGAGGGCAUAAUAGGAAGAAAAAAUGCAUUCCUGAUUCCUUCACCAUCCAGGAAUCCAAAUACCUCACCUAUGAAGGGAGUCCAAUUCCACCAAUUUCAGGAAUUGAAUUCCAUUUUUCGUGUGGGUCACACACGCUAUUGAUUCCUCCAAAUCAUAGUAAACACAAAAAUUAUCCGUAAUCGGAAUCGGAUUCCUUAUUUUCAUUUCGAUUACGGAUGCAUAAACACGCCCUUAAUCUAACCAUAACCUAGCUCGUAUUUUGUAACUCUGCUCAAGAUUGAUGAUG